CACGAUGUCGUUUUCUGUUCCAUAACAACAGAGGUGACUUUUGAAACAGUCACGAGUCUUUUAUCAAAACAUAAUAAAGCCUUGGCCUCUCCAUCUUUUUUUUUCUCAACAAAUCUUCCAAACCGAUGAUGCAGGCAACGAUGGGACAAAAACAAGGCGUUGAAUCUAGAGUCGAAGAUAUCAUCAUGACGGGUCCGUCACCGUUCGAUUUCUUGCCGGAGGAUUGCAUCUCCAAAAUAAUCUCCUUCACAAGUCCACGUGACGCUUGCGUCGCCGCUUCGGUUUCUAAAACGUUUGAGUCGGCGGUUAAGUCAGAUAUCGUGUGGGAGAAGUUUCUUCCGCCGGAAUAUUCCUCGUUGAUCCCACGAUCGAGAGCUUUCUCGUCCAAGAAGGAACUCUAUUUCGUUCUCUGCGAUUAUCCUGUUUUAAUCGAAGAAGGAAAAAAGGUAUAAAUAUAAUAUGUCUUUUGUACAUUAUAGGGUUUGUCUGUUUGAGAGUAAUAUCUUAGACUGAAUAGAAUCAUCGAGUUUUGAGUUUUGACUAUAUAUAUAAUUAUAUAACAAGUAUGUGUGAUUCAAUCUGAUUUCAGAGAUACUCCAGAGUAAUUAGUGGAAAGAAUCAUUGAUUUAUGUUAGAGAAUUAUGUGAACAAGAGUGUGAUUAGACCUUGGUGUUGGUGGUGUAGUUAUUUCUGAAGUUUUUUAUUUAAAUUUGAUAGAGCUUCUGGUUAGAGAAGGCAAGUGGAAAAAGAUGUAUUAUGUUAUCUUCGAAGGAAGUGUGGAUCACAUGGGGAAGUAGUCCACAAUAUUGGCGAUGGGUUUCAGUUCCUGAAUCUAGGUACGUUACUCCCUUUCUAGCUGUGAAAUAACUCAUUCUUAUUAAUUAUGAUUAUCAGUCUGAUGAUGGGGAAGAAAAAAUCUUGUAAUGUAGGUUUGAAAAUAUAGCAGAGCUACUCAGUGUAUGUUGGUUCGAGAUUCGUGCGGGGAUGCAUACUCGUUACCUAUCUCCAGGAACUCGUUACUCGGUUUACAUUGUGUUCAAGACAGAGGACGGAUGUCCUGGAUUGGGUGAUAUCCCGGUUGAAGCUGGAGUUGGGUUGGUUGGACAAGAAUCUUCUCAAAAGUUGAUAUACUUUGUUGGGCCUAGUGGUCGAAGGAGAGAUAGAGAAAGGAGAGAUGUGACGAGACCAAAGGAGAGGGUAGAUGGGUGGAUGGAAGCUGAGCUUGGUGAGCUGUACAACGAAUCGUGUUGUGAUGAUAUAUCGGUUAGUGUUGUUGAGACUAAGUCUCCUUAUUGGAAACGUGGUUUGAUCAUUCAAGGAUUUGAAUUUCGCCCCGCCAAAACUCAGUAACACUAGCUAUAUGGAGUUUCCUGUUUAUGCUUGUUUUGUUCAGUUUCAUGUCUAAGCAAAGUGAAACGCUUUGUUGUGUUGUAAUGUUUUCGAAACUUUCAAGUUUUCGGAUUGACUGUUUGCAUGGUUUGGUUUUGAUUACAUGAAGAAAUCAAUAAAUAAAAUGUACGCGUUUCCCCUUUUCUUAUUAAUACUCUUGUAUGGUAUCGUAUAUUUUGAAGUCAAAGAUGAAUAGUGUUCCUACAAAGUUUGCCAUCUCAAACCAAGUAAAGUUAUAUUUCAUGCAAUACGGUUUUGUUUACUUCCGGUUCAUAAGGAAACUGUGUAACAGUGCUUCAUUUUGAAAUGAAAUCUUCUCUAAUAGUAAAUUCGUUUACAACUCUGAAAAUGAAAAAAAUGAACAGUAUUCCUACAAAUUUGGCCAUGCCAAAACCCUAUCGGAAAGCUGUUAGGCUUGAUAAGGGUAUUAUCGGAAUAUUCAAAUCUCAACCGGUAUAUAUAUAAAAGACGCAUCCACACCACACUUCGUGUCCAAGACUGAACACCACAUCCGUGUCUGAAACGCAUCAGACUCCAAAAACGCUAUGGAGCAAAGUGAACUCGGCGAUUCGCAUUCCGGCGGAGGGUGUAGCCGGAACGAUGAGAUUAUUUCUGUCGAAGCUCCGGCGCGGUUGGAUACAUUGCCUGAAGAUUGCAUCUCGAUGGUGGUUUCUCAUACAUCGCCGCGAGAUGCUUGCGUUGUGGCUUCGGUUUCGAAAACGGUUAAGUCAGCGGCUGAAUUGGAUUUGGUUUGGGAGAAGUUUCUUCCUCAGGACUACUCAUCUCUUGUUCCUCGAUCGGUGGAUUUCUCGUGUAAGAAGGAGAUUUAUAUGUCUCUUGCUAAUGAUUCCGUUCUGAUCGACGACGGCAAAAAGGUGGAAAUGUGUGAAAAUAAUUAGUCUUUUUUUUUUAUGUUGUGAAAAUUAGGGUUUCGUUUUAAAGUUCUCUGAUGUUUUGACUCAGAGCAUUUGGUUGGAGAAAGGUAGUGGGAACAAGUGUUACAUGUUAUCUGCGAUGGAUUUAAAUAUCAUUUGGAUUGAUCGUCCUCUUUAUUGGAAAUGGAAUACCGAUCCUGAAUCUAAGUAAGUUCUCUAUUCUUGAAGUUGUGCGAUUUGGAGUUUAGAUGAUGUUAUUCUUAUAUACUUAUAUGACUUGUGGAAUCAGGUUUGAGAAAGUAGCGGAGCUUCGUCACGUGUGUUGUUUCAGGAUUCGGGGCAAGAUAAGUUGUGGAAUGUUGUCCAAAGGGACACACUACGUUGUCUACCUAGUGUUCAAGAGAACAAGCGGUGGAUCAGUCGGUUUCGAAGAGACGCCCAUGGAAGCUCAAGUCGGGUUUGUGGGGAAAGAAUCUAGCAAAUCGUUUGUGUUACUCGAACCAAGCCGCCGUGGUUAUCGUUACUCGUGUGUUUGGCGCAGACCGGUGUAUAGAGAGUUCAGGACGGGACGUCCAAGGGAAGGAGUUAGAGGAGAGAGGGAGACUGAUGGGCAUGUGGAGGAGCCCAAGGAGAGAGGAGAUGGGUGGAGUGAAGUGAAGCUUGGGAACUUUUACAUUAGCGAUGGUGGUUGUGAUGAUGAUGGUGAUGAGAUUGAGUUUGCUAUUAUGGAGCCUCGGAAUAGUGAAGUGGGACAAAGGAAAAGUGGUUUGAUUUUCCAGGGAAUUGAGAUAAGGCCCAUGAAAGAAAGAGAAGAAAUGGUCAUUGCCAAAUCAUCAAAUUCUGACAAUAUCUGAUUUGAAGGAUCAACAGAGUUUAAAGCUGUUGUAUUGGCUGCUUCAUGUCUAAUUGUGUAGUUGUUGCUAUGCAAAACAAGAAGUUGAGGACUCUCCCUCUCUCUCUAUUUUGUACCAAUUUUUGAAUGACAAUAACUUUGUGGUUAUUUGCUUCACUUGAACAAUGAAAAAUGAAAAACCUUUUUGUAUCGUAAUGUUUUCAAACCUUUUUCUCUGUGACUUUGAGUUUUUGAAUGUCAAAAACCUAUUUUACCUAGUCAUCUACAAUGAAAUGUGCCUUUCUACAUACUAUUUAGGCGAUAAAAAUAGAUGUGGCCUUUAACAAAGACUAGAGUUUGACAUACAUGUUCGUGCAGAUAUAUUAUAAUUUUAUAAAUGUAUACAUUUAACAUUAUUGAAAACAUUUUAAAUAUAUGAUUUAUAUUUUAGUGUUAUAUAUUUUGUAAACUUAUAAUUUUAUUGUUUAGGUUUUUUAUUCAGCAGUAUUAAUAUAUAAUCAUUUGUUUUAUACUUUUUACUUUGUUUUACACACUAUCUUGUCUAAUGGUAAAAAAACAUGCAAUGAACCAUACUUGUAAUGAAAAACAUAGAGACAUGACUAGUGCCACAACAUAAAAUAUUAAAAUAGAUUUUUCAUUAAUAUCUUUUAAAUUAUUAAUUUUUCUGAUAUCCUAUUUUGUAAAUAACACAUGAACUAAAAGUUAGCUAUGACUAUUAUAUUUUGUAUAUAAUUAUUUUAGAUAAUAUAUUAUUGUGAGUUUCAAAUUAAUUUAAUAAUAUGUAGUUGUAGAUAUAAAAGUUUAACAUAUGCUAAUAUUUUUUGUAUAGAAUAUACAUACUUUAUGAAUUUUAACCCUUUUUAACGAUGAAUGAUAGUUUAUUUUAUUUAUUUAAAUGAAAGUAAUAAUAGUUUAUUUUAUUUAUUUAAAUGAAAGCAAUUUUAAAAUAAAAUAGGUUAAUUUACCAAUUUUAUAUAGUUCUGCUUUAUUUAAUUCAUAUAGUACUUCUAUUUUAUAUAAUAUAUUAUAAAAUCUAUAAAAAUAGAAAAUAAUUUUUAUUUUUUGUUAUAUGAAAAUUUAAUUAAUAUUAAUGUAUGAUCCUAUUAUAUUACUAAUUACGAAAUUAAUUAUUGCAUGAUUUAAAAAAAUACUUAAAACUUUUAAUAAGAUUUGGGUAGAUAUUUUCUCAACAGAUUUUUUUAUAAUUAAAAAUAAAAUUAAAAUCUAUAAUUUUCAACAGAUUUGUUAGACUAAGAAUAAUCAUUAUUGGUUGGAUUAUAACUGUAGAAAAUUUACUUUAGCAUUUUGUAUGUAGGAUUUUUGAUUUAGCUUAAGUGAUGUAGUUUUAAAAUUUCCUACAACAAAAAAAUAGAGCUUUAGAAAAUAAGAUGUUUACAACCAUUUUUUGUGUGUUUUUGCUGUAAUUUUAAUUUUUUGGUUGUAGCUUUAAAAACCAAGAUAAAUCAUGAUUGGUAAUAUUUAAGGUUGUAGAUAAAAAUUAAAGCUAAAGUCACUUCCUACAACCCAACCAAUCACCCAUGUCAUAUUAAGUAAUUAAUCAAAUUGUCCUACUAAAAUUUUUAAAUAAUAGAUAAAAAUUAGGAUCCUAAAUUAAUAGAUUAGAAAUUUAAAUCUAUAUUUUCUCAACAGAUUUGUUAGACUCAGAAGUUAUAAUAAUCAUUAUGUCAAUUAAUCAAAUGAUCCUACUAAAGCUUUUAAAUAGUAGAUAAAAAUUAGCACCCUAAAUUAAUAUAUAAGAUUCAUCAGAUUUUAUGAAUCAUUUAAAUUUUCAGGAUAUAUUAAUGUCUGGUAAGGUAAACACGAAAGAAAGGACGUUAAGCGUAUUAGGGGUAUUACCGGAAAAUCAAAAUCUUAACUCGUAAGUCUUACACGAAACCGAUAUAUAAACAAACCAAACAUCCACUUCGUGUCCACAACAGAACAUCACAAAUCACAUCAGAUUCCAAAAUUUAAGAUUCCAAGAAAAACGAUAUGGAGCAAAUUCAAGUCGGCGGAGGAAGUAGCCGGAACCGUGCGGCGCGGUUGGAUACAUUGCCGGAAGAUUGCAUCUCGAUGGUGAUUUAUCACACCUCUCCGCGCGAUGCCUGCAUUGCGGCUUCGGUUGCGGCUGAAUCUGAUUUGGUUUGGGAGAGGUUUCUUCCGCCGGAGUACUCAUCUCUUGUUCCUCCUCGAUCGCUAGAUUUCUCGUCGAAGAAGGAGAUUUAUCUGUCUCUCGCUGAUGAUUCCGUUCUGAUCGACGACGGCAAAAAGGUGGAGACUUUUAUCGAAUCUGAUUCACUAAUUGUGAAAAAUUAGAGUUUUGUUUUCUUAUCUUGUUCUUGAUUUUGAAUGGAAAAAAAAAAUAAACAGAGCUUUUGGUUAGAGAAAGGUAGUGGGAAGAAGUGUUACAUGUUAUCUGCAAUGGAUUUAAAGAUCACAUGGAGUGAUUGUCCUGCUUAUUGGCAAUGGAAUACUGUUCCUGAUUCUAAGUAAGUUUUUUUUUUUAUUGUAAGUAAGUUCUCUUCUCUUACUUACUUAAAACUCUGUUUCUUGAAUUGGAAUUUAGAUUGUCAUCUCUAUGUGUGGAAUCAGGUUUAAGAGAGUAGCAGAGCUUCGUGACGUGUGUUGGUUCGAGAUUCGGGGCAAGAUAAGUUGUGGAAUGUUAUCCAAAGGGACAUAUUACUCUGUCUGCUUAGUGUUCAAGAGAGCGGGCGGUAGAUCAUACGGUUUCGAAGACACCCCCAUGGAAGCUCAAGUCGGGUUUGUGGGGAAAGAUGCUGCUAGCAAAAAGUUUGUGGUACUCGAACCAAUCGAUAUGGAUCAGCCCAGUGGUUAUCGUUACACGAGUGUUUCGCUCACAUGGGUGUCUAGAGAGGAUAGGACGAGGCGUCUGAGGGAGGUUGGUGGGAAUGUGGAGGAACCGAAGGUGAGAGGAGAUGGGUGGAGUGAAGUUAAGCUUGGGAAGGUUUACAUUCACGAUGGUGGUUAUGAUGAUGAUGGUGAUGAGAUUGAGUUUUCUAUUAUGGAGACUGAGCAGGGAGAUUGGAAGAGUGCUAUGAUUUUCCAGGGAGUCGAGAUUAGGCCCAUGAAAAAAGGAGAAGAAAUGGUCAUUACUAAGUGUGAUCAAAUUCCGACAAUAUCUGAUUUGAAGUAUUGAGAUUAACAUUUUGGAGUUGUUAAAUAUGCAAAAGUAAAAACCUGAGGACCAUCUCUCUCUUUUGUAUCAAUGUUUGAAUGACAAGAACUUAAAAACCAAAGGACAAAUAUGUACAGUAUAUAUGUCAGCAAUAUGGAGUGUUCCAAAUAUGUUUAUACUGUUUUUCUUUAAUUUAGUUUUAAUAUAAUAAUUUUAUGAACUACUUAAGUAAAACGAGAUUGUAGAGAUUUGAAAUAAUAUUUGAAUUUUUGAAUCUUUUACAUAAUUUAAAUGGGUAUCCGAUUCCAGACCAAGCCCGUAAAAAUCAGAAACGAACCUAAACCGAAAUUUAUAAAUAUUUUUUUAAUUUUUACAAUUUUUGGAUCAUUUUAUCCAAUUUCAUCAUUCAAACAUAUUUUUUUACUCUUGAUCCGCUUGAUUCAAAUUUAUACAGUUAGAUCCACUUACUUUAACAAAUUUGAAUAUGAGAUUUUUAACAGUUUUAGUAAUUUAUUAUAUGAUUAAUGUGGUUGUUUAAUUUAUUUUUAAUAGUUUAAAAUUAAAUAAAUAUGAUAGAAGUUACACUAAUUUUUAUCAAAUUUUUAUUAUUUAAAAUCAUUAAUUGUCAUAUAUACUUUAGCCAAAUUAAAUAAUUUUGUAAUUUUUAUUUAAAAAAUAAUAAAGAACAUUAAUAAUAAAUUUAUGGUUAGUUUAAUAAAAUUUUUAUUAUAUAAUUAGAUGAAUCAACAUAUAUUUUUAAUAAUUCUAAAAAUCAUUUUAGUGAUGAUACUUGGCUACAAAAAGAAGUUGAGAUGUUUCUCGACUCAUAUAUAAGAUAUUUUGACUAAUUGUUAUAUAAAAAAAAAUCUUUUAUUCCGAGAAAAAAAUCUUCUUACACGCGUAUUAAGGGUAUUAUCGGAAAAUAAAAACUUAACCUGUAAGUCUUACACGAAACCGAUAUAUAUAAAAACAAACAUCCACUUCGUGUCCAAGAGAGAACAUUACAUCCUUGUUUGAAAGAUACUCUCCAAAGACAGAACAAAACUAAAGAUUCGAAAAACGCUAUGGAGCAAAGUGAACUCGGCGAUUCGCAUUCCGGCGGAGGAUGUAGCCGGAACGAUGAGAUUGUUUCCAUCGGAGCUCCGGCGCGGUUGGAUACAUUGCCGGAAGAUUGCAUCUCGAUGGUGAUUUAUCGCACCUCUCCCCGCGAUGCUUGCGUCGUGGCUUCGGUUUCGAAAACGGUUAAGUCAGCGGCUGAAUCUGAUUUGGUUUGGGAGAAGUUUCUUCCUCAGGACUACUCAUCUCUUGUUCCUCCUCGAUCGGUGGAUUUCUCGUCGAAGAAGGAGAUGUAUAUGUCUCUUGCUGAUAUUUAUAAAAUUAUUUUUUAUAACUUUUAAUAAGAUUUGGGUUGAUAUUUUCUCAACAUAUUUUUUUAUAAUUAAAAAUAAAAUUUAUAUUUAUAUUUUCUCAACAGAUUUGUUAGACUAAGAAUAAUCAUUAUGUCAUAUUAAGUAAUUAAUCAAAUGGUCUUACUAAAACUUUUAAAUAGUAGAUAAAAAUUAGGAUCAUAAAUUAAUAGAUUAGAAAUUUAAAUCUAUAUUUUCUCAACAGAUUUGUUAAACUUAGAAUAAUCAUUAUGUCAUAUAUUAAGUAAUUAAUCAAAUGGUCUUGACUUUUAAAUAGUAGAUAAAAAUUAAGAUCCUAGAUUAAUAAUUAGAUUCAUGGUUUUAUGAAUCAUUUAAAUUUGCGGGAUAUAUUAAUGUCUUUUGGUACCUUCAUAGGUAAGAUAAACGCGUAUUAGGGGUAUUAUCGUAAUACCUCUUUUCUUUCUAGCCUUUGCAAGUCUUACACGAAACCGAUAUAUAAACAAACCAAACAUCCACUUCGUGGCCAGGACAGAACAUCACAUCCUUGUCUAAAAUAUACUCUCUGUCUCUGACUUAAAAUCACAUCAGAUUCCAAAAUUUCAAAUUCGAAGAAAAACGAUAUGGAGCAAAUUGAAGUCGGCGGAGGAAGUAGCCGAAACGGCGCGGCGUGGUUGGAUACAUUGCCGGAAGAUUGCAUCUCCAUGGUGGUUUCUCAUACAUCGCCGCGCGAUGCUUGCGUUGUGGCUUCGGUUUCGAAAACGGUUAAGUCAGCGGCUGAAUCGGAUUUGGUUUGGGACAAGUUUCUUCCGCCGGAGUACUCAUCUCUUGUUCCUCCUCGAUCGCAAGAUUUCUCGUCGAAGAAGGAGAUUUAUCUGUCUCUUGCUAAUGAUUCCGUUCUGAUCGACGACGGCAAAAAGGUGGAAAUGUGUGAAAAUAAUUAGUCUUUUUUUUUUUGGUAAAAUGUUGUGAAAAUUAGGGUUUCGUUUUAAAGUUGUCUUGAUGUUUUUUUGACUCAGAGCUUUUGGUUGGAGAAAGCUAGUGGGAAGAAGUGUUACAUGUUAUCUGCGAUGGAUUUAAAGAUCACAUGGAGUGAUUGUCCUGCUUAUUGGAAAUGGAAGAAAGAUCCUGAGUCUAAGUAAGUUCUAGCAACUGUGCAGUUUUGGAGUUUUACAUGAUGAUCUUUUAUUUUAUUUUAUGUUUUGUGUGUGUGGAAUCAGGUUUGAGAAAGUAGCGAAGCUUCGUCACGUGUGUUGGUUUGAGAUUCGGGGAAAGAUAAGUUGCGGAAUGCUGUCCAAGGGGACACAUUACUCUGUCUACGCAGUGCUCAAGAUAGGAAGGAGUGGAUCACGCGGGUUAGAUGACACGCCCAUGGAAGCUCUAGUCGGGUUUGUGGGGGAGGAAGCUGCUAGCAAAACGUUUGUGUUACUCGAACCAAAGGGUACGUACCCGCGCGGUGGUUACUCAAGUGGUUCGUUUAGAGAGGUUAGCACGGGGUGUUCAUGGAUUGAGAUUCCGGUUGAAGAAGUUGAAGAAGAGAGGGAGACUGAUAGGAGUGUGGAGGAGCCAAAGGAGAGAGGAGAUGGGUGGAGUGAAGUUAAGCUUGGGAAUUUUUACAACGGUGAUGGAGGUUGUGAUGAUGAUGGUAACGAGAUUGAGUUUUCUAUUAUGGGGACUGAGCAGGAAGAUUGGAAGAGUGGUUUGAUUUUCCAGGGAAUCGAGAUAAGGCCUAUGAAUGAAGGAGACUGAAGAAAUGGUGAUAGCUAAGUGAUCAAACAUCUGAUUUUAAGUAAUCAACAGAGUUUAAAGCUUUUUGUAUUGGCUGCUUACUGCUAGUAGACUUUAUUUUAUACAGUUUGGAGUUUUUGAUAUGCAAAGUAAGAAGUUAAAAAUUAUUUCUUGUGUACCAAUGUUUGAAUGACAACAACUUAAUGUCAAAAAAGAUAAUUAAUAUAUGUUCAAGCUCCUUCAAAAUUUCUCAAUAACGUCUUUUAAUAUAUUCGAAAUUGAUUAAAUCUAAGAAACACAUUUUUAACCUCAUACUUGGGGAGAUUCCAGGCUUGCGUGCCAAGUUGGAAGGAUUAUUGAUAGCCACUACCAGACUAUUGGUCAGUCAGCGGCUGGACAAAGGGUGAGGCUUUAGGCUAUGUAGUUAUUUUGAUUUGUGGACAAAACAAAUUUCGGGCUUCUUGUUAUGAUUAUAACCAGCGAAGUAUAAGUAUAAAUAUCUCAUUAUUCAUAAAUAUCUCAUUAUUUUAAUGGGCUCUAAUUUACAACUUCAAGGCCUUUAUAAAAUUAAUUAUUGGCUAAAUUGGUCCUUACAAAGAUAUUCUUUACUUGUUUUCGCGAUUUAAGAAUUGUGCUCUGGUUUAAGUUGGAUUGCGUUGUUUGGUUCUUUCAAAUCCGUAUAUUACAUGUUGUGAAAUAAGUUAUUUAAUUUGUAGUAUAUUAAAAGACAACAAUAGAAGUAAGAACCAAUGGAUAUUGGCUCAACCACCCCCUUUGAACAUUUAUACAUGUAUGAGAGAAAUAUACAACUAAUUUGAACAUUUAACUCCUUUCUUAAUUUGUGUUUAAAAAUUUAGAAGGACAACUAAUUGGAAUAGAGAAAGAGAGUAUCUAUUAGUUUAACUGAAUUUCUUUGCGAUUUCAAAACCUAAUAAUUUAAAAAUGAUAUCUGAGAGAAUUGACAUUUAUACAUGUAUGAGAGAGAGAUUUUUUUGUCCGCAUCAUAUAUAAAUAUAGUGAUAAGCAUGAAAAUUACCAAGAAAUUAUUUUUUUUUUUUUUUUUUUUUUUUUUCCUUCUUUCUUCCCCCAAAAGAAGUACCGUUACAACAACAAGAAAUUAUUUUCACUUUCUCAUACAGUAAACAUCACACCAACAAAUGUGAAACAUAGAUCUGUUUUAAAAUUUAACAUGCUGAGGUUACCGGUCAUUCUCAUUCUGACCGAAUAAACUAUAAACUGAUAUAUAUCAUACAUUUCUUUACAUACUAUUGUCUCAAAUUAAAAUAAUAAUUUAUCACAUAUGACAAGAAAUAGUCUUACCAUCAUAUGUAAAUAGCUUUUAAGAAGACAAAACUCAUUGUUUAGGCACGAUCCAAUGAUGUUGGAGCCCCUUUGCUUUAUUAUUUUUCUCUAAGUAAAUUCCAUCAACUCUAACAAUCCAUGAACGUUUUUCACCACAUCGAAAUGACCUAGCUCCUCUGUAUGCGCGCCAUAUAAUUAGAGAAUUUUCCACUUUUUCUCCAUACCGUAAGAGGCAACGCCAUACAAUUCUUUUUGGUGAUAUUUUCUCGUUUACUAGAAUUUGAUAUAUAUCAUUGACUUUUACCUCAUGGAGACGUUCAAUUAUGUUUGUGUUGGUUGAGCAAUUAACUUUGAGAAUGCUACCUGGAUUAAGUUUAUUUUGAAACUCUAAAGUGUUUGGUUUACACGAAAUACCUUCAUUCAAACCAAAACACAUAGCAAUAACUAGCACAAAUAUGAGGUAUUUCAUCUUUUUAUCUAAAAUAUUUGUUGAAAAGGAUCAUUUCAUAGACGUUAAAGUGGAAUAUAUUUAUAGAUUUUUGUAAACAUGCUUUAAUAUUUUAUUAACUAUUAAAUAGUAGUGGCUAAAAUUAAACACAUUUAUGAACCAAUCAAAUUAUGUGGUCGGAAAUACAUUUGAGAUCGAUAAAUAAGGUGAAUUAAAUAAUAUUAGACCAAUUAAAGUAAGCAUGCAAAUUAGUGCUGGCCAGAAAAACUAAAGAAAAUCAAACAAAAAAAUAAUACACACACGGUAUUUAAUCUAAUUAUUUUCAAAGUAGAAAAUAAAAAUUUGAUAUCUCUGUCUAGCACGACAAUAUUUUGAGCAUUUUUAAUUAUUUAAUUUAUAAUUAUGAACAUUUAUUGUUUAUAUUAAUAUUUUAUCUAAACUAGUACUAUCAAUAAAAAAGAAUGUAAUAAUUUCAGCAAGAUUGCAUGUAAUAUUUCAAAUUUGUAUUUUAUUAAAAGGUAUUUUAUAGACAAUAAAAUACAACAAAUGUAGCUAAAAUAAAUAAUGAAUUUCAUGUCUAAUGAUGAUAAAAAAUAUAUUUCCUUCGUCCCCAUAAAACAAUUAUACAAAAAAAUGUUUUCUUCACGCGUCAUCUUCGUUUUGUUCAUAGGGUUAGUAAUUUAGGGCUUCCGUUUCCAGAUAUCUUUUAUCCGCUGGUUUGGUAUCCCACAAAUGUAUUUCAACUAUGUAUUGAAUUGAUCUAUGAAAUUAUAAUGCGUCAAAAAAAAAUUAUAAUGCGUCAUCAGUGUUAUAAAAAGAAAACAGAGGUAAAAAUAUAUUUUAUUAUCUAUAAAUUGGUAUUUAUAAAUUUGUUAUUUCCUUGGCUUAUUUUAGAAAACUACUUGAAAAGGGAAUAAGACAAAAGAAAAUCUAGACUUUAACUUACGAUCUUAGCUUAAUAAUGUUUUUCUUCUUUCCAAAUGAGUAUGUUCUUCACAAUAUUGAGUUAAUGAGUUCAGUAUGUCAAAACUAUUAGUAAUAACGAUGUUAUGCAUGUCGUUUGUUUGUUUGUUGGGGCUAGACAUUGUCCACGUAACAUAUUAGUUUUUCUUUCUUACCAAUUUAAUUUGGAAAGAAAUUAACAUACUAAAUAUAGAUGUUUAUAUAAAUGUAGUUUUUAUUCAGAUAAAAAUCGAUUCUUAUUUUCAACAUUUUUCUAAAGGAUUUUAUUCAGAUUUGUUAUUGGGUGAAUCCCUAUGGUGAAUCUCUAGGUUCACUAAUCAAUAGUAUUUUGUUAUUUUAUAUUCCAUAUCAUUUAAAAAGAAAUAAAAUAAUAAAAAUUUGUAAUUGUUAAGAAAUAAUAUAAAAUAUUUUUAACGCCGUCAGCAAAACACUAAUCUCUAAACCCUAGGAUAAACCCUAAAUACUAUUUAUUUUGUGUUUAGGGUUUACUGAAGUUAAGAUUUAUGAUUUAAGAUUUAUCCAAAGAUUUAUGCUUUACCCAAAGAUUUAUGCUUAUCCAAAAGCCUUGUUUAGAAACUCUCUACGCGCUACGCGUGCAACACACACAGACCUAGCGAUUUAUUGAAAAAGCGGGAAAAAUCGGAGAGUACGCAGGGAAGAAUUUUUUGUACUUUUAUAUAUAAAUAUCACAUUUUAUAAAUAUAAUACAGAAAAAUUUAUAUAGUAAAUAUUUAUUAAAGAUACAUCACAUAUAACAAAAUUCAGAGAAUGCUUACAAUAUCCCUUGUUCGAAAACUCGCUAGGCGCUUCGCGUGCGGCAUACACAGGCCUAGCGAUUUAUUGAAAAAUCAGAAAAAAAUCUUUCUCUAUGCAAAUCACAGUAAACACAUAUAUAUAAAGUAAAUUUGCAUAGAUUACAAAGUGCAGUAGCUUUGUCUAGUUGUCUGAGUCCCCCUAAAACUCGUUCAUGUCAAAAUUUUGAUUGUGGGCAAGUGCACUUUUGACAUAUAAUUACUUUUUAGCUUUAAUGAAUGUAAAAUGACCAAUACAUCCUCGUUUUCAACCUUGCGAUUUUUCAGACCUAAUACGCAGCCGUCUUCAAGUUUUCUGCGAUUUCACCGUUUUGAAAAGCUAUUCUAGUGGGAUUGGGAUUCAACUUCAUAUAGAAGAUCUAUAAAGGUAUAAUCUGAUUUCUAACUAAAAGCUUUGAUAUUUUCAAACUUUUUCAAAUUUGGAGAUUUGGACAAAUCGGUUUUUCAAAAUUAAUCGGCGAUUUCUUCCAUUUCGCCACGAUAACCUUCUGAUUUAUGUUUAAUCGGACGAGUAAUCGGCAACUCGGCCGAGUUUUAGAACAAGGCCCAAAAGUUUAGAGUUUAAUGUUUUGCUAGCGGCGUUAUAAAUAUUAAAAAAAUUAUUAUUUUAACUUAAUUUAUUUUUACCUUUUUAUUUUGAAAAUAUAAUAUAACUUAAUAAAUUUUUAUUAUUUUUAAAAAUUAUUAAAUAUAAAAUAAUAAAUUACUAUUAGUUGUUGAACUUAUAAAAACUCUUUUAUGAACCAGAGAUUGGAAGAUCAUUAAAUAACUAACCAUCGUUUCCUUUGUCUCUCUUCUUUUUUCUUCUUUAUCUCUUUUGACAAUAGUUAGUUUCUUAAUUUAAAUUUUUUUUAGUUAUUUCACCAAUUCUCCCAUCAUUAAAUGAUGGCAAUAAUAAAAAAGUUAGUUUUUUUUUUCUCUCUUUUUUCGCAGAGAGUUCAGUUUACUCAACUAAAGGCUUUCCAUCACUGUGAAUCUUUGAUGUCAGCUUAAAAAAGAAAAAAAAAGAGAGAGAGAGAAGAGAGAACAGAGUGUAUCAGUCACUGUACUUCCGCAAGCUUCCAAAGCUCUUCCAUCACUGUACUCUCUCUCCCCACAUUCAAAUAAUGGCUCUGAGAUAAAAAUCUAAGAUUAUAAUUCUUCUAUUAUUUUAAUCAAUCUUCUUGGUAUACUUGUGAUUGAGAGAGACACGAAAAAAGAUUCUCUCUUUCGAUGGAUUACGAACGAAUCGGAAAGACCCAGGUGAUCAAAAAUGCUUCUUCCUUUCUCUCUUUCUCUCUUUCUCCCCAUUCACUAACCUUUGAGUGUUUUUGUGAUAGGUUACUACUAGCGGCGGCGGCGGCGGCUUGUCUCCGAGGAAGUUAAGGAGUAUGCUUCUUCUCGGUGCUGAUAGAAAGAAGAAAGAAGAUAUGAUUGAACCAACUCCAAUAAUGAGAUCUGGGUCAAAUCAAAGUGAUGACCUUGGUACACUUUUUGUUUCCCCCUUUUUGAUUAAUCUAGGGUCCCCCUCUUAAUCAUUUUCCUUAAUGACCCUUUUGUUUUGUCCCCAUUUGCUUAAUGGUAUCUCUCUCUCUCUCCUUGUGACCGACCUUACUUUAAAUAUAUGCAGUUGCUAGUGGAUCAGAUGAUUGCAAAGACGUUGAUGUUGUGUGUGAGAUCACCACUGAUUAUGACAACGUGAGUGAAGAAGUCAAGAGUGUUUCUGCAUCCCUCUUUGAGUUUCAAAAGACAGAAAAGGCUGCUCAAAGACUUCCCACUAGAUCCUUCUCUAAACCUGCUCCUUCCAAAUGGGACGAUGCGCAGAAAUGGAUCGCUAGUCCGACAUCUUCUAACCGACCAAAGACAGCGGCAGGACAGGUUCAUGUCUCAAAGAAAGGGCCUAGCUUUGGUCGGCAGUCUUCUAUGAAGAUUCCUCUUGCUGCUGAAGAGCCUGAUACAAAGCGAAUAGAUGUAAGCCAGGUGAAGAAGGAGACAGGACAGAAGUUUGUUAGCUGGGAAGUUGAUUCGUAUGUCAAACCUGUUCUCACGGUUGACAACUCCAUUGCAACUGAAGUUAAUCUCAGCCGUCAUGACUCAUCCAUUGCAACUGCGUUUGCGCAGCCACCUUCAACAGCGAGGUCUGUGUCAAUGAGAGACAUGGGAACUGAGAUGACUCCAAUAGCGAGCCAAGAACCUUCUAGAAACGGGACUCCGAUCAGGGCGACAACGCCAAUCAGAAGUCCUAUAACUUCUGAACCUUCAAGUCCUGGGAGAAGACAAGAAUCAUCAGCUUCUCAGAUGAGUAACAAGGAGCUCUCGGAGAAAGAGCUUCAAAUGAAAACGAGGAGAGAGAUAAUGGAGUUGGGAACACAGCUUGGGAAGUUGAACAUUGCUGCUUGGGCUAGUAAAGAGGAUGAAGACAAAGAUGCUUCCACAUCAAUGAAGAACAAAGCUGCUUCUCUGCAGACUUCUAAGAGUGUUUCUGAAGCUCGUGCUUCUGCGUGGGAGGAAGCGGAGAAGGCUAAGCACAUGGCUAGGUAACUCAGAACUUGCAUUGUUUGUUUGAUCAUAGUGGGGUUUAACUUCAAAAUGUUUUGUGUGUAAUCUUUAGAUUUAGACGGGAAGAGAUGAAGAUACAAGCAUGGGAGAAUCAUCAGAAGGCGAAAUCUGAAGCUGAGAUGAGGAAAACAGAGGUAAGUAAAGCAUGAAAGCCUCAAGAAACAUAGUGAAAGUUGAUCAUAGAAACCAUGGCCUCUGCUUAUAAGUCUGUGUUAUUGCAGGUGGAAGUUGAGAGGAUAAAGGGACGAGCGCAAGACAGGUUGAUGAACAAACUAGCUGAGAUAGAGAGGAAAGCAGAGGGGAAGCGAGCAGUGGCUGAAGCGAAGAAGAAUCGCCAAGCAGCUAAAACAGAGAAACAAGCUGAACAAAUUAGAAGAACAGGCAAAGUACCUUCAUUGAUGUUUUCUUGCUUUAGCUUUUGUUCUUAGUAACAAACAUAAGAAGAGUUCCAAUCUUUGUAUUAUUUUGUACAAUAUAAGUGUUUGUCAAAGUACCUUUUUUUUUAUUAUGGUGAUGUAUUCAUCUUAGUUGCUUUGUAGAUCUAUCACUCGGUUUAUAACUUUUCUGGUUCAGACUCGGUUUAGGCUCGGUUAUGUUGGGGUUGUGGAUAAAUCUAGGAGUAUUUGGUUUAAAUAUGGUUUCUCUAUUUUUUUUUUAAUUAUGAUUUGGCUUUGUUAGUUUGUUUUUAGAAGUUUUCUUUAAUUUCAGAAUUUUCUAUAAAUUGGUUUGGUUUGUUUGGUUCGGUUACGAUCUAGGUCAAGGAUUUAUAAUUUUGUUUCGUUCAAACUCGGUUCUGUUAAGGUCGGUUUAAGUACUUCAUCACCGUCCGUUUCCAAAAAUACUGUCUGCCAAUAAGAACACACCACGUGUGUACAUCUGAUGAUAAACGAUAGUAAUCUCCCAAUCGCAAAAAGGAAAAAACGAGCUGUUAUGAUGACUUUGGUCGCAAGUUUAAAAAAAAAUGGAAAGGAUUACUAUUGCCCCCAAGCCAGAAUCAAAGAGGUUAUAAAUACAUGUUUCACGCAAGAGUUUUCUCCACAAGUUGCCUCCAUGGGCAAGUAUAAAGAUUGUUUGAAGACCAGAGCGAAUCUAAAGAAGCAGAAGAAACAUGUGGCUAAAGUUGAAAGAGUGACGAGAUUUACCGAUCUUCCACUAGACUUGGUUGGUGAUAAGAUACUCUCCAAGGUUCCAAUAACCUCUCUCCGAGCAGUGCGAUCCACUUGUAAGUUAUGGAACGCUUUAUCCAGAGAAUGGAUCUUGAGUAACACACCAACAUCAAAGCGGCAGUUUUCGAGUUUCAUGACGAUGGAUUACAAGGUUUAUUCAUUGAGAUUUCAUCCCCACAAAGACAAGUAUAUGGGAGUUUAUCAAUCUAGAAAGCAUAUAGAUAUACUUAAUCAAGUUGAGAUAUCCAAAGUAUUUCACUGCAACGGCUUAUUGUUAUGCGUCCUCAAGGACAACUCAGGACUCGCCGUGUGGAACCCUUAUUUGGGGCAAACAAGGUGGAUUGAACCUAGAACAAAGUUUCACAAAUGCGACAUGUAUGCUCUCGGGUAUGACAAGAAGCGUAACCACAAAAUCUUGAGAUGUUUUGAUGAUUAUGACAUCGACAGCAGAAAACACUCUUUUCAUUGUCGAAAUCUACGACUUGGGAUCUCAUUCUUGGAGGGUUCUUGACGUUACUUCGGACUGGGCAAUAGAUUUUGAUGCUAACGGAGCGUCUUUGAAAGGAAAUACUUAUUUUUUUGCACAAGAGGAAAUACCACCUUGUGGUGAUGGAAGUAUAGCGGUAUCAGACCUUGAAGAUUUUUUAAUCUGUUUUGAUUUUACAAACGAGAGAUUUGGACCGCGUUUGCCUCUUCCGUUUCACUCUAGUUUAAAAGAAGGUGUGACACUCUCUUGUUUUGGAGAAGAUCAGCUCGCGGUGCUGCAUGAACGGUUUUAUACAUUAGAGACAUUGGAGUUUUGGGUUACUACUAAGAUUGAGCCCAACGUGGUGUCUUGGAGCAAGUUUUUGAAACUGGAUAUAACACAACAUGAAGGUUAUUUGUCUCACGUUGGGAGUUUCGUCAUUGACGAGGAGGAGAAAGUUGCAAUGGUUUUCGAUGGAGACAGAGACGACCAACCCUCAAACACACGUCGGUACCACAAGGCUUUGGCCGUUGGAGAUGGAUAUGUUGACUUUGAGAGUCUUAGAAAAUGUCCGACUGAGUCUCGUCCCCCACUGGUGUGCUCGUCUUCUUAUCUCCCAAGCUUAGUGCAAAUCAACUAACUAGGGCAAAAGGAAAGAAAGAGAAGAUUUUUAAUUUCUUGGUUAGUUUUGACUCGAAUAUGUUUGGGGUGUGGAUAAAUCUAGGAGUAUUUAUAUUAUUAAAAUUGAAAUAUAUUUAAUAAUUGUUUGGAAAUAUGAAUAACAAGUAUAAUGUUUGGAAACAUGGAUAGCAAUAAAAAAAUAGUGUCAUUUUUGUAAUUACACUUAUAGAACUAACCUUAUUUUCAAUAGAUAAUACAUUUUUUUAUUUCCAUAUUUUCGUUCAUCUUAACUAUUUUAUUAAAUAUAUUAUUUUAACAAUACUUCACAUCAUUAAUUAUAUUAACAUAAUAAUAAUAUUGCAGAUUUUUAUUUAUUAGUUAAUCAACAUUAACUUUGUACCAAUUAAGAAUCAAAAUAUGAAAUAAUCAGAUUUUGCAUAUGGUUAAAAGUUUGAUUUAGUCUAUUUUACUAUUUUUAUCUUAAUUUCAAUCAGUAAAAAAUUACGUAGACAAACACUUAAUUAAAAACAUAGUUUAUGUGAACAAAAUAAUAACUUAAAUCAAAAUAAUAAAAAAUAUUACAUAUUGUCAAUUAAUUUUUCACACCAUAUAACUAUUUUACUAAAUAAUUUUUUUUAUUUGACUUAAUUUAGCCAGACAUAGAAUUAAUUGUUCAAAAGAUCGGGUAAUAUACUUAUUUUGGUUCUUCUUAGGUUUAUAUGGUUCGGUUCUGAUGCAUAGGAACCUAAAAACAUGAAAAUAACCAGUGUAUCUGAAACGGAUUUGGAAUAUUUGUAUCACAAAAACUAUAUUACCCGAUAUUUUGAAUACAAUUAAUUAUAUAGCAAUACAUCUAAAAUAUAUAACACUAAUAAUGAAAAAUAAAUAAUUUAUAAAAAUAAAAUAACCAAUACCGGUGCGGGCACGGGUCAAGUUCUUGUUUGGUUUAAAUAUGGUUUCUCUAUUUUUAAUAUGAUUUGCCUUUGUUAGGGUUUGUUUUGGGCAGAAGUCUUAUUUAAUAACAAAACUAGUGUUUUGACCCGUGCAUGUUUUCACUUUAUAAAUUUUGAAUUUUCUUGUUGUUUAGAAUAAGUUAUAUACUUCUAUAACACUAUUUACAUAUAUUAUUCUACAUUAUUAAUAUAUAAUAUUAAUAUUUUACAUGUAAUGUAUGUAGUCAUCAGAAAUGAAUAUCGAUUUAUUUUUGUAAGAUUUAGUAUCAGAACUUUUUAAUUUAAAGUAAUUGGCUGGAACAACAUCCUCUAAAAAUGAGAAACUGAACAUAAACUUUUAUAGUUUCCAUACAUUAUUUUUAUAAGUUUUGUUAAUUUUAUUUCAAAUUAUAAAUAAAACUUAUAUGUUAUCUUGAUAGCAAAAUGUGAAUGUCCUGGUUCAAUAUGGUUAUGCUUAAGCAUGUUAUCCAACCAAUUGAGUAUUGUUAGACUUUAAAUGAAAUAAAUACUAAAAUAUAAAUAAAACACAAUAUUGAUCAAGGUUUAGUUUAUAGCUAAUAAUAAAUUUGAAGGAUCUUUUCUGAUGAAAUAUUAAGUUUAUUGAUCAUCAUGAGAAAAAAAUUGUAUGUACAGAGAAUGAGUUUGUAUAAAACUACUCCAAAAAAGCUUUAAAACUACUGCAAAAAAAAAUUGAAACUAGGAAUGAGCACUAAACCAUCUCUGCAUCAGUCCAUAUAGCUUUGGCUUCAAGUGGUACUUUGUAGAAGAGAUCUUGUUCAUAAAUCUGAAGGUUUGAUUUCUUGUAAUUAUGUGGUGAUGCCCACUAUUUUUUUUUUUAAAUUAAUUUGGAGGUAUUCCGGAUUUAUGGAAGGGUCCAAACUAAUCAUUAAAGGGAAGUGCAGCUAAUAGAUAGACCAUCUCUCUGAGUAUUCAAAUGGACUGAAAGCAAUAAUUCAUAUUUAUGUUAGGUGUCCAAAAAAAAUAUGACUUAGUUUCGCAUAACAGGUAGAUCAAACCUGAAACAUGUUGGCGUUCCAAAUCCUUUCCUUUACCACUUGACUAUAAGCUUCCGAACAUACUAUUUUUAUUACACGUUGGUUUAUAGCUUACCAAUAAAUCUUGAAGUUUUUGAUACCAUGAUUUCUCGUGAGGUAAAGUGAUGGUACUACAUGAUUUCGUGGUUAAUUUGUAGUUAAUAAUAAAUAGUGAUUGCCAAAACAAUAUAUGUGAUGCAAUUUUAUUGCUUUUUAUAGUUACCAAUAAUACGUGUAACAAAUUCUGGUUAGAUAGCGUGAUAUAUUUUCAUGAUUUUAUGGUUGAAUUAAUUUUGAAUAAAAUAUCAAAUUACCAUUAAUGAAGAUUUUAGGUUUAGUUAAAAUUUGAGUGGCAAUUUAUGUAAUAUUCCACAUGGAAGCAAGGUUAUUUCUACAGUGUACUUUUCUUUUACCAGAGAAGAUUUUCUGUGAACCGGUUUGUUUGGUUCGGUUACGAUCUCGGUUAAUUCCGACCAACGAUUUAUAAUUUUGUUUCGUUCAGACUCGGUUCUGUUAAGGUCAGUUUAGAUACUUCAUCACCGUCUGUUCCAAAACGCUGUCUGCCAAUAAGACCUUACAAUGUGUUUACAUGUGAUUUGAUAUACGAUAAUAAUCUCCCGAUCGCAAAAGAAAAAAGGUAAAAAACAGAGCUGUUAUGAUGACUUUAAUCGCAAGUUAAGAAAAAAAAAGGAAAGGAUUAGUAUGCCCCCAAACCAGAAUCAUAUAAAAACAUGUUACACGCAGAGUUUGUCUCCACAAGUUCUCUCUCCAUGGGCAAGUCUCGCAACAAACCCGCAUCAAAAGUAAUAUUUUUCUCCUAAUGACUUUUCUUCUUCCUCUAUUUGUCUUAAACCCUAUGUUCCUGUCUGUUCUAAGAACCUAACUAGACUUUUGUUUGUGUUUUUAAUUUUUCAGUUUGAAGCAACUUUGAAGAAACCUAAGAACUUAGGUAAGGCAGAGUCUAAGGAAUGUUUGAAGACCAGAGCGAAUCUAAAGAAGCGUAAGAAACAUGUGUUGAACGUUGGAAGAGUGACGAGGUUUAGCGAUCUUCCACUAGACUUGGUUGGCGAUAAGAUACUCUCCAAGCUUCCAAUAACGUCUCUUGGAGCGGUGCGUUCCACUUGCAAGUUAUGGAACGCUUUAUCCAGAGAAUGGAUCUUGAGUAACGCAGCAAAAUUAAAGCGGCAAGUUUUAGGUUUCAUGACGAUGGAUUACAAGAUCUAUUCAUUGAGAUUCCAUCUCCACAAAGACAAGUAUAGGGGAGUUUAUCAAUCUAGAAAGCAUAUAGAUAUACUUAAUCAAGUCGAGAUAUCCAAAGUCUUUCACUGCCACGGCUUAUUGUUAUGCGUACUCAAGGACAAGUCGAGGCUCGUGGUAUGGAACCCUUAUUUGGGGCAAACAAGGUGGAUUGAACCUAGAACAAAUUUCCAUAAAUGCGACAGGUAUGCUUUCGGGUAUGACAAGAACCGUAACCACAAAAUAUUGAGAUGUUUUGAUGAUUAUGACAUCAUCAACAAAAAACUCUCUUUCAUGGUCGAAAUCUACGACUUGAGAUCUCAUUCUUGGAAGGUUCUUGACGUUACUUCGGACUUGGCAAUAGAGUAUGAUGCUAACGGAGCGUCUUUGAAAGGAAAUACUUAUUUUUUUGCUCAAGAGGAGAUACCACCUGGUGAUGGAAGUAUAGUGGUAUCAGACCUUGAAGAUUUUUUAAUCUGUUUUGAUUUUACAAACGAGAGAUUUGAACAGCGUCUGCCUCUUCCGUUUCACUCUAGUUUACAAGAAGCUGUGACACUCUCUUGUGUUGGAGAAGAUCAGCUCGCCGUGCUAUACGAAAGGUUGUAUACAAUAGGGACAUUGGAGUUUUGGGUUACUACUAAGAUUGAGCCCAACGCGGUGUCUUGGAGCAAGUUUUUGAACGUAGAUAUGACACCACAUGAUGGCUAUUUGUCUCAUGUUGGGAGUUUCAUCAUUGACGAAGAGGAGAAAGCUGCAAUGGUUUUCGAUGGACGCAGAGACGACCAACCCUCAAAGACACGUCGGUACCACAGGGCUAUGACCGUUGGAGAUGGAUAUUGUGGAUUAUAUGAGGGUCUUAGAAAAUGUCCGACUGAGACUCGUCCCCCACUGGUGUGCUCGUCUUCUUAUCUUCCAAGCUUAGUGCAAAUCAACUAAGGAAACAAAGAGAUGAUUUUUAAUUUACCUUUGUUUGUUUCUUGCAUGCUACUGUACUGACUUAUUCUACUUAGUUUUCUAUUCGUCUUCUAAUACAAUGUUCAAAGACCGGCCAUUGCAUGAUUUACCUUAUCCUUUAAUGCUUGUUUGACGUCAUAUAAUUUAUUUGGGUAAAAAAAAAAGGGAUCUAGCUUAUAAGGACAUGAUGACAUGAUUAACCCUGGGUUUUUAGUUGGGAUUUUUAACUCAUAAUUUGACAUUUUUUUUUACACUUUUCGAGACGGCUCUUAUAUCUCUUAUUUAAGAAAAGGUUCUUAGUUUUUCUUAGUUAAAAUUAAAAAAAGCUAAGAACCCUUUCUUAACCGUUUCUUAACCGAAGCUAAGAUCCUAAUUAAGAGAUUGGGGUUAAUCAUAAUCUAAGCAUGCAUAAGAAUCGACAUUGCAUGUAGAAGUUGAGAGGAUGAAGAGACUAGGACUAGACCGGCUAAUAAAAAAACUAGCCGCAAUCGUAGACAAAGCAGCAGCUGAAGCAAAGAAUAAUCGUCAAGCAGCUAAAAGAGAGAAACAUAAAUCGGACCUCGUGGUCUGGUGGUAAAGGAACCUCGGCUGAGGUGCCCGCCAUCACGAGUUCGAGCCCUGGCUACAACGGAUUUAACAUGGUUUCCGUUUGGCCUCCAGGACCUUCCUCGCCAGUUCCGGUUGGACGCGGUGGGAUAAUCGGAUUAAGUGAGAGGUCCGGAUACUUAGAUUAUAAAAAAAAAAGAGAAACAUUGAACAAAUCCGAAAAACAUGCAUAGUGCCUUCAUUGUUUUUCUUAUAACGACUAUUUUAUUGAUAUUAAGCUGAAUGUAUAUAAUCCUCAUACAGAGAAUUAUGAAUCAUUGUUGGUACAAAAUAAUGAGAUACAAAUAGCCUAUUGUUGUUGUUGUCUUAACAACAUUAUUAUAUGAAUUGUUUUAUAUUCACAAUAGAAUUAUCUUUAUAUUUUUUAACACUUAAUAUAUUUUGAUGAGAUUUUAUAAUACUCUAUCUAAAAUCACAUUUAAGUUAUAUGCAAUAUAUAUUACAUACACCAAAUAAUAUAAUAAAAUUAAUAUAAAUGUCAAAUUUCAAAAAAUAACAAUUAAUGUCUAUUCACUAAAAUCGAAUAUUUUUUUCAUCUUAGAAUAAAUAUAUCUUAAAAUGAGAAAUCUAAAUAAGAAAACUUUUGUAAAAUUAAUAUCUUUUUAUAAAUCAAUAAAAUUUUAAAAUCCCAAUAUUACUAAUUUAUAGAGACUCUACUGUUUAUUAAUUACUAUUUCUUUUCGUGAACACUUAAAAGUAAUCUCACUGAUCCACUUACAAUAAUGACCUAAUAAUAAAAAACCAUACAUUGGGCCGGUAUAGCUUGCACACAAAGGCCCAUUAAGAGUCCAUAACUUACCAACUAAACAAAAAGAACAGAAACGAAACAGCAAAGUUAGUCCUAAGGGAAGACACAUCAACAAAACCCAGAGAGUUCGUUCGUUCAUAAACCCUACUUUCCUCUUCCUCCUCCACCUCCUCCCUCCUCUUCAGUCGAAUCGAAUAUCUGAGUAAUACAAUGUCUCCGAGCUAAAACGAUGAGGCUCAUUGUAUUCCCUCUGCACUUCCUCCUCAAAAUGCUCUGCUCUCUCCGCAACUUCAUCCACGUUAAUCGCAGGUUCCCUCGCCGUGUAAGCCCUUGUUUCCCUCUCUCUUCUGUCUCCUGCCCUUUCGUCUGGUUCACGAGCUUCCUCUGCGUCAUUCGAUACCCUUUCGUCACCAAAACACACCCUCUAGAUUCCAACAGAGACUGGAUCCGUAACGUCGUCAAGAACGAUCUAUGGGAAGAUCCCCAAAUCAACAACCUUUUUGAUCCAGUUCAUGUCCCAAGGCUCCUCCUUGAUUUGAAACAAGACCCUAGAUUAGCCCUCAAGCUCUUCAAAUGGUCAACGAACCGAACCGGGUCUAACCACACCGUUGAGUCAUACUGUAUCAUAGCGCACAUUCUCUUUUGUUCUAGAAUGUAUCACGAUGCUAACAGCAUCCUUAGAGAGAUGGUUACGUUACAUAACUGCGAUGCUUUCGAUGCUCUUUGGUCUACGAGGAACGUCUGUGUCCCUGGUUUUGGUGUCUUUGAUGCUCUCUUCAGCGUUUUGAUUGAUCUUGACAUGGUCGAGGAGGCUUUGCAGUGUUUCUCCAAGAUGAAGAGGUGUAGGGUUUUCCCAAAGACUCGUUCUUGCAACGGUUUGCUUCAGAGGUUUGGGAAGUUAGGGAAGAGGGAAGGGAUGAAGAGGUUUUUUAAGGAUAUGAUUGGUGCUGGCUCGAAGCCGAGUGUGUUUACUUACAAUAUAAUGAUAGAUUGUAUGUUUAAAGAAGGAGAUGUUGAAGCUGCGAGAGGCUUGUUUGAGGAAAUGAAGUUUAGAGGUUUGGUUCCUGAUACUGUUACGUAUAACUCUAUGAUUGACGGGUAUGGGAAGGUUGGUUUGUUAGAUGAUGCGGUUUGCGUUUUCGAGGAGAUGAAGUGUAUGAGUAUUGAGGCUGAUGUUAUAACGUUUAACUCGCUGAUUAAUUGUUUCUGUAAAAAUGGAGUGUUGCCUAAGGGUUUGGGGUUCUACAGGGAGAUGAAGCGGAGUGGGGUUAAACCGAACGUUGUUACUUACAGCACUUUGGUUGAUGGUUUCUGUAAGGAGGGUAUGAUGGAACAGGCAUUGAAGUUUUAUGUUGACAUGAGAAGAGUUGGUCUUGUGCCUAAUGAGUUUACUUACACUUCUCUCAUUGAUGCCAAGUGUAAAAUUGGUAAUCUAACGGAUGCUUUUAGGCUGGGUGAUGAGAUGUUGGAGGCGGGUGUGGAGUGGAAUGUGGUGACCUACACUGCAUUGAUCGAUGGUCUUUGUGAUGCUGAGAGGAUGCAAGAAGCUGAAGAGCUUUUUGGCAAAAUGGUUGCAGCUGGUGUGGUUCCGAAUCUUGCGAGUUACAACGCUUUGAUUCAUGGAUUUGUAAAGACCAAAAACAUGGAGAGAGCGUUAGAGCUUCUGAACGAGUUAAAAGGGAGAGGUAUUAAACCGGAUUUGCUCCUCUAUGGAACUUUCAUUUGGGGUUUGUGUGGUGUAGAGAAGAUAGAAGCAGCUAAGGUAGUGAUGAAGGAGAUGCAGGAGGAUGGAAUCAAAGCGAAUACGUUGAUCUACACAACGUUAAUGGACGCUUACUUCAAGUCUGGAAACCCCAAAGAGGGAUUGCAUUUGCUAGAAGAGAUGCUACAACUUGAUAUUGACGUCACUGUUGUUACCUUUUGCGUUUUGAUUGAUGGAUUGUGCAAGAACAAGUUAGUUUCCAAGGCUAUUGAUUAUUUUGGGAGGAUGAGUGAAGAGUUUGGUCUACAAGCUAAUGCAGCAGUGUACACAGCGAUGAUUGAUGGUCUCUGUAAAGUGAAUCAAGUUGAUGCCGCAACGAGUCUUUUUGAAGAAAUGGCUCAAGAGGGUCUAGUUCCAGACAGAACAGCAUACACAUCGUUAAUGGAUGGGAACUUGAAGCAAGGGAAUGUGUUAGAGGCUUUGGCUUUACGAGACAGGAUGGAUGAGAUUGGUAUGAAGCUUGAUUUGCUUGCUUACACUUCAUUGGUCUGGGGGUUAUCGCAGUGCAACCAGUUGCAGAAAGCGAGAUCCUUCCUUGAGGAAAUGAUUGGGGAAGGGAUUGUACCUGACGAGGUUUUGUGUGUUAGUGUCUUGAAGAAACACUAUGAGCUUGGAUGCGUAGAUGAAGCUGUAGAGUUGCAGGGUUAUUUGAUGAAGCACCAGCUUUUGACCAGUGAUAAGAAUAACGCACUUCCAGACAUGUGAAACUCAGGAAGAUGCAAUCUUUAUGCUCUUGUCAGACCGGUUCAGGUUUUCGGAUCCAAGCCUUGUCUCGUCUGGAGAAAAUGAACGAAAAUGUUGAAUCUUCAGACUGAGCUUCUCCUGAGAAUCUAUCAGCUAAUCAUCCAAGGAGAAGCUGUAAGAGCUGAGGUAUGAAAACAAAUCUAGUAUUGGGGAUUUGUGAUAUUAAACUCUGAGUUGUGUCUGUGAUAAGUCUUUUUGUUGCAGACUUUGAGCUCUGCUCUGAAGUGUUGAGCUAUGCAAAAGAUGAGAGAAAGAGAGUGAAUAUGAUUAUGAAGUUGAUUUGCUUACAGAUAGGUUAAUGUCCUUGAAGGUUCUUCAUUGUUUAUUGUAUUUGUUGCUUUGAGGAACCAAUCAAAAGUCCUAAUUUUUGUUGUGUACAUUUCUUUUUUUCUUCUUUUUACCCCAGAAUGUAAUUUCUUUUAUUGAUGAUUUAAAAGUGAAAAACAAAUUCUAGUUUUCCAUUAUGCAGAAACGGUGAAAACUAUUUUCAUGUAUGUAGUCACAGAGAAGGUUAAACAAAUUUAAGUCUUUACAUUCUUUGUUUUGAAGAUUAUGAAUGUGUUGCCAAACAAAAAUUGAAAGCUUUCAGAUUCGUAUACUACUUUGUUUACAUAUAUUUCAAUUAAAUCAUCAGUUUAUACUAUUUUCAAUUGUGUGUGAAUUAUCUACACACAUCAGCAUAUAAUUCGUUACUGCAGGUUUAAGUGACUAAAAACAUCUUCAAUAUAAUACUCUAUUUUUUCCUCCAAAAAUGAGUAAAAUUAAUAUGGAGUAAAAAUGUUCUAAUCCAAUUCUAUUUUUCACUCCAUAAUGAAGUGAUGAACAAAUAAGAAAUAUAUUAUUUCAUUUAUGGAAUAAAUUCUAUUAUGGAAUGAGAUAUGAAAUUGAGUUUUUACUCCACUUUAAAAGAAAAAAUGAAAUGGAGUUAGAGAUGUUCUAACAGGCCGCAGUAAGGUAGAUGUUUCUACUAGAAAAUAAAAAUUCUAUUCACCUAGACAUAAACAUAGAUGUGUUCAAAGUUCUACAUCCAUUACCUCCAACAAUUUAUUUCGAUUUAGUAGAUUUACUUGUAAUAAAUAUUGUUUUACAGACAAGCUAUAGAAGCUUGCCCGUAAAACCAAUUAGUGAAAUAAGUGCAUACUCUUUCCAAAACUACACUUUUUUUUCUUCCAAAACUAUACACAAUGGCACCGUUUCUCCUAAUAUCCUUACUUCAAGUUCUAAUGGAAAUGAUCUUGAGCUCAUCGACUUGAUCAUCUAUCUUUUGACAAUUGCAUAUCAAAAUCAACAACACACUCCUUCCAAACACACAUGUCAGAUCGUUGCCACAUCAGUUUCCCCAGAGCCACCACCACCACCAUCAUUAAUCUAUUUACCGAAGUCAACACGCAGCCGUGCAUUUUUCCUGUCACAGAACCAUCAGUGCGACCCUAAACUAUCUCACACCCACCAGUCACCAUCUAUUUCGCAGCACAUGGCUUUGCUAGCAACCCCUCACCGUAGGCUAUGUCAUAGCACAGAGGCUUGGGAGUUGGGAUAUUGUAGAGAGAUUUGUAAUUGUAAGCUCAUGUAUGUGGUUUUAGAAAAUGAAGUAUCCAUAAUGAACCCAAAAAUAAUACUCCCUCCGUAUUUUUUGAAUAAUUGAUGUUUUAAAUUUUGGUUUUGUAUUGAAAUGAUUGACGUUGUAGAGUAUAAUUAAUGUAUUUGUUUUUGAAACUAAAACAUAAAUUAGAAUGUAAAAGUAUGAAUGAUAAAACUUUAAUCAGAAAAAUAAAUAAAUAAAUAUCAAUGCCAUGGACAGAUACAACAUAGCAUGUUUUUUCCUGCAGCAUAUUAUCUCCUGCAGCGAAAAUGUUUGGGACGGAUUGCGGUGUAACAGAUGGAUCGCAUCCAAUGAUCUUUUUAGAGAAAAGAAUAUUUAUUCAUAAAAAUUGAGAGCCGCAAAAAAAUCUUACAAGACCAACAACGAAGUGGAAAAAAACUAGCGAAUCGGCAUAUUCUACGAAUGCGUUAGGAAGCAUCGAUGUUUCUAUUAAAAGUUUUUUUUAACAUGUUUUGUAAAAUUUUGCUUUAUGUAAUAUGUUAGAUUUGAUAUCAAUAAAAUUCAGAUGUUAUUAAAAAAUAAAGAUUAGAAUAUAUUUAAUUUUUCUUAAUAUAUAUGAAAAGAUUAAAACACAUAAUUACAAAAAAAAUAUUAUAUGUAAUUAUGUAAAUAUAAAUUGUGAAAUGAUGGUUAGUACGUGGUGAAACUGUAUAACGUAUUACCAUAAUUGUCCCUUUUAAAACUAUAUCCGCGAACUGUAAUCAGAAUGAUGAAAGCGAUAAAUAUGAAAGCUUUUGAAAAAAAAAAAUAUUAAACUUUUGAUAUAAAAGCAAAAGAAGCAAAAACCAUCUACAAAAUCAUAUUUUUACUAUUGUGAAAAUUCACAUAAUCAACAAGAAAUAAACUCAUGCUGCUAAUCAGUUUUUCUACCAAAUGGAAAUGAACAGUAAUAUAUUAGAUUCAAAUAGGUUAAAAACAAAAAUAUAAUUAAAGUAACUAUGGGUCGUAGUUGGCAUAUAUAUCAUAUUUUGUGGAAUCAAUUUGACUAUUUGAAUGAUUGAAUUAAUACACAUAUUUCUGUGAGGGGUAAAAUACUAAAAGGGAAAUUUGGGAUCAUGUACAUAGUGGAAUAAAAACCAAGUGUAUAACCAUAACAAAAAAUAGAUUAUGAUAUUUAUAUAUUAUUUGUCAUAUUACACUUUCUCAUUUUCACAUCUCUUUUUAAUUAACUUUAUAAGUUUGAAAAAUUAUAAUUUGAAUUUCUUAUAUACUUAUAAGAAACAUAGAUUUUUUUCGUAUAUGACAUUUUGAAUUUUGUAAAACUAACAUAUAUUUAUAAAAUUGAAUAUAUACAAUAAUAAUAAAGUUUUGUUCUAUUCUAUUACAUAAAGUUAUAUAGAAUAGUAGUGAUAAAAUUCAUCUUUCCUCAAUCUCCCUCCCCAAUCUCCAUCCACAUAUCCCUUUUUCUUUUCCUUCUCCCUCUCUCUUUCAUUUCUUUUUUCCUUCUCUCUCUAUAAUAUAUAAUGUUCAAAAAUUAUAUUAUUGUAUUCUAUUCUAUUUAAAAGUAUAAAAUAAUUUAUAAAAUAAAAAUUGCACUUUUUCUUUCUCCUCUUUUUCUCCUCCCAAAUUCUCUCUCUCUUCACUCCUACCCCUCCCCCGCCUCUUCUCUCCUCUUACUUCCCUCUCUCUCUCUCUCUCCAUUUUCCUCUUUGUACUCCUUUCCUCUUUUUUUUCAUCAUCUCAUCAUGUUCUUUAUACUCUUCUAUUUAUUAGACAUUAUACUUUUUUCCAGCUUCUUGUGUAAAAUCUCUUUUCAUUUUUUAUCAUUUCCGUCUUCGCUUUUCUUCCUCUCCCCUUACUCUCAAUAUUUUUUUUCAUAUAUAUAUUUUCACAUGCUAUACUAUAUGAUCAUCAAAUAUAGAAUGAUAUAUGUUUAUUUUGUAAUAUAUCAGCUAAUUAUGUUAUUUCACAUAAUUUAUUUUACAUUAAACACUUGUCCUACGAAUAAAUAUGCUUGUUCAUAUUGUCUACUGAUUAAAUUGCAUUGAACCCUAUAAAUAAAUAGUACUAAAGAAAUUAUAUUAUUCUCUAUUGUUACAUUUAUGUUUGAAAUAAUCCAUUAUAUAUUGACAACAUAAAUAAAUAGUAUUUGGUUGUAACGUUUGAUAUACACACAUUCACGCACUCGUAAAAGAUUAUAAUGUCCAAUAAUGUGGUAAAUUGACACAUUUCUCAACACAUGGCUAUAUUCUUUGUUUUUUUCUUAAUAUGGUUAUACAGCAAAAUCACCCAUACUAAAAUUGGUAAGUUUUUGACAAAAAAAAUUCACCAGCAGGCAGCACCAAUGGGUAAACUUUACAGUUACGAAAUAGUUUACUGUGCCUUAACUUGUUUGCCUUCUUUUUUACGCGGUGAUGAUAACAAUUCUUUAGUCACAGUGCACAUAUAUACAUAAUUAUCUUUUGAGCGUAUUAUUAGACGGAGAAUCCGAUUUUUUUUUCGUUGUCAAAUGGGCAAGCCAAAAAAUACACAGACUUGAUUGCUUACUAAAAAUCCAUUAAUUAUGUUGAAAAGAGAAAUAGUAGAGAUUAAGAGAACAAAAAUUAACAAAGCUUUUCCCUAAUUAACGUACGAUAUAAUCUCGACAUAAUAUGUUAAUUUUUUUGGUUCAUGCUAGAUGGAGAACUCGAAUUUUUUUUUGGUUGUCACUUGUCACAUGGAUCAUCCGAAAGAUUAACUAAAAACACAGACCAGAAUCCUUACUAACAUGCCACUAAUUGAUGUAUAGAUAAUAGAUGAGAAGAUAGUAGAGAGAGAACAAAAAUUACAACAAACUGUUUCCCUAAUUCACGAUAUAUCGCGAAAUAUCAUAUCGCAGAGCUUCAUUUUUCGGGGGAAGAGAGAAAGAAUAGUUGAAAGUAAGUGUUGUAUAAGAAGCUAAUGGGGGAACUUAGAAGAGGGUGGCAUUAUAUAUACGCAAGGACUCAAUGUGUAUGUAAGAACGAUAGAGAAGAAUAACUCAUUGUCUUCAUAUUUACUUGGACUAAGGAAACUUUUAGAGAAUAUUACUAUUAGUUGGAUACUUUUUGUUGUAUUGCUUAUAAUAGCUGCCACGAAAGCUUUACUUCUUCAUCAUGUGUUAGUAAAAUAAGUAAAAUUUUGAACAAUGUUCACCGCCUUAAUUACCCUAGUUUAUUUUGGUUAUGAAUAAUGAGAGCUUAAAUAAUCAAUAAUUUAAAAUAUCCAGAUAUAAGACUUAUAUUGACUGGUUAUAGACCUAAAUCUUUGUAUCAAAUAUAAAAUUCUUCAAAAGGUAAUUAUUCCUUGAUUUUAUAAAUCAACAUAAUUUAAGAAUCAAAUAAUAAGAUUUUAAUCAAUAUCUGAAAAUUUGCGACACAAAUACGUAUGUAAUCUAACUCUCUUUUUUUUUUUUAUAAAAGAGAACAUAUAUGCAAGCAUAAAUAAGUAUAUAUAUUAUAGAAUCAUUUUUCUGGUUUUGAUAUAAGUUACUAAGUGUACGUUGAUAUUCAAGCAUACGAUAUCUAAUUUUGUAUCAAUAGUAUGAUUAAAGACCAAAAAAAAAUGAUUUUUACACACAAAAAAAAAGAUUUUUACAUUUUCGUGACAUUUUAUAAAUCUAGCAGGUUUUGGUGCAGUAGCACUUAAGACUACUGCAUUGACCUCCUGUGAAUCCUUCGCCAGUGCAAACACCGGCACAGUUCUUUGCAUUGAGACACACUCCUUGAAACUUGGUACUUGGUGACUCACACGUUCUGGCUUCCACUGGAAUCAUUCCUAGAUCACAAAAUUAACCCACCAAAGUAUAAAACAUUUUCAUUUUGAAGCAUAAACAUAAUUAUUUUUAUUUUAUUUUUUUUGUUAAAGGCAUAAACAUAAUUAACUAAGAACAUUCAUAAAUGUUAUUAUAUAUAACAAAAAUGUGGAAUACAUGCAUCAUGCAUUGGCUUGUAAGUAAAUUAUUUUCAUACUCACGUAUAUGUUACAUGCUUAUAAUUAGAUCCAGGGCUAGUCGAAAGAAUAAGAUAUUCGAAGCCAUAUACAUUGGGAAACUACUGUAUAUAAAUUUUAAGGAUUUUUAGUAAUAUAUUGUAUAUAAUAAGUUUUCUCGGUUUCCCAUAAAAUAAUUUAACAAUAUAGUUUAGCGUGUUUAAAAUGUUUAGAGUUUUUUUCUUCUGAAAAUUGUUUUUAGGUAGCUCUCAAAGAAAACCUAAAGAACCACUUUUUCUUCGUUUAUCCCUCUGAAUAUGUGCAUUGAUCACUAAAAUGAUAGUUAAUAAAAAUUUAUCAGAUCAUAUUCUAUUUAUGAAUAAAGUCAAAAAUAACAAAAAAGUAGUAUUUAGUGCUGAAGUUUUUUUUGACGUUGUUAACGCCGUCAACAAAAAAUUAAACCUUAAAUUCUAAACCCUAAUAUUUUGAUUUUGGGUUUUGGGGUUUAGGAUUCUUAGUUUAGGAUUUAGAAUUUAAGAUUUAGAUUUAAGGGUUUUGCUGAUGGUGUUUAUAGUUUAAAGUUUUGUUUACAACGUUAAUGAUGUUAAUGUUUUUUCUUCAUUUUUCAGCAAUUAAUACUAUUUAAUUUUAUACUUUUUCAUAAAUAAAAUAUAUAUUUGCAAAUUUUUAUUGGUAAUAUUUUAGUGGUGAACAGAAGAAAAAACUCUAAAAGAAAUAUAUUUUAAGUAGGGGUUUGAUCCGAUUCGUUUCGUUUGAAUAAUCAAUUAUUCGAUUCGAUUUGAUCCGUAGCUAGUUGGAUAUUUGGUGUCCCCAAAAAAUUUUAGAUUUUUGAUUAGAUAUCCAACUCUAUCCGUAAAAAUAAAUUAAAAGAUAAAAAAAAAAUUCAAAAUAAUAUAAAAUAAUAAAGUUACUUACUUUUCAAAAUUCAAAUAACUAAUAUCCAACUCUAUCCGUAAAAAUAAAUUAAAAGAUAAAAAAAAAAUUCAAAAUAAUAUAAAAUAAUAAAGUUACUUACUUUUCAAAAUUCAAAUAACUAAUAUAAUAAAUUUAGUAAAAAAAAUACUGUAUAACUUUUAUAAAAUAUAAUAUUUAUAUAACUUAUAUAAUAAAUAUAUGUAUAUAUAUAUGCAUAUAAAGGAUCGGACCGGAUAUUUGUUCUAAAAAUAUUAGUGUUUGUGACAAAAAAAAAACGUUUCUUUCCCACGAGGGUAUUUGUAUUCUCGACGUUGAUUUCUUUUUUAUUAUUAGUUGAAUUUAGAAGUUUUAUACGUUAUCAACCAAACUAAAUGAUGAAUAUUAAGAUAUGGAGUUCACUAAUAGAUACAUACUGCAGAAGAUGAGUUAUGAACCUGCGGCAAGGAGUAGCAUGAACGAGAGGAGAAUGGUUGAGACCAAACGCAGAGAGAGUUUCAUUUCAAGAGAGACAAAUAUACAAAUGUUUCAAUGGGAAUUAAGAAAAUGAAAAAAAAAGUAGGCACUAUAUAUAAGAGGGGGGGGGGGUUGAAUCUUUUUGUUGGUAAACGAAUUUUUCUUUGACUAAUGAAAAUAAAUAGUUUAAGGCCUCAGAAAAAAUAGAAACGAAACGUGAACCAACUAAACAUUUGCACAAAGGAGCAGUCGUAAUUAAAGGCUCACCAAUCAACUAUAUAAUCAAAUUAAUAAAACCUUACAGUUUACUUUAGUUUUUUAUUUAUUCUUAGAAACAACAGUUUGUAUUAUUUUGAGAAACAACCUUACAAUUUAUCUUCCAGCUUCAAAAAAAUAUUGUUAAUUUGCUUUAAUACAGUAGUUUAGUGCACAAACUUCUAUACAAAUACGUUAAGCACAAUCCACUAUUCCCUUUGUUUCCGAAAGAAAGAUUUUCUAGAGUAUUCACGCAUAUUAAGAAAACAAUUAAGUUUUUACAAUUAAACUUAUUAUUUAUUUUACUAUACAUUUUUCAAUAAAUAUCAACCAAUAGUAUUCAACCAAUUCAAAAUUUUCAAUUAAUGUUUCUUAAAAGUAUACAACUUUUCAACAUUUACUACUAAAAGUACUUUAAAAUUUUAGAAAAUCUAUCAUUUUGGAACAAAAAAUAAAUCUAGAAAAUCCUACUUUCAGGAACAGAGGGAGUAAAAGAUAUUGAUACCCUGCCAAAAUAAUCCAAUUAAUGCAAGGCUUCAAUCCCAUAAUCCGUUAAUGUAAGGCUUUAAAGCCACAAGAAUACAUGUACAUCUCAAACAUUCAACCAAAAAAGAUUGAUAAAGACGAUUUCCACAUUCAUUGUUUAUACCCCACUUAGCCGCGGAUACAUUCAUAGAACCGAAGAUCCGAACCAAUAAGAUUUAGUGCAGAUUUAAAUCGUAUCAAUUAUACUAGUGGAUCUUAUAUUCCAAAUACACUAAGGUGUAUCUCACAUCCUAGUGUGUGGGUGAAUCUUUGUCAUUCGUGGUGGUGCAGAAGACUUAUCUGUGCAGGUUCGGAAGCGUCACCAAAUUGGUUGUAGUGGCGAGUUCAAGCCGCUCUUUUGGUGGUUGCGGGAUUGCCAACUUGCGUUCAUGAUCGGAUAUUUGUGUGCUCAGUUUCUGUUUGUCUGUGGCCGGUUGGCGAGGCGGUAUAGCUUGCAGUGGCUCAUCCUUAGGUAUUGUUUCUUGUAACUCUUCCCUCAAUUUCUCGUCCUGUGCUUCAUCGCCAAUGGAGAUUAUAGGCCUUGACAAGCUCUCCGAGACCAGCUAUUUCAGGUGUUGAACAUGGAAGACCGACAUCCGAGGAAACAAGGUUAAACCCACCGUUUCCAGAAUCUGCGACAUUGAUUGAGAAUAAAAACUGAAUCAUUUGGAGAUUUUAGAAUAGUCCAGCGGAAUGUGUCUGUUUAGGUGGUUGAUGCGAAGUCAGUGCUAUAAUAUUUGAACUAGAUAAGCUUUGGUUGAAAUCAGAUUGUAAUCGAAAUUGUACUCCCGUUUUUGGGUUUUAUAUAAUAUUUCUAUAUUAGUAAAAAAUUGGUAUUAUAGAAAUAUAUCUUAGUGUUUAUCUCUAGUUAUUUAAGCUAUUACGUGGAAAAUAACAUUUUAAAACAAUGUUAAAAUAGUUGAAACAAAAAAUGCAUUUUUUACCAUGUAUAUUUUUUGUGCUGAAAUUUGAAUUUAAAAGAAUAAUCUACUUCUUGGUAAAAAAAUAAGAAUAAUCUACUUGAGAAAAAAUAUGAACUGUCGUGUAGUAAACCAUGCCUCCAUCGUAUGAUGUCCGCUAUUUACCCGGGACUGAUGAAUAACGAUUUUUUUUUGUCAACUAGAGGACCAUGCCACUUAUGAGUGUACAUGUAUUUUCUUGCAUUUUAAUUUGAAAUCCCUUUUUCAAAAAAAAAAAACUAGAGGACCAUGCCUCCAAGCCUCUCAUCGGUGUAGCAAACCAUGCCUCCAAGCCUCUCAUCGCUGCUACUGCACCAGACAUUUCUGAUGCUGAACGAUAAGGACCCGUUUAUCUAUCAAUUUGAACUUGGAAAAUAGCAUCCCUUUCUGAAAAAAAAAUUAUAUAUCACAUGCCAACAAAAGGGAAUGUAGGUCUUGUUCAAAGAAUGAAUGAUAACACAACAAGCAGUCUUUCUCUCUCCUUUCGCUCUGUCUUCUCUCUAGAUCUGUCACAGAGGAAGGAUUGAAAGGAGACUUCUACCGGAGUUUCCAACUCAUUUCCGGUUAGUAAGCGCGAUUCUAGGAAGCGGUGUGUCUCUUUAUACCGCUAUCGCCAGCUUCUGUUUCCGGGAAACGGUGGCUCUGAUAGCACCGAUUCCGCCAGCUUUCGUCUCCGGGAAAGCGGUGGCUCUGAUAGCACCGUUCUUUCGCCGGCUCUUCUCCGGUUUGUUCCGGUGAUAAGUUCUCGAUCUACGCUUUUGCUCUUCCCCUGUCCAAUCGACUCUCGAUCUGAAAAUCUGUAUGAUUUUUCGGAUCGAUCGAAGAUGAUUGUUGUUGUUUUUUAAAGCAUGGAUCGAUGGUGUUUGUGUUCUAUAGGUCUUCAUCGGUUUUGGGCUCCAUGGUUGAGUCGAGUCGCGCUUUUGCUCUGAUCCCGGCAGAAGCUGUUGUAUUCUUCCGGUGGUGGUCCGAUUAUUGCGGCGGCGGAGUAUGCAUGCCGAUGAAGAGCUUUGUGACGUGGUCAAGACGUGGCGGCCUGGUGACGCGUGUCCCUCGCAGGGAGGAUUUCGACACGUGUACUCUUCACGCAACUCGCGGGGAGAAAGAGGCGCCUUUGUGGGUUAGAUCGUUUGGGCUUAGGGCCCAAUAAGUUUUACGGUUUCGGUAGCCCUACUGUGUUUGGGCCUCAUAGUUGUACUCCUGUUUACGUUUUUGGGCUUGGUCUUCUGGCUUUGUCUUUAAUAAACUUUAGAUGGAAAAAAAAAAAAAAGGUCUUGUUCAAAGAUCACGAAUGUAACGUAUAUAUAUGUAUCAUUUUUUUGUCGGCAUAUUAUUAUACGUUUUGUGUUAAAGACUGGGGUCAAGCCAGAAGUGUUUUAGUGUCAAAAUAAUGCAAAAGAUAUAGUAAAAUUGUUUAAAUGACUUUUGAAAAAGGCAGUAGUACAUCUGUACAUGUGUACAGCUCCUGUAUAACACAAAGGACACGCGUUGUAGGCUUAACGCUACAUUUGCUACUAGGUACACUGCGAAACAAUAUCAGUAAAUAUAUUUAUUUUUUGUUUAAAAGGGAUCAGUAAUACUAAAUAUAUUUAUCAAGAGUGAAUUACUUUGUGAUUAUUUCAUAAGUAGUAUUAUUUAAACUAUUAGUACCAAGACCUAUCGCCAUAAACGUUUUCAGAGUAACUGUAUGAUUUUUCUUUCUUUUCUUUUGGUAAAAAAUGUAUGAUUCUUUUUGAUCGACCUACAACUAUUUCAGAUUUACCGUUCACCUAGUAUUAACUCUUAAUAACCUUUAACGUAAUUAAAUACCUCGGUAGAGGCUUCUUGAUAAAGAAAACGAUAAAACUGAUAUAACAUUACAUGAACUGAAAACACUUGCGUUACAAAAAAAAAACAAAACACACAAACAGAGACUUAUUCGAAAACAUAUUACACACACAUGUACGGUACGACAUGGUGUUGUACGGAAUAUUAGAUAGAAAGGAACAACACCAGACGAUGGAUAUGGUAGAUUUGAGUUAUGAGAAUCGAUCGAUAGAUCAGCAAUGUCUGGUGCAGUAGCAACGACGACGGAAACCACGGCAUUUACCUCCGCCAAAACCUUCGUUGUGACACACGUUUCCGCAGUUUGUUGAGCUCACACAUGUACCCUUGAACCUAUGGCUCUUCGACUCACACGUGCGUGCCUCCACUGUGACUGGACCCAUCCCUACACACAGUUUAGACCAUAGCUUAGUUUCAUCUUCUCAUGCAUGGUGCGUUAUUCAUCUUAAGAGUUAACGGAAGAACGAGUCUUUUUGCUAAACAUAUACAACCAAAGCCCACAGGCCACAGCCAGUUAUAGUCAGAAUUGAAGGGGAGAAUGAGAAGCCACGAAAAACCAACUUUCUCUACGAAGAUUCGCAAGAGCAGUCGCUAGAAACAUAUAGAUCCGUAAAAAUGACAAUGAUAUACUAUUAUGUAGAUUCAUAUAUUUUCAUGCAUAUGUGCAUAGUUAGAUAUAAAGACUGGUUAGGAGAGUAAUGAACCUGUGGCAACGAAUAUCAUGAACAAGAGGAGAACAGCUGAGAUCAAACGCAUAGAGAGCUUCAUUUUGAGAGAGAGAAAGAAACUUUCAGGGAGAGAGAGAGUCGGAAGGAAACAAGUGUUAGGUGUGUAGGGAGCUAACGAGGAAGAUGGCACUAUAUAAAGAGACUCAAGUGACAAGUGGUAUAAGAACGAUCGAGAUUAUUGAUUAUUUUAUUACAUAAUUGAGUAUUUUAAUAUUUAAUAGAUUUUUGAAAUUUAAAUCUUUUUGAACCAUGAUGAAAAGUUUUGAUAUUCGCUAUCGAUUAUUGCAAGUGUGGCGUGGCGACGAUUUGCUUUACCGACACUGUAAAUUGAUCCUUAUUGGAAGUGACACGACAAGCAGAGAGAUCGUAUAGCUUCGACAAGUCAUUCUCGAAAUUUAUAAAACAAACUUUCUUUUUCAGAAUUUUAGAAACGUUAAAGCGUAUAGACAAGUAAAAUAAUUGAUUUGUCAGAUACUGUGGAGUCCACACAAUGCGAUAGUGGCCACGUGAAAAUGUAAGUAAACCAAGUGACGUUGUAUUUAUUGUAUUUAUCGCACCGGAAAAAGGGUUCGUAUAAAACGUGAAAUUUGAUAUUUUCCCUACUCUGUUUAGCAAAAAACCCAUUUACAGGAAAAAGGAAAAACCAACCCAUUUACAGGAUUUAAGCAAAUUAGUUUAUUCAUGCUACUUCGAUCCGGAUAUUUAUAAUUUUAUUUUAAUAUGCAAUAUCUAUGAAAUGAAAUAAAUUGUAAAUAAUUAUUAUUUUAGAACAAAUAUCCAUUUCGAUCUUUUAUAUACAUAUAUAUAAUAUUUAAAUAAUUAUAUACCACAAGAUAUCUUCCAGGAAAAAGAUAAUGUUAAACUUUGAUAAUAUAGAUAUGGCCAUUGUGGAAGUUACCAAUUUAUCCCAACAGUUGGUUCGUUGGUAUUUUACUGAUGGCUCUGGAAAAAAAUUAUUCGAGAUAUGGCUGGUAUAGUAUUUCGGUGGGAUUUGACGGAUUUAUGGGGGCAAAAAAUGCAUGUCAAAGUUUCAUUUGGCUAUGAAAAUCAUAAAUAACUUACAACAUCUCUAUGUAAUUUUUGCAACAGACUGUUCUUACAUGAUAAAGAGGUUUCGGAACCAGAAAAAUUAUAUGCAUUGCAAUUUACUUGGAAGAUAUACGCAUAUUGGAGAGAAGUUUUAGUCACUCGGAGCUUCUCUAUCUACAAGAAUACAUAAUAAACGGAUAGACAACUUGGUACGCAAUGUUUGAAAGCAAUUGCCCUAUGUCAUUUACAUUGAAUCAGAAGUAAUAGUUCAUAAAAUCUUAAUUGAGUUUGUUAAGUUGAUGUCAAACAAGAAAAUAUUCAUAUAAUACAAAUUCACUUGAUAUGUAACACCAUAAAACUAAAAGUAAAAGUAGAGAUGAAAUUCAUUUAGAAGAAAAAAAGGCAACAAAAUGUUUUGUGUAUAUUUAUAUAAAAUUUAUGUAUCAUUAUUAAUUUAUAAUUUUACUAAGAUUAUAUAUUUAUCUAAUUUUUUAAAUAUUAUAGAGUUUUUACUAUAUGUAGUAGUUAUGUGAACUCUAAUUCGGGAUUACUUUACUUAUACACAAAAUAUGUAGAAAUAUUUCCCAAAAAAAAUAUAGAAAUUUAUAAAUGUAGAAAUAAAAGAAAUGCAUUUGUUAACCAAAAAAAGAAUGAAAUGCAUUUAGCUAAAUUUAAAGAUGGUAAUGCACUGUUUUUCAUAUGGGAAGUGGCAGACAAAAAGUGAAAAUUUAUAAAUUAAAAAAGUGGCAGGCAAAAAGUACUUAAGUUAUCGGUCCUCUUUAUGUUUUUCACUGUAAAAUUCCAACAUUUGUGAGUAACAUGAAAAGUGAAAAAUCAAAUAACGCAUCAAGAGUACUUCAAAGUUGUACUUAGUUCGCUCAAACAAAGAAUCACACUGAAUGGUGGUGGCUUCUCAGCUUUUUACAAAGAAUUCAAUCCUCUCGAGUAUGCUGCUCUUGCAGCACCGUGAUACUGAAGUAUAGUAAACAAUGUACACCAUUUUCUAAGUUUUCUCUCUCAAUUUUCCAGGACAGAGGCAUGGCAUACAACCAAAUGAGGACUAGGGUUGUUGUUCAAGUGAUUUUGCCUGAUAAUAAGAGCAACACCAGUCUCUGUUAUAAGAUAAGAUACAAAGACCACUUGUAAAUGUAAACCCACAACACAAGUGCACAUGAAUGGUCUUUCUAAGACCCAUCUAAUCGGCUAGAAUGGCUACAAGAAGUUGAAAAGGUCGGUUACAAAAUAUUAUAUAUAUAUAUAUAUAUCAAAUAAAAAUCUAUCUAUCUUAUUAUAGUGGAAGUACCAUUUACAUAUGUUUGGAAACAUGGAUAAGGAUAGUAAUAUAAAAAAAAAUAAAAAGUUGUUUGAAAAUACUGAUAGCAAUGUAUUAAUUUAAAAUUUUAUAAUUAACUUCCUAAAUCUACAUACUAUACGAAUGAGUCUAUAUAAAAAAUCAAACAUACACGAAUGGGCAUGUACUUUUGUAAUAUCUUUAGACAUGUUUUUGUGUUGGUCAAAUGCUAAUCAAACAAGAAAUAUGACAUACAUAUAAAAUGUAAACGUGAGAUUAGAGAUCAAACCAAGUCAUACACACCCAAAACCAUAACUGGUCAUAAGAAUGCAAUUUCAUACAAACCCAAAACCAUAUAAAUUCACUAGAGUUAUGUAUAAACCACAUAUAGAUGUUUAAAAAAACAGAUAUACAAUACUAGCAGAAUUACCCAACAUACAAAUCUUAAUUUUUUAUGGACUAUCAAACCGGUCAUUGUUAUAUUGAUUAUUCAACUGAUCAAAUAAUUUUAAAUGCCAUUGAUUUUACCGUUCACCUUAAAAUUCUUACUACAAUGUUUAUGGCUCACAACAUUUUACGAACGUCCCUAUUACAUGACACAAUGAUGAAAUACAUAGUUUAAACAAUAAACAAAAGUAGUUAAGAUGAAAUCGUUAAAUUUUUCGUUUUCUAAAGUUUGUAUAUAUUGUAAAACAUGCACCCGUGCGAAGAUCUAGUCAUUCCUUACAUAUCAUAACUAGUAGAAUAUAUAUACCUCUUUCAAAUCACUUCUUACACAAGAUAAAAAUAAAAACCAAAUUAACUGGUACAACUUGUGUGUAGGCUGAAAAUCAGAAUCCUACACUUUCUAGGCUUCAUCAAUAUCAGUAUGUGAUCAUCACAAAAUCAACCACAAAAGCAAUUGACUUUAGUUAGCAAGACUUACAUUUAAACCAAUCAAAAUCAACUAUUGCAUCUAAUAGAAUCCCAUUUUCCCAAAUCAAGCAGAGGAGUUCAGAAAAGUUGUAUGCAUUACCUUCAAAACCCAGUAAAAAGAAGUUUCAUUUCAUCAAAUUCGAGCAAACCCUCCUUGGGAGAUAAAAGAUUGAGAAGAGUAAUAAUACUUGUAUGAUAAUCAUCACAGUAUAAGUUUCCACUUCAUAGUACCUAUCAACAAGUAGUAACCCUAUAAGAGCUACCAGGAGCGAAUCUAGAUAUUUUUGUGUGUGGGUGCAUAACUUCAAAAUAAAAAUACAAGCAUAAUGAGAAUCAAAUUUGACUUUUUGUGGGUGCACGUAUGAAUAUUUUACCAUUAUAUCUGCAGAAAUGUUAAGAUUUCACAUACAAAAUCAUAAAAAUAUUUAUUACAGAGAAUGCACAUGUCCCCAUAAUCUACACUGUGGCUUCGCCCCUGAGAACUACCAUAAAGAUCCUAAUGAAGGUCAGCUGAGAUUUUGCACACUCGUGCAGUGCUUCUCAACCACAUCCUCAUUUUCACUCACUUUCCUAGUCUUCAACCACAAAUCUUCCACCAACUCGUACGCCUCGCAUCAUAACUUUUGCAUCUUCCUCAUCAUUAGCAUUGGGCAUUCUGAUUUUUGGUUCGAUUAAUUCAGUUUUUCUAAAAGUAUAGAAUUCGUUUGGUUAUUUAUAAAAUUCAGUUUGAGUUUGAUUCAGUUAUUUCGAUUUUUCGGUUUAGGUAACAAAAUUGAAAACAAGCUAAUAUCCUGAGAAUAAAAGUGACGGAUUAGAGUCAUCUCCCGAGUCUAUAGCCAUUUAAAAGAAUGCUGCAACCAUUGCAUUUCAUUAUGGAUCCUGUAUGGCAAAUUCAGAAAAGAAAGGAAAAUCAUAUGAAACUGAAACCCCUAGAAAAUAACAAUAAAGUAAUUAUUUCAUUCAAUUGAAGAAGAAAGAGAGGAGAUGCGACAUUUGUUUGUUCGAAUCAUGUUUCUAUGUACUUUUCAAAUGGACUGUAACAAUUCUUUAUAUUUGUCCUAAUUUAUAUAUGAGCCAGCAUCAAUUUAUAUAAAAAGGCCCAAUAGCCUAGUCUAGGAUACGAAAAAGACUAGUCGAUGGCUCGAUGGUGGGAAAGCUUUUUCCAUUUUCAUACAAGUUUUGUUUUAAACAUAUCAGUUUCUAGAAAAUAAAACGAAGAUUUAAACAGUUGGGCUAAUCCUAAAUAAUCGGGCCUUGGCUGUAUGUUGUAUCUUUUUAUUCCUUGGCAACCAGCCCACAAAAAGAAAAAGAAAUUGAAAGAUAUUAGAUCCUCUUUUUUUUUUUAACAACAAUUCACAAUAGAGCCUUGUCGUGUUUUCUUUUUGUUCAAAAAAAGUGUGUACAAAUGUAAUAUUCGAGAAUCUUUGUAAAAAAGGCUAAAGUAUAAGUAAUCUUAAUAUUGACUGGAUAUAAUAUGCAAGCUACCUCCCCAUACAAAACUUUUCAUAUAUACCUCUACUAAAACCAUAAGUUUACAUCGUAGGAAUAAACAAAAAAGUUUACACAUCCAGUUAAUAAAUAAUAAAACUGUAGUUAUAAAGUGAAUUAGAAAUACUUGUAUAUAUUUGAAAUACAAAUAUUUGAGCCGUAGAUGAAAGAAUCUAAAACCACCAAAUGAUAGAAGCCAGAAGGGAUAUGAAACACAUUUGAAGCAAACACUUACUUCCAUUCCGAGAUGAAGACACUCCUCCAUGAACUUAAACCAUGUGUAGACAUAGCUAAAAGCCUAAAACAAAAGCAACAUAUUAAUUUUCAUACAAAAAUCUAAAAUUCUUUUGUUUAAUUUGUCCAUAUGACAUGCCCUGUUAUUGGGAUAUGUAAAGAUCCCAUAUACUAAGAUUGAGUCAUAUUUUUAUUAUGUAAACUUUCCUAUAAACUCGAAAUUGCAUUGUAUAUAUACGAUCACCUGUUCAAAAAUACAACUCCCAAGAUUGUAUGAUCGGCAAUUAAGCGUUGAUUGAAGAACCGUGGUGAUUUGCUCUAAUUUGCUACAAAAUCGGAUCUAAACAAAAACAAUUCACUUUUCUAAAUUGUUAAGUUUAAAAUCAUUGUUAGGUUUAAACAUAGUAAAAAAAGAAAGUGAAAUGCUGUGGGAAAUGAAGAUACAUCAUUCUCUUUUGGAACCUAUGACCUGGAAAACUGUUAAACACCCACAAAUCACUAGACUACGCUAUGUGUUUUAAGGUCUUUAUACAUUUUUUUUGUCAACAAGGUCUUUAUACAUUUAAUAUAUACUAUAAAAAUAGACAAAAUUAUUGGGUCCGAUUGGUAAUGGCUGUAGCUUUAAAUAUUUUGCUGUAGAAAAAAAUCUGUAGACUUUUUGCUGUGGCUUUAGAUUUUAUUGCUGUAGAAUUUUAUUGAAGCACUAAAAAAUUGCUUUGGAUAUUUGGCUCUGCAGAGCACUUGUACAGCUGUAGGAUAUUUUAAGAGCUGUAGUUUCAAAAAAGAAUUUAAAGCUUGAUUGCUCUGAAUUUGGUGCUGUGGAAAUAAAUAGAGCUGUGGACAGCACCUACAGCAACUACCAAUCACCCCCAUUAUUAUUUUUUUGACCGAAGGCAUUCUACAGACAAAAUUAGUCUCCUGAUGAUUCCGAUUAAACUCCACUUUUUACAACUGGCUAAGUUCCGAACAAUCUGAACACAUAUUUGUGUGUGUGUGUAUAUAUAUAUAUAUUAAAUUAUAAAACAUUUUUUAGAUAAAAGAAAAUUUUAGUACAACAAAACCUAAUCAGUUAAAUGAAGAGAAAACGAGGGUUUUGUCUUAAAGCCCACCAGAAAGAUACGAAUGAGAAAAAUUAGGUCCCCACACCACACCCCGCAUGUGGACACAUUUCACCAAUUUAACAGUGACACCCAAACCGUAACCAUCCAUCUUCUUAAUUGUAAAAACAGUUUUUUUUUUUUCUAAAGUUUAUUUAUUAAAAUAAACUAUGACAGAUAAGGACCUCAGCAACACAAAAAAUAAAUCAAAACUAGGUCUCGUCGCUCUGCCGCAAGAAAGAAAGAAAGAACAGCCGCAAGUUCUGUAUUUUCCGGUGACCGGCGCGUGGUGGCUUUGUUUGCACCACCGCCGGUCUAGUUAGCCUUGCCGUCUCUAUCCUUUGUAGAUCUGCUAGUUAAGUGUUGUUUUGGGAUGCGAAUCUGGGUCUGCGUUUGGUGACGAAGCGGACAGUCCGUGUCUCUUCGAGGUCUCGUCGGGACUCGGUGGUGGGGCGGGUGGAGACAGUCCGUGUGGUUGGUUGUGCGGAGGUCUCCGCUAGGCUUAAGCUUCGUUUCCUCUUCUCUCUUGUUUUCAUCUUCUCCUCUUUGUCUCUCAGCAAAUCUGGAUUACUAGGGUUUUCAUUUCGUUUUAGAUCUCUAGAUCUUGAUUUGUCGCUCUGGUUUCAAUCCAUCUCAGAUGAUGUUGUUUUGGGUUAACCUUGUCUGUGUGCUUCAGAUGGGUUUGUGCUUCAUCCUUUAUCCCAUCUGAUGUUUGUUAUUUGACAUAGAGGUUGAAUCCGAGGCAUCCUUGUUGGUUUGUAGUGUUUGUGUUCUGUCUGGUUUCAUCAACGGUAUAAGUGGUGGUGUGAUGGUGGCAGUUGUGUGUGAUGAGCAGAGCAUGCCUUUUAUUCUUCAGAAGUUGCAGGGUUCUUUUCACCUUUCCAUCUCUCAGGCAUGAAGGAGUCCUUCUCGCGGCCUUAUAAUAAGUGUGGUUUCCGGAUGUUCUCAUGAUUCUCUCGUUCUUCGGUGGCUUCGGUGAAGCAAUUUAAUGAAGUUGAGGGUGUAGGCUUUCCGAUGAAGGUUCGCUUGAGGAGGGGACUUUAGUUUCGGGUGGUUGUCUCUUCUAUAUUUGGAGUUUGUUGCAAGGCGUUUUGGCUCUAGUUUGGUACCGUGAACGGAUGGUUCAGGUUUGUUUGGUCCGGUGUUGUUGUGUUGGCCACUACUCCGCUUACUCUCUCUUGUGCUUGGUUGGUUCUUGGCAAGAGUGCCGGCUGUUUCUAUGACUGGACGACUUAUUUCUAUUAGCCUCUUCAAAGUUUGUCUUCGGUUUUGGUUAUAAGAGUGCAGUCUCAUCUUGUGUCUGCCCUAGUUGUUGUAUGUGUUGCCUUUUGUUUGGGUUUGAGAAUCCCGUUUGUGGGCUAUGUUUCCGGGGAUAGUAAUGUGUUUCCGCCGGCUUUUGGUUAUCAUGCUUGUAUGUUCUCAGUUUUAUCAAUCAAUCAAAUUCAGAAGGGAAAAAAAAAAAAAGGACCUCAGCAACAUACUUUUCAAAAUCAUAUAUAUGACAUUAAAAAGAAAGUAGAAAACACAAAACCGGAGAGAGAGAGAGAGAGAGAGAAAGAGGUAGGGCUUUGUGUUAUAUACCAUACAAUAUACAUAUAUAUAUAUAUAUAUAUAUAUAUUAGAAUAGUGUCUUCUUCUUCAUCAUCUUCUUUACCAUCAUCAUCAUGCAUGCAUCUUCUUCUUGGUCCUUUCUUUAGUUCCGAUUUAUAGCUUUUUGACUAUUUUUCCUUCUUCUUCUUGGUUGCUUUCUCUUGAUCUCAGGUACCUAAAAAAAUCACAACUUACAAAUCUCUCUUCACUCUUUCAAAAGCUUACAAACAAAAAUAAACAUAAACAUAAACCCUUGAUUUGUUUUUCUUUGUUCCCUUUAUGUCUUUUAGCGAAUUGUAUUUUUUAAAUUCUUCAUGUCGUCAAUCUAUAUGGACUCUUCCUGUUCUUAAUUACUCUCUUCUUAUUCUUCCCAAAAGAUAAUUUGAUUUCUUUCACAAUUUUUUAACUCUAUUGUAUGGAUUAGUUGUAGAUUAUUACGUUCUUCCACGCAAAGAGGAAGAUCUAAAGAUGUCAUCCUCAUCAUAUAAUACAAGCGUUGUUCCUUCAUCAUCCUCGACUCAGCCGUUCUUCAUCACCGGCUCCAGCGCCGGAGAUAACGCCUUUGACCGGAAAGAUACUUUUAUGUCAAUGGUUCAACAACCUAACUCCUCGGCUCCACAACCCAAGAAACGAAGAAACCAACCGGGAAACCCAAGCAAGUACCUCUUAUUGACAUACAUAUAUAUACAUCACUGAGUUUUAAUAGAUAAUUAGAAGAACUAAUAAACAGAAACCCUAAUCAUUUAUAUUCUUGUAUCAAGAUUUCAUUAUCAUAAACCUUUUAGGAAAAGAAAGAAAAAAAAUUCAUUAUAUUGCUAGCGUUAGAUCAAAUUAUAUUAUGAGUGUGUGUGUGUGAUUUGGUUUACUUCUGUUUGUAAUUGUGUGUCUUAUUGGCUUGAUGUAAUCCUCAUAUAUUAACAUCUUGAAUCCGGAUUGGUGAUUAAGCUUAAUUGAUCAAACAGAUCCUGAUGCGGAAGUGGUAGCGUUGUCUCCAACGACACUAAUGGCUACAAACAGAUUCAUAUGCGAUGUAUGCAAGAAAGGGUUUCAAAGAGAACAAAAUCUACAGCUUCACCGAAGAGGACACAAUCUUCCAUGGAAGCUCAAACAGAAGUCAACCAAAGAAGUGAAGAGGAAAGUGUAUAUUUGUCCGGAACCCACGUGCGUCCACCAUGACCCCGCACGUGCUCUCGGAGACCUCACCGGAGUCAAGAAGCAUUACUAUCGUAAACACGGAGAAAAGAAGUGGAAAUGCGACAAAUGUUCUAAGCGUUAUGCGGUUCAAUCGGAUUGGAAAGCUCACUCUAAGACUUGUGGUACUAAAGAGUAUCGAUGUGACUGUGUGGUACCAUCUUCUCUAGGUACGUAACUGAUCUCCAUCCAUUUCAUUUAAAUAAUUUGUCUGUAUAUGGGCUAAGUGAUGAAACGUAUAAUAUAUAUACGUGUGUGUAGUAUCUAGAUAUACCCUCUUAUCUAGGUAAAGGAUAUGACAGUGGACCAUCAUUUCUUUUGUAUUAUACUGAUACUAUUCUAAGUAAAAAGAUGCAUUCAACACUGCAUGAAAACUUAGCUUAUAUACUAAUUUAAAUGAAAAUAUAUACCAACUAUAUAAAAUAUCAUCUGUAACUGAAAUCUUAUAUAUUCAGCCACGUAAUUUGAACCUCGAGUACACCGUCCAUAAAAUGUUUAAAGUGACUACGUACAUAGAAUCUAUCACUGAUUCACAGUAUUUUUUUUUUGGUUAUUGUUUUCUGGGUCAACUAUUUGUUUGGUUACUGAUGAGUAGUGAAUAGAGAAAGACAGUGAAGAGAAAGUAAGAAAGUUUAAAAUAUGCUAAAUUUGGUCAGAUGUAUGAGUUGGAUCUGUUUUUCCAUUUCCCACUUUUGUUUUCUUCUUCUUCACUUUGCAGGUUCCCCUUUUUAUGAGACUCCUCUUCUUUUGUGGACCCUGUCUUAUCUCUUUCUCUCUCUAGACAUAUACAUACAUAUAUAUUUGGUAAGAGUGCGUUACUAAUUUCAAUUUCAUCACAGUGUUCUGGUGAAGACUUUAAUGCCGUUCUAGGGUUUCUUUCUUUAUUUUCAUGGUUUGUGUUAAAUACGUUGUCGUAGAAUGUCACUGACUUGUAUAACAUUCCUGGGGUUUGCAUUAAAUGAGAAGCUCUUUCAUUAAAGUAGCAAUUGACUCGAGCUAUAAAUUCUUCUAUCAUUCUUUCCUAAUGGUAGCCACAAUAACUAUAGCAUUCAUUAAGAUGAUUCACGUCAAUAUAUAUAUAUUGCAAAAUCAUAUAUAUGCCAAUAAUUUUACAUCCAUCAUUUUCUUGUUUACAUAUUUGUGUGAAUUUUUUUUGCUAAGUAUAUUUGUAUGAAUUUUGGGUAUUUAUUUUGCAGACGCGAUAGUUACAUUACACACAGGGCUUUCUGUGAUGCAUUGAUACAAGAAACCGCUAGAAACCCUACCGUGAGCUUCACGUCAAUGACAGCUGCUAGCAGUGGCGCCGGCUUCCGUGGAUUUCAUGGGAGACUCGAGGGUGGCAACGCUCUCUCCCACCACCAUUUGAGUGACCAUCCUAACUCCGGAUUUUCGUCUUUCGGGGGUUACAAUCUAAACAUUGCAUCUUCUGAAAAUAGCAGAGACUUUGCUCCGCAAACGUCAAACCCUAACUUCUUAGUACAGAGCCAAGGAAUGCUGACUCAACCGAACAACAACAACAACGAUCAGAGUUUCAUGAACCAACAAGGUCUGAUCCAGUUUGAUCCAGUCAACAACAUAAACCUCAAGAGUAGCACCACCAACAACAGCUUCUUCAAUCUCGGAUUCUUCCAAGAAAACACCAAGAACUCAGAGACGGCUAUUCCUUCUCUAUAUAGCACGGACUCUCUUGUUCAUCACCGUGAAGAAAGCUUGAACGCGGGUUCUAACGUGUCAGCCACGGCACUGCUUCAGAAAGCUACUCAGUUGGGUUCAAUCACAAGCAACGAUCCUUCUGCUUUGUUCAGAGGCUUAGCUUCUUCGUCUAACUCGUCAAGCGUGGUUGUUAAUGACUUUGGAGGAGGGCAGAUUAUGGGCAACGAUAAUAACGGUAACCUUCAAGGUCUAAUGAACUCACUAGUGGCCGUAAAUGGCGGUGGUGCCGGCGGAUCCGGUGGCAAUAUCUUCAACGUGGACUUUGGAAACAAUAAUGUAAACAUGAGCGGCUCGGACAACUUAACUUUAGAUUUUCUUGGAGUUGGAGGAAUGGUGAGAAAUGUAAAUCGCGGAGGGGCUGGUCGCGGCCGUGUUCGUGGAGACGUUUCUUUGAAUGGUGAACUAAAGUUUCCGGAGUAAAAUCAUCCGUUUGUAAGAACUUAAUAAUGCCUUAUUAUUACAGACUUUAUCAUUAGGUGAUAACUUUGCUACCGUCGUUUGUUGUUUUCGUAAUCUAUAUAGUAUAUAUUAUUAGAUCUUUCUGAACUCUUUAUGUAUGAUUUUGAUUGGACUCUGUCUUUGUUUAGUUGUUAUAUAAUAGAAAAAAGGAUGUAAAUUUCGAGGGUUAACGGAAUAGAUAGAGUUAUGGGGCAAAAUGGUGAAAGGUUAGUAGCUUCAAACGAAACUUUUAAUAUGUUAGAAUGUAAAAAACAUAUAGUAAGGCCUGGGCAUUCGGGGUCCCAAACGAGUUUCGGUUUUAUCCAAUCGGGUUUCGGUUUUUCGGGUUUAUCAAAAUCAGCCCCAUUCGGAUUAUAUGAAAGUUCGGUUCGGGACCGGUUCGGGUUCUAUCGGGUUCGGAUCGGGGUUAGUAAAUCUUCAAAGAACCGGUACAACCCAAUAUACUUUCGGGUUCGGGUCCCAAUCGGUUUUUCGGUUUAAAAGUACCUGAUUUUUUACCUAUUUUAUAACCGAAACAUGAGUAAACUUUGUUUUUCUGUUUUAAAAUACCUGAUUUGUACCUAUUUUGUAACCAAAACUUAAGUAAAAAUCGAUUCAAAAAUAAGGAACAUCAACCGUGAUCAUUCAAAAUCAAACGAAAAGUAAACAUAUUUACUGAUAAAAAGAAAACCAAAUAAAUAAAAGCAUAAAAUGAAAACCAAGUUCUCAUGAAAUGAAAAACAUUGUUUAAUGAAAACAAAAUCAAAAUCUAAAUACUUCAAGAUUCAACGGUCAUCUUCAACCAUCAACCUUCAUGUAAUAGAACCACCAACCUUCAUGUAAUAGAUAAGUAUUUUAGAUGUUCAAUAUUUCUUAGUGUAUUUUGGAUACAUAUUAGGAAUUGAGAUCAUGUUUGGUACAAGAUCUUUUCGAGGUUUUGAAUGUUUCGGGUUCUAUCGGAUAUCCAUUUAGAUUCGGGUUCGGUUCGGAUAAUACCCAUAACCCGAAAUACCACAAAACAAGAUCCAUUCGGUAUUUACGUCGGGUUCGGAUCGGUUCGGAUUCAUUUUUAUCGGAUCGGAUUCGGUUCGGGUUUUCGGGUUCGGUUUAUUUGCCCAGCCCUAUAGUAUAUCGUGGCCGAAAGUUUUCGAAUAUUCAUUCGUAUGCAUGUAUAUUUAAAUUAACAUCCUUGUUAAAUACUUAGUAAUGUUUUGAACGUGAUAGUGACUGCAAAAGUUAACUCCGCGGAUGAAACUGGUGAAGACAUCGCAUUUUUACACAUUUAAAAAGGCUAACUAUGAUGGUCGAUGGCCAAAUUUCAUAAAGGUUUGAUUGGUAGCCCAAUUUAAUACGGUUGGGAGAAUUAGUUUAGACUUCAGUUUCUUAUGUAUAUCAUUGAUCCAUGUUUCACUUUCUAAUAACAUGUUUGUGUGUCGAUAGUAAGUUCGCAUUAAAUAUUUGUUUGUUUAUGUAGACGAAGAUAUCUUCUCUUUACUUUUUUCUGGUGUGUUUUUAGAUGAAGGUGCUUCAAGAAUCUAGAGGCGUGGAUCUCCAUUCUUGUUGACUAUUUUGGUAGCUCAGUUUUUCUGUCAGCGGCUUAGUCUGCGUAUGAAGGGUGCAGCUGAAGGCGGCGGCGGCUGUUUAUGUAUAUUGAUAUAUACUUUAUUAGAAAAUAUGUGUAUAUAGUGUACAUGUUAUUAUAUCUAAAAAGUAUAAAUUUAUGUUUUUUAAACCAACAUGUAUAUCGACUGUGUAAAUUAUCGUUGCACCCCGUUUUGUUUUACAAAUCUGAUUAAAAUAAUUCAUUUAAUUAAUGCGAAAUUGAUUAUACGCAUCACUAGAGUAUAACUAUAAAUAUAAUUUGAUUCAUAAACUAGAUUCACAUCCCACGCUGCACAUGCAACUAUAGCACAUUCAAAGUAAUAAAACGCCAACCGUAUCGGAAAUAUUCCAAUAUAAAGUCCAAACAGAAGCAUCCAAUAUCUCCCUCUUAUUCAUACUAGAGGUUUUAUCCGGGCUACGCCCGGGAUUAUACAAAUAUCAUAGUAUUUAAUAUAUAUAUAUAUAUAUAUGUAUAUAUAUAUAUUGCAUAUAUACUAUAUCUAUGUUAUAAAAAUAUAAAUAGUAAAUUGAAUUAGAUAUGAAUAAAACUUACAAUCUAUUGAUUACUAUCUAAAAUAUGUAUGGAAUGAUGGUCAAAUGUGAAAUGAAUAAAGACUUCGUUAAACCUUAAUUAUUAUCCAAAAUAUACUGUUAAAUAUUUACGUUACUAUGAAAAAAAAGAAAAAAAUACUGUUAACCUCAAUUGAUUCUUUUUUUUUACUUUAAAUCACUAAGCUUAUAAUUUUUAUUUACAAUUUAGUUCAAAUUUACAGUAUUAGAAAAUAUUUAUGGUUUUUAGAAUCUAUAUGAAUUGAGGCACAUUACCUAAAACUUGUAUUACCUCCACAAUUAUUGGCGAACUGUUGACCGUAAUCUAAGAGGAGGUAGUUUGGUUCAGUGUUAGGGUCUUGUUUAAAAACAUUAUCUAGAACUUGUAUCACCUCCAUAACUAUGAUCUUUUUGAACCCAGUGUGAUUGUAAACAACUAAACAUAAGCAUAGUAAUUAAUCACAAUUUUUUGCUAUGCUUAUCUGAGGACUCUAUUGUUUUUUACUUAAUUAGACCACAUGCUAACUGUAUUCAUAAUGUUUUAUCACGUAUAUAGACAAAAGUAAAAGUCAAAGAUUUUCUUGAAAGAAUAAGAAAAUGAAUUGUCUUUAAUUUAUCUGAUUUACCUAUUUUCUUCGAGACAAAUAAUUUUCUUUUAUUUCAGAGAGAACGAAAGGACAUGUUCAUUAGUAAACAUCUUAUAAAAUAUCUCAAUAAUAAUAAUAAAUCAAAAUAUCUGAAUUAAAAAAACAAACAAAAUGAAAUUGAGAAGAAAAUGACGAAAGAAUGAAAGAAUUUCUACUCUAUUGAUAAAAAACAACUCAUUUAAUAUUUGUCAAAUGUUGUUAGUAAAAUUUAAAAAAUAUUAAAAUUUAUUAUUGAGAAAUUCUGGAGAGUUUCUUAUUACUGAUUGAUUGUCUUAUGCUUUCAUACUCCAUACUUUUUUUGUGAUUGUCAUAUGGGAUAUAAACAACAGUUGUUAUAAUCAUUCAUAAAUUUAGUUCCCUGUAAUUGAUUUUUGUUAGCUACCGAAAGUUGGAAAAUAACAGUUGUUAUAAUCAUUCAUAAGUAUUCAUCAAUACUACCAAUAGUAAUAUAAAAAGUAACAGAAAAACAUAUAAUAAUUUAUAGAGUAUGUUUCAUAAUAUUUAGUUUAGUCUCAGUGAAAAGUGAUAUUAAUAUACAUACACUAUUUUUGUUAUUCUUCUUAUAAAUCUAAGAAAUCAUAUAUUAUGAUGUUAAGAUCAUGUCCGGAUGUGCCACAUGGAAGCCAUAUUUGCCGGAAGCUGAACUCGUUCUGCAGCUAUAUCUUUGGCUUCCAGCAGUGUUUUGAACCGGAUCCGCUGUUGAACCGGUAAAUCCGGCGAUCCAGAAAAAAAUCUGGUUUGGAUUUUGUGAAAAACUCAAUAUUUAGAAAUCCGCAAAAACCCACUAAAACCCGAAACCCGAUAUCGGUUUGACCGCCGGUUGAAUCAAUAAAUAACUUUUACUUUAUUUUUUUAGUUUUUAAUUAUGUAUUUAGAUUAUGUUUUAUAUUCUAAGUUUCCAAUUAAGAAGUUAGGUUUUUCCUUUUCAGUUUUAUAUUUGUGGUUUUUAGAUUUUGAUGAAAAUUUCACAAUACCACCUAAAGAAAAUAACGUGAACGAUAGUAAAAAGAACCAAAAUUAGUUGAUUUGAUUUGGUGUUUGUUUAUUUCCGUUAUUGACAAUUUAUUACAAUGAUCUUUUAUUUUUGAUUUAUUUUUUAUUUGAAGUUUAAUUUAUUAUUUACCUUGUUAGAGAAAAUUUUAAAUUGUAUAAAGUAUUUUUUGAUAUUUUGUAUGUCAAAUGAAAAUAAAAAUAUAAAAACUAAAGUUAAUUAUUUUCUAAAGGUUCCAAACUAUUAUUUUAUGUUUAAAAAAACAUUUAGAAAAUAUUAAACUUUAGUUUCUAUAUUUAUAGCCUCUUUAGUUCCAUAGUACUCCUUUCAUAUUAAGUAUGGCAUGCUGCAGUUCAAGAAACCAAAAAAACACAACUCAUAUAAAGAAACCAACAAAAUAAAAAGAACUUUCACUCACCUGGUGAUCACUUUGGUUGAUGAGGUCAGGUUCUGCAGAUUUAGGAAACUGGACAGUUUGUAUGCAUCUUCUUGACAUAUCACUCGGGUAUCCAACCUCCAACUUUUUCGUGAAUUAUGUAUAUAACGUUAACUAUUUGCUAUAGUGGCCUAUGAGUUAUAUUAAAUAACUUAGUUCGUCUAGUUAUAGUAUGAUUGCUUUUUCGUUCUUUUACCACUUUCUAAGCCACGUAUAAGAGAAAGUCAUAGAGAUUAUACAACAACCAUAAUCUAAGAAGCUAUGUAUCAAACUAAAAUCUGGGGAAAAAAAUAAUAAUAUAAGUUCCAAUAACAUAUUGAGAACUUGAUUGUCAUUAAAACAAAAGCGGUUCCUCAAGUUCUUCUUCCGAGACAUCUCAUUUUCUUUCAUUGUUGUGCAACUGAUACUUUAAGUGAUCAUUGCAAAUUUGCAAUGACAACUGCCCGUUAUCAAGAUUGUUUCUACAAACCCUAGGUGGAACUUAGGUUCCAAUCAAAACGCAUGAUAUCAAAUGUGUAUAGCUCAUUCACAAACAAACCCUAGGUGGGAUAUACUACCAGUUUGCUAUUGAAGCAAAAAGUUCUUGUAGCAAAUUUGGUUGAAGAUGUAAAUAUAGCGCAAGAGGUACUUGUCUUUGCUGCAUAGUGUUAGAGGAACGUAUAUAGUCUCCGUUUAGAGGGCUAUUUUAUAUUCAACGUAGUAAACCGGCCAAAUUUUAUAUAAUAGAAUCAUAGGGAAAGCUUUACGUAUUCAGAAUGGUUGUAAAAAGUGAACAAAGAUGGUGGAAAUCAGUUAAAUUAUUCUAAUCAAAGAUGCAUUUCUCUAUUACAAAACAUCCACUUCAAGCACAAUGUGCUCAACUCGAAUUGGCUCUAACAAAGAGAGAGAUAAACUUAUUUCCUUACUUUCUCAAUGAAUAAUCAAGCAAAAACGUGUUGUCUAUGUUACAUAAAAUCAAUAAUAGAUGAAUUAAUACGUAUAGUUAAAAAUGUCGAUUGUGCCAAAUCCACCAGUUGAAAACGCGUUACAUAGAAUACGAAUGAACUCUGACGUGGUCCAUCUACCAGUUCAACAUACUGUGCUCUGCCAACUACCACUGCAAUGACAAACAGUCCAUCUUAAUAUCUACGCGUUUGUUUCUAUUAUGCAUGUCUGAAUGCAAAGAUAAAAUAUAUUACAUUGUAAGAAAAAGUAAAAGAAGAAUCCAAGUUGUAGCUUGAACGGAUUUGCUACGCAUUUGACACUCAGACAGAUUUAGUUGUCACUGUAUAGCUCAUACCAACCGUGAAGCUGCUUUUUGUAGCACACGUGUUCAAAAUGUCCCUAGUCAAAUGCUUCGUAUCGUCCUGAAUAAGUCCGAGCACACGCGUUUGUUCCUGAAAAUAUCAACAACCAUAUGACAUAUUGAAGGUAUAUAAAAUGGCUAUUUCAAAUCAAAUGUUUGCUUGCAGAGUUAACUUAGAGUUACCUUUCGUCUCACUGAGCAAAAUUUACAGUCGGAUUCAGAAUGAGGGAGAAGCUGAUUAACAAUAAACCUGUGAACUGGCACAUUUUCUUUUCUUAAAAUGCAUGUAAUCCCGAAGACUCAGUUUAUUGCCAUGACCUAAAAGGAAAGGUAAUAGCCAAGUAAAUAUGCCAGAAGGAGAGACCGACUUCUAUUCAAAUUUAUCCUUAAUGGGGUAGAAGAAUAAAGCUACGCGUCUCAGUAACCACAUGUAAACUAAUGAUCUUAUGAACAGGUAAGAGAAUGGUGCUAUGGUUACAAUGACAAACUCAGUAGUGUCCACUUCACGGAAAACAUUUAGAACUUUCUCCAUUCUCUCUUUCAGUUGGUCCAACUCGUUGGACUGUUUCAAAAGAAAAAGAAUCUUUAGAAGAAUUAAAAAAAAAGAAUUGAUUCAAAAGAAAAUGUCUAUACUUACAGGUCCUUGUUGUUGUAUCUCCUUUUUUCCAAAGACAGACGUAAAGGCUAAAGCUGCUGCAGUGAUCUUCUUCUUGAGCUGAAUAUCAAAUACAGCUAAGCUAAGCUAAGCUAAACAUAACAAAAGGAUUAAAAAAACUGAAUGCUCAAACCUUUGUUAUUUUGCCAAUUGAAGAAUCAUAGAAAUUGGACAGAGAAAGAAGCCGCAAAAUAUGUCCCUGCAAGAACACUAUUCAAAAAUUAUAAAAGAAUCCACCAAGUGGAAACUCCAGACUUAGAAUAUAUAUAUAUACUAACCGUGGGAGCAGUAUCGAGGACUAUAUGUGUAAACCUAUUGUAUUCUGGUGACUCCAUAAAUUGAAGAACCUGUCAAGACUCAAGAGAUCUCAACAUUAGUUAUAAAAAAAUAAAGUUCAUCUUCAAGGGAUCUCAACAUACGUGCCUUGGAUAUAACUGAUAUUUCGUCAAAUACCAGGUGAUGCAGCAUUGAGCAUAUCUUCAAGAUUCAAGCUCCCUAACUACAAAAAAAAUGGACAACGCAUCUCCAUGACAUUUACAAAGUUUUCCCAAACCAACAAAAGUAGAAAAGAAAAGAGAUCUGAUUUCAUCCUUUCAUUCACUGUACCAGUCAAUAGCUUGCCCGAUAAUCAGAAACGGCAUCGAGCACUUUGACAAACGAAAUCCAAGGUGUAAGAUUUAUUAUUUGAAACAGAACAUAAUUCACAGAGAAAGACAUAAAAAAUACAUGUAGAUAUUUCAGAUAAUAGCAUCCAAAUAGAAAUCAACGACACAAAGCCCUAUCAAUCAGAGUUAUGGAAGUGAAAGUUUUAUGAGAUUCCCAACAUAUAAAUCAUCAAUAAAUAAGUUUUCUUUGCUAUUUUUACAGAUCCAGAGAAUGAUUUCAAGGGUAGGAAACUAACCUUUUUAUAGGUUUAAAAACACCGACUUGGAGAAGAGAAAGAUACAUUUAAUGUCAGAUUGUGGUUGAUGGAGUUAAGAAGGCAAUAAGAGGAGACGAAUCUGUAACUCGAAACGUUUCGAUGAUUGACUAUACCGGAAGAUUAAACGUCGCGAUUAAAGACCUAGAAAGAGAUCCCACACGUCUAUUCUAGCAUCUCAAUCUUUGGAGACUUCAUUAUUGGUGUCAGCGAAGGUAUAUGAAGGUCGUCAUUGUCAGAGUUUGUAGAGGAGGAUGAACCCUAAAACAUGUUUGCAACUGAUGAAGACGAUCAGUUUUGUCGCUAUUGGGCUGGAAUGAAGUAAAAGAUAAAGCCCAAAAAGGAAGUCUAUAGAACGGUAAAUAAAAAACUGCGUUUUGUUAAUAAAGCCGUGCUGACGUGUCCGAAUGCAGGCUUCCUAUUGGACGAUUUUUUUUAUCCUACGUGGAUGGCCUAACUGAGGCUCAUAUAUCCCUUUUAGUAUUAGUUAGAUCUUGUCGUAAUGUAUAUUCAUGCUAUAUAAUAUUAAUAACUAACGAAUUCUAUUCUAAUGUUUUAUAUUAUUUUAUCUGUCCGGUUGGUUGCUUACUUGGUCAUGACCAGUGUUCAAGAAAGUCUUAUGCGCUAAGCAGGCGACUAUUCAAUUAUUAUUCAGUGCCUAGCUCCUAAAACAUUUAAUCAGAUGCAGAUUAUUAGUUAGAUAAUUUAGGUUUGUAAAUUAUAAUAAAAUAUUAAAUAUAUUAUAUUAAAUAUCUAAUUUACAAAUUAUAAAUUUAUAGUAUUUACUUUUAUAAAUUUUAUACUAUAAUAUAUUACCUAUAAGAUUAUAAUAAUAAAAUAUAUAAUCUAUAAUAAUUUAUAAUAUUAUAAUAAUAAAAUAUAUAAUUUCGUAUUAAAUUACAUUUUAGAAUUAAAUGAUUUUAUUAUUUUGUGGAAAUAUAUUUAGAAAAAAAGUUUAAUAAUAUUAGGGUUUGACUAGUGUAAAUGUCGCGUUUGCGGGUGCGGCAGUGCAUGUUUGCGGAUACAUAGGGUUGCAUUUUAAGCUUUAUCAAACGAUUUAUACGACUGAUACAUCAACUGAAAAUUAAUGCGUUUGUGGGAUACUUGUGACUGGUUUGAUUAUCAAACACAUCAACGGCUUAAUAAUAAAUUAACACCACUAACAUUUUAUAUAAUUAAAUAAUAUUAAAAUCAUAUUAUUAUAAUAAAUAUAAAUAUAUUUAUAAAUCAUAGUAUUGAAUUUUUAAAAAGAUUUUUUUUGGGUUUAUAUAAGUAUAUAUAUAUAUAUAUAUAUGAAUGACUAAAAAAUUACAUCAAAUAUUUUUGUUUUAAAUUUGUAUAACAUAAUUAAAAUAUAAUGUAUAUUAUGAGUAUUUAUAUUAUUUCAAUUUGAAAAUUUUUAUUAAAUACUUUUAUUUGUAUAUUUAUAUUUUUUUUAAGAAAUAUUUUUCUUCAUUUUCUACAACCAUUUGUAACUAGACGUUAGCUAGAAUUAGCUUUUUAUUUCGAAAGGUUUAGAACAGUGAAAAAUAGUUUAUAGAUUUCUUAUAAUUGUUGUAAAAUGCUAAGAGCCGCUAUCACCCACAAACGUAUUAUAUGUAUGCUCUAAUUUAAACGAUAAUAUAUCAACUUUUGGUUCUCAGUAAAAUAUAUAUUAUCCGCUUUUAGUAAAAUAUAUUAUGAUUGGUUAAGUAUUUUAGUUUUAUAGAAUAAUGGUUACAAUCUUUUUUUUUUUAAGUAUAAUAUGUGACAAAUUUGACCUAAAACCUAGCUACGUGGAAAAGGCUAUAACCUCAUGGGUAAUAAAAAAGUCGGCUUGGGGCCUUCAUAUUCUGAGGACCAGUCUUCUCUGUACGCUUUAAUUUUACCAACAAAAAUUAAGUUUCACAUGUAUAAUUUGUUUAAAGAUUAUAUAGCUAAUUAGGUUGCAGGAUAGAACAAAUAAAAAACAAUAUAAUGAUAUUGCCUAUCAAUAAAAUGAACAAAAUUAAUUUGGCGGAUACUUAUUUUAAAUCUGUCAUAACUCUCAUAUUAGACAUUAGUAUCUUAUAUUUUUAAUCUAUUAUGAAGAAAAUUUUCUAAUAUAUAAUACAUUUUCUGUUUGUACAUUUAAAUACAGUAUAACAUCUUUAAAUUAAUAUUCUAUAAAUUAAUACUCUAUAAAUUAAUAUACACUAAAAAUCUCUAUAAAACAAUAUAAUUUUAUAGUCACAAAUUGAUUUUUUGGUUCAGUUAGUAUAUCGAUAAAUUAAUAUCUCUAUAAAUUAAUAAAAAAUUAUAGUUUUAUUGUAGUUCUAAUAUUAUUAAUUUAUAGAGGUUUCACUAUAAAUGCGCCUGGACUAAAAAAUCCUAAAAUGUCUAUGGUAACUGGAUAUCUUCAAUAAAAUUCAGAUUAUAUUACAAUAUAUUCAACCAAUUGAAACUCGGUAAGAGAAUAAAAAUCGAUCCCACAAAGAUUUUAAAUAGUAACCAAAUGAAUAAAGAUGAACAUUGUUUUCUUAACUUUCAUAAGAAAUAAUACUAUCAUCUAUAAGAACUAUUUUUUUUCCUUCACACUCUUUUGUAUUCUUUGUUUAGAGUAUUACAUUGCAAUUUUUCACUUAAGGUCUUUAACCGACAAUCAUAACAAGAAUACUAUGAAAAAAUAGGGAAAAAAGUAGGAAAUAACGGAUAAGAAUAAAUUAGUAAAAAUGCAAAAAUGAUGGUUUCUUCUUAAAUUUAAUGUAGAACAAAUUUUCUCUUAAUACCUUAUAAAUGAAUGAAAAAAAUGAAAAAAGUAUUCCUCAUAAAUAGUGUUAUUUAUUAGAAACGUUAAAAAAUUAGGAUUUGAAUAGAGAAGGGACGAACCACAUGGUUCAGACAAAAAAAAAAUAGACUAUCCACUUUCACAUGGCCAUUCACCCAAAACACUGAUACACUAAAAUUACAUAGCAUAAAUAUUUAAUAAUGAACUGUACAAUAUUUAGCCGUACAGAUUUGUGAAGAAAACAUAUAAACAGUAAGUGAUUUUUGAAGUUUGUCAUUUUUGUAGUGGUUUAAGUAUUUUUCUACGUAUCAGUUAUGUAUGAUUACUGAAAAAUAUAGUACUUAUUUAUUAUAAAUUAACUGUAUGGUUAUCUUUUUUUCUUUUUAAUGAUGUGAUAUUUUCUUAAUUAUAUCACAAAUUUUUUUAUCACCAUUGUGUUAUUUCUUCAGAAAUGUUAAACUAUUUUACCAAAAAUAUAAUUUUAAGGCAUCUAAAAUUAUAUAUAUAUAUAUAUAUAUAUAUUCAAUUCAAAAUCUCAAAAUAAUUAUAUAUAUGCUUAAAUUAAUUUUCUAUGAUACUUUGGAUAAAAAUUAUAUUUAUCCCAUUUAUAAAGUAUUUUUAAAUAACUAUUUUUAGUCGUGAAAAUAAAUAGAAAAUAUGUUUCCGCUAAAUCCAUUUGAUCCAAAUUUGUACCGUUUGAUCCAUUAGAUUCACUCUUUUGCCACUCGGUCCGUUUAAUCCGCUAGAUUCGCAACGCUUGAUCCACUUUUUCAUUCGGAGCCUUAGUUUUCUUCUCCGUUCAUUUGGUCACCCAUCAUUCGAAACUUAAAUUUGAGAUUGAACAAUCAUUCAUUCUCAUUUCUACUAUUUUUUUUUAUUCGUUCCUAGUAUUUAUUAGUAUUUAUGUGAUGGUUCCCAGUUAAAAUCUAAGUCUAAUACAAUUUGAUUCACACUGGUUGUUUCUAAAAGGAAAAAGGGUCCGAAUCGAUAUGAUAUUGAUCAUGCAAUACGUCUUAGUUUUAUUUUCUAGCUGGUACAUGAUUGCGUGUGGAAUUACAACCAUGAAAAACGGAUACAGCAUAUAUGUUUCCUAGGGAAAUUUUUUUGGUCCGGAUUACUUACAGCGUUACAGAUAAAAGUAAAUAAUUGUUGACAAAAAAGUAAAUAAUUAAUUUUUCAUGUUUGGGAAUCAGAGAAAAUUAUAUAUAUAUAUAUACACAUAUAUAUUAGUAAACUUAUAUUGAUUAAGAUGGAUAAGGAAAAAAAAGAGAAAAGCAUGUGAAUGGCAGAGUUGUCGCUCAUGUGAAAGUUAGAAAAAAAAAUAAAAAAUUGGCCCGUGAUGAGACUGUCGAGUAGAGUUUAUGAAUAGUACAAAAAUUAUUCAGAUUUUCUUCUGCGUAAUCUUGGUCCACUUCAUUAUGGGAUAGCAAUAUAUAUACAUACUGGAAAGACAAUUGGAGACGAUAUUUGGAUAGUUAAUCACACCAUGGUAUCUGUGACAAAAAAAAAUUUAAAAAAUACACCAUGGUACAUAUAUACAGUGUCAACCAAAACUACAUAUAGCAAGGCCAAAAAGUGAUGAGAUCUGAUCAGGACGUCAUACAUCUACGUCCCAACCGGCAAAAAUAGCUCUGUAAACAAAGCAUAUUAUGUCGUCUCUCGCAUAUGAUUUCAGGAGAUUGGAUUUACUAUUUUUUGUGGGUUCGAAUGUCUCAGUUUUUGGGUCCAUCAAUUCUUUCACACUGCGUCUACCACAUGCAGACCGAGAUUCUAAGGAAGGACGCUUCGCCAAUACUUUUUUUAUGGACAUGUCGCGGUAAGGCAUUAAUUUAUCAAUUUUGAAGAUCGAAGUUCUUUCUACUUGAUUCUAAAAGAUUAAAGACUCUUAUUUUUUGUUCUUUAGUGUUAGAUAUGUUUUGAAUCUUGUAUGACGAGCCCAAACGAUAUAGGAUCAUUCAUAUAUAGGUUGCGCAUUUUCAUCUAGUUUAUCUUUAUUAAGUUUAAAUCCGUAAAAUUUUUAGUGAGACAAUUUUCGAACCGGGAUACUUUUAUUUAUAUUUUUCCUUGUGUAUUAUCAACGUAAUCUAGCUUCCAUUUAAUAAAAUUCGUCUUUCUCCAUAGAUGUAUCCAAUUGAUGAUGAAUCACAUUAAAUAUCUAUGUAAUUUACUUUCUUUUGUUUAUUCAUCUGUUUUUGCAUUAUUGUACAGCAACCAUUAUAGCAUUUAGCGCCUAUUACUCUUAUCUGAUAUUCUUCAAGGAACAUGAUCACCAUAAUCUUCUUUUUUUUUAAAAAAAAAAGAAGAAGAAAAUGAACACCAUAAUCAUAUGGCCGGUUCCUAAAAUCGAACUUGAACAAAAUUCAUGUAUUUUUUUUUUUUUGUAAAUGAAAUUCAUGUAUUUUAUUUUUAGUAACUUUUAUCAAUGAAUUGAAGGUUGCCAAUUUUAGAGGUGGAAUAUAAAAAAAUGUAAAAGCAAUAAACAAUAAUUCUAUUAAAAAUCAGUCUCUUGGUUCAAAGUUUGACUGCUACCUUCUCAGGACAUAAUUUGUAAUAUUCCAUUUUUUGCAACGUAAUAUUCCAUUUUGGAUAUGAAUUUCUGAUCAUAAACAAACUAUUUUAUCGUCGAUGGUAACGAUAUGAAUUGUUCUUCAAGUGUAUUCAACUUUGGAUAUGAUGAAAUUAACAUGUAGUUAAAAAAACAAGAGAGCGUUUUUUACAUAUGGAUUUGAUUAACCAUUAUAUAUACUUUGAACGCUUUUGAUUUUUUGACAAAAUAUAUAUAUUCAGAAUGAAAAAGAAGAAAAGAGAUGUCUGUUUUUGGUGAGACAACGGUACCAUCUCUCCCUCUUGUUGCACGUCGAUGGGCCUCCUUACUUGCAUGUAUAUAUGUCCUACAUUGUAUAUAUGAUAUUAUCGUUAUUGUUAUUCUCCAUUUAAAUUAUUACGACAAUGACUUUAUAAUGCUAUUAUUAAUAUAACUAACUAUUCCAAUAAUUCUAGAUAUUGUCAACAAUAAUGUAUUUUUUUGGGCCAAGAAACAAUAAUGUAUUUUUUGGUCAAAUAACCAUAAUGUAUUUAUAAUAUUCACACACGCACACCAAAGUAAUUCAAUUUUAAUAAAACAAAUUCUAGAAAUGGAUUAAAACUUCAUAAAUAUACAUCACUCUCCCGGUCUCCCUUUCCACAAAAAAAAAAGAAAUAUAUAUUAAAAACCUAACAGGACAGACACCAAAGAGUUAUCUGUCUCAGGGAUUGGACUACACAAAUGUGUUUCGAAGCUCUUGUAGUUCAGUCCGCGGCGGAGACGUCUUUGUACAGGUCAACGGUCCUAGAUUUUGCGUUACAAAAAAGACGAUUGUCUAUGAACUGAUGAAAGAAACCGAUCAAAUAUUGAACGGGUUUCAAAAUGUUGAACGGGUUAUGCCUUCACUCAAACAAAAAAAAAAAUUGAACGGGUUUCAAAUUCAAUUACAUAAUUUUAAUUUCUUAGAUAUUUGAAAAACUCAAAAGAAAUCUAGAUCCAAUGAAAUCAGAAAAAAUAUUAUUUUUUGUAAGGACAAAUUAUAUAUUUUAAGGAAGACAUGUUUUCAAACUAAAAUCGGAAUCAUACCAAAUAGAUUUGCAUUAGAAUUAAUUUUAUAUUGAUGCUACUUUUUAACCGAAAAAUUAUAGCAUCAAUAAUGCAGACUCGUGAACGUUGAAACAGAAUUGUUCAUUUUGGACCGCUAAAUUUAAAAUAUGAUGGGGACAACCCUUUAGGAUAUGGUAGGAAUAUGUUACAUACAAAGGCACAUAUUUAUGCACAUGUGACAUGUAUGUAUACAUGUAUCGAGAUAUUUAGAAAGGGGAUCAGAGGACAUACACUCGUGACAUUGCCAGCUAGUGAGGAUGACAAAUGAAAAGAAAUUGAAGAAUAAAAAGGCAAAUAAAAGAAAAUAAAAACAAAAAGACAAAGAAACUUAGCAAAGGCUGCUUGUACUCUCCAACUCAUUGACUGCCCCAUGCAAUGAUAAGACGAUAAAUGUGUCAGCCAAAUAUAAAAAUCGAAACUGUUAUUUUAACGAAAUAAAAUAAUACUAAAAGCAGUAUUCACAUCCAAAUUAUUUGACCGUAAUAUACAGAACAUAGACUUAGAAUUGACUCCACAAAUAAUUAAAUUAUUAUUUAUCUGAACUACAUAAGCCAUUAUAAAUAAUAUUAUAUAAUCUUCAUAAUCCAAGAGAAUUUAGAACUGCAAAACUAUGUAAAAUAUUAUUAUAUAAAAAAUUCUUCAUUAUGAAACAAUAAACUAUAAACUCUGAAUAUUGUUCAGGAGAAAUCCAUUUAUAUAAAACUAUAAAGGCAAAAUAUUUUACAAAAAGAGAGCUGAGUUUAGAUAAAUGUAACUAUUUAUUAUUACUUUUCUGAUAAACUUAAAUACUGAGAGACUACUUCAAAUGGGAUUUUGAUGACGACAUGCAUACCUGAAAGAUAUAGCAUGGACGUACUCGAUGAAUUCAAAACCUUUUAAUUUUUUCCCUUGGCUAGAAACUUGCAUGAUGGAUUCCAUACGGUGGUGAGCUUGUCGAACCACCACCACCAGGAUUCACAUUCAUGCUGUUUCUAUCAGCGGAAUCCGACGAAGAGCCAACUCUUUCUCUACCACCAUUCCCAUGUUGCUGCUGCUGUUGUUGUUGAAACCCUGCGCUUCCACUCAUGCUUCUUACGAUCUGUCCAACUCCAAGAAAGUCUCUAGUCAUGUUCUGCUUAUCAGCGCUUAGUCCUUUGUUCACUCCUCCGUACGUACCAAACUGAGAAUCUACUCCAUUAGCGCUGUUUCCAGUUGCGCCAGGGUUGGAGAAAGAGUUCAUCAAAUCGUGAAGAUUACUCUCGUUUUCUCCGUACAUUCCACUCCCAAAGCUUCUUAGAAUCGACGAGGCAUUGUUUGUAUUGUUGUUGUUGCUGCUUGAGGUUGAUGAACCCAUUUGAGCAGCUUUCUGAAGAAGAGCAGUGGCUGACAUGUGAGAUGCUGAAUUAGGGUUUUGCAUUGACGAGCUAAAGAGUGAAGGCACUGCUCCUGAAUUGAUUCUGCCUGCUNNNNNNNNNNAAGGCACUGCUCCUGAAUUGAUUCUGCUUGCUGAACUCAUCAGAUUAUUAGGGAAGAGACCAGUACUUCCUCCUCCGCUUCCUCCAACAGCAUUUUCACCACCAAAAUGGUUUGAAAGCAUAUGGUUAGCCGAAGGAACAGCAGCAGCAUUAGGGUUGCUUGUACCAGAAGCAAUUCCGUUGUUUCCAGAUAGGAAGCUUAGAUUGAAGAGAUUGGAGGAAGGAGAAUUAUGGUUAUCAUUUGAGAACUGCAUCAAACUCUGUUGAAAAUUCAUUGGAGAUGGCUUGAUGUUAUUGCUUGCAGCCAAAAACCCUUGUUGUUGAUGUUGAUGAUGGUCUUGCUGAUCAUGAAAGCUAGGGUUUUGCUCUUGCAUGAAGUAACCUGAAGCAUUUGCAGCAAUGAGAUCAGAGGAAGAUCGUGAGGCGCCCCCUCCACCUCCUCCGCCGCUUCCAAGUCGAAGAACGUCACCGGACUGAUGAUCAAGAUUUUGUGGGUUCCCAAUGUGGGGCAAACCAAGGAUCAUGCUUGGCGUGUUGUUGUUGGAGUUGUUGGUGGUUUGUAAGGAUCAUGCUUGAAGUAUUGUUGGAGUUGUUGGUAUUUUGUCCGUAGGGAAAGUGGUGACUUGGCAAAGAAGUCAAAGAAGUUGGGUGUCUCGCACUCUCUUGAGCCAACGCGUCACAGAAGGCUCUAUGUGUAAUGAAACUGUCUCGCCUGCGACACACCAAAAACAAAAAGAAGAGUAAUGUAACAACGGAGUCUAUUGGAUCGUCAGGUAUAUUAAUCAAAUGACGAAAUAAGAAGACAUAUUACAGUUUCAAAAAAAAAAAAUUAAGAAGAUAUAUUUCAAAAAAAAAGACAUAUUUUGGGAAAGGUGAGAGACAAAUAUUUAUAAAUAUAGAGAGAGACUCUUCAUGUCACGUAGCUUCAAAUAGAUUCGCGUGUAAUUAUUGGAUCUUGAAAAAUAGAUAGAUGGCUAGAAAGUCACUCUCCUACUCUAUGACACAUCAUAUUAUUAUUUCAGCUAUGUAAUUUUAAACAGCUUACACAAUACACACUCACAUGCCUUGAUUUAUUUACGAAUAAUGCACGUAAAUACAUAAAUAGGAGUACAAUGUUGUGUCACACUUCAACUACGAUGAUGUAUGUCCGUGUCUAUAUGAUUAUGUGUACGAGCAACAUGUAUAAAUCAGUAUACAUGCAGUAAGUAAUGAACAUAAAUAUUAUUCAAUUCCGACCAAAUAUUAUGCCUAAGAUAUGCUCGUCAAUGGAAACUAGUAAUUUAAUGUGUAUGUAUAUGUUAAUGUAUAUAUAUAUAUAUAUCUAAAUGAAUACUCAAAAGAAUCAAAUAGGUAGGUGAAAAAAAGUUAAGUUUCACAAUAGUAGCAGUAUAUGGAGAGAAUGAUUGUCAAAUGAAUAUCUGAAUCUGUCUUAAUCCUAGAUCCUGUAAAUCCAAUAAAUGCAACUUCAGCAUAUAUUCAAUGAAGGACUAAUAUGUUAUGCAUAAAUGGUUAAAUAACUAAUUAUGUAUAUAAUUAUCUACCACCAUAUUUUUAAUACCUUCGUUCCAUUUAUAGAACUCCUCUUUACUGACGCGCGCACACACAAACAUAGCAAUGCCAACCAAGACUGAAAAAUACUCCUAAUUUGAAAAUGUUUUUAAUAUACUAGUUUUUGUUAAAAUUUAAUAUAUUAGUUAUCACUUCUAUGCAGUUUGAAGCCAUUUUGUGCAAAAUGUAUAUAGUAAUUAAUCAAAAUAAUUAUGCGGUGUGUGGUUAUAUAUGGUGCAGAUUACACCCGAUUCAUGAAAACGAGUAAUAUGCUAGUAAAAUUUGCACAUAAGAGAACAAACACUGUAGCAACAACUCUCUAGAGAUAUUAUAUGGUUUAGCAGCACGUGAAUUGCCCAUAUUAUAAGAAUCUUUUUAAAUCUAAGAAAAAAAAUUUAAAAAUAUAUUAAUAAAUUUUAUGACAGAAAAUCUGGCGGUGUUUCCAAGGUAAAAUAUAUAGAAAACACAAUAAAUAAAAAAAAAAGAAAUUAAAUUGGUCCUCUUUGGUUUUGAGUUUCUGCCAGAAAGCAUCUUAUGAAAUAUGGCAGUUUCAGUCAUAUACAUAUAUAUAGGUAUAUGCACACACAUUCACGUGUGCUCAUGUAUCCAUUUUAUUUUUAUAAUUUUAAGUUAAAAGGAAAAAAGAAAGAAAUUACUGCACGAAAGAAAGCGAUAAGAGCAUCGAAGACUUCGAGGCGAAACAGAAAGCGAACCUAAGAAAAAAAACCCUAGUCUAUGAAGAAUGACCCAGACACACAUUCACACCCAUAUCAUAUAGGAUUAAUUAUAAUUUAAAGAGUUCAAAAGUUCAGAAUAUUUACCUGGAGAAGAGUGUACCACAAUCGCAACGAUAUUCUUUGGUACCACAAGUCUUGGAGUGAGCUUUCCAAUCAGAUUGAACAGCGUAACGCUUAGAACAUUUCUCGCAUUUCCACUUCUUUUCACCGUGUUUACGGUAAUAAUGUUUCUUGAUUCCGGUGAGGUCUCCGAGAGCACGUGACGGGUCAUGGUGGACGCACGAGGGCUCCGGACAAAGAUACACUUUCCUCUUCACUUCUUUGGUCGAUUUUUGCUUAAGUUUCCAUGGAAGAUUGUGUCCUCUUCGGUGAAGUUGUAGAUUCUGUUCUCUUUGAAACCCUUUGUUGCAUACUUCACAUAUGAAUCUGUUUGUAGCCAUUAGUGUCUUUGGAGAUAAAGCUAUCACUUCUGCAUCUGAAUCUAAUAGAAAAGAACAAAACAUUGAGGGUAAAAUUAUUAAUUAAUUAAAAGAGAUUUUAUAUUGCAUGGUAUGUAACUAAUUAUAAUCUCAAUCUUGGAAAAUCAAUAACUUGUGUUUGCUAAUUUGCUUAUUUCAAGAUUUGGAAACUGAGAAAAAGGAUAGAUGAAAAAGGGAUCUCUAUUUUUUACUACAUAAUGAUUUUAAAAAUUGAUCACAUGAUUUUAUAAGAUUAAGAUGAUAAGAUUUCAAUUAAGGGAUGGUAAUUAGCUUACUUGGAGUUCUUGGUUGGUUUCUUUUCUUUUUCUGUGGUGGAGCUUCAAGGGGUUGCUGAGGCUGCGGUGGCUGGUGGUGAGGAGGAGGAGGAGGAGGAGGAGGAACGGCUGCAGAGGAAUUAGGAGGAAGCAGGUGAGACUGUUCAUCUUGUCGAACUCCAAAGAAGGAAGCAGCAGAGGAUGAAGAAGCAGCCAUGGAUUCUUAUGUGUUCUGUGUGAUGGUGAGAGAGAGAGAGAGAGGAGACAAGAAAAAAAAAAAGAAAUGAAAUGAAACUAGAGAGAAGAAACUCUUUAACAUUAAUUUUUUUUUGACUUCCACUGAUAUCUUAUCUCAAUAAAGCCCUAAAAAUGGGAUAUUCCAGAUUUUAAAAUAAUAAUUAUUAAAUUUUCUCAGCGAUUUUUUUUUUAAAAUAAAUAAAAGUAUAUGUCAGGUAAUAGAAGAGAAGAUGAAAGUGACAAGUGAAAACGAGUACUAGGCUAGUGAAAAAAUGUUCACACCCAACUCAAUAGCCUAGAGUAUUAAGAGUUCAUAUUAAGUUUUUUAAGGGAAUCUAUAUAAUCAAAUUAAAUCAAUCUACCUUUGUUAGUUUGGUGUAGGUUUAAUCUCUUGUGUAUAUUGAUCUAUAUUACAUAGGAUACUAAAACUAUAUACAUGUUAUGCAUUUAAGAAAAAGUUUGUUUUGUUUGUUGCGCUAUUGAACCAAACUAUUAUAAUUAAUUUGGGUGUCGAAUAUAGACACUAACACCAAUACAGAGCAAUUGAUUAUUUUCUUCUGAAUAUGUAAAUUUUAGAAAGGAAAAUGAGAACUACAGAGGUCGGUGGACCCAAUCCUUUUGCCACAUAACGACAGUGGAUGGUGCGUGAGACAAAGCCUCAACAGCUCCUCUCCCUCGCUAACAUAUGUGAAUAAUAAAUUAAAAGUGAAAUCGGAUCUAAAAAGUUUUUUAUAAAGCAGAUUACCAUAGUGUUUGACACUAAUUAAAUAAUGUAGAAGAGCAAAUCAAAAGGUUGAAAUGAUCUGCGUACGUGAUUUCAAUACUGGAGUAGAUCCAACAUUGUAAAGUUUUCGAGUUUGAAAAUGAACUAGCUAUUUAAAUUAACAUAAUGUAAGUUUUCUACUUCUUCAUUAGCGGUUACUAAAACUAACCACUAUAUUAUAUAUAACUAAAAAUCACUAGUACUAAUUCUAAGAAAAUUCUGAUUUAUGGGUUACACUUUGUUUUUAUCCUUUUUUGCCAAAGUGCAUCCCAUCUAGUCUAAUUAUUUUUGUAAAGUUUUACAAACUCUUCUCAUAUUUAUAUGAAAUUCAAAUCCUUGGCAAAAAAAAAAAAAUCGACAACUCUGUAUUUUUAUCUAACAUAUAUAUAUAGACAGGUCUCUCGACUUUCCAAAGGUUACUACACAAAGCAUCUAAUAUUUGCUUAUAUUCUUAACAAAAUAAGAUUAUUUGUCACAAUCGUAAUCAUCAUCUCAUAUGGGUCUCUUCUUUUUGUUUUAAAAUGUUCCUAUCAUAUCAUAUUACACUUUUAUGAAUGUAUGUAUAUCUAUGUGUCAUGGAAGGUUAAAAAGAGCUAUUCCAAAAGGUAAAAAGGACAAAAGGAAGAAUGAUUGUAUAUAUUUUUCAUGUAUGUGGAAAGUAAAACCAAAAAGGAUACUCCAAAAUUUUAACUAUAUUUCGUUAUAUUCUCCCAUAUAUAUAUUCAAGCAAUUGGGUAAAAACAAAUCAAACAACUCUAUAUUAUGAUUCCCGAGUGAUAGAUCCAAACAUCUUUUAUUUAUUCAGAUAAAUUACAAAACAACUAAAUUCACACAUAAUUUUUCAUAACGUUGCUGUUAAUGUCUAUUAGUAAUAUUUGUCUUAAAGAUGAUAUAGGUUUACAGCAACCGGUAUAUUGUGCAGAAAAUUAAUCUGACAUACUGCUAUUUAAAAAUAAAUUAGUUAAGAAAUUAUUAUAAACUUUAAUUUGCUUAUAUGUAUGUUAAGAUAUUUACAGUCUUUAACAUAUUUAUUUAAAAAUUCAGUCUAUUCUCAAAAGAAAGAGAUCAAGAAAAUGAAUCCAUUGGUAAGAGUUUUAAUUGAAUAUGUUUUUUUUUUGAUGAUGAUGAUGAUAUGACGUUAUGGUUUUAUUUGAACAAUUAUUUUUGCUAUGCAAAGAAUUUUUAGGAAAAGGAAUAACAAUUGCUAUUCCCGAUAACAAUGACACUUGAACCGUAACCUUUCCUCUCACAUACAGAUUCGAACAUAAAUUCUUUCAAAUCAACAGUAAGUACAUCUAAAAAUAUGAAAACAGUGCAAGAUUUAAUUUACGAUAGAAAAAGAACUCCACCUCUUUUAGCUCGUCGAGUUUGAGGUAAGAUUUGGAAGCGUUGCUAUCAGUUGCGUGCUUCUAAGUAGGGAUUAGAGGGCCAUAUAUAUAUAUAUAUACACACAGCGUGUAAUAAAUGGGUAUGAGCAAAUUUAAGAAGAGUUAAUACAGUUUUGCUAAUCAUUAAUUACUUUAAUAAAUCACUUUCAAAGUUUUCAUAUUAUUAGCUAAAUUUCGAUUUGAAUAAAGUUGUUACUGUAACUACCAUUCAUAAUUUCAUUUAUUAAAAUUACUUUAAGAAAACAACAACAAUAGGCUCUUUUUAAACAAAAAAAAACAGGCUCUUUAAAUAUUUUCCAUUCUAGCCCCCCACUUGUGAGGAAAUUAAAAAAAAAAAGACAAAAUGUUUUUUUUUAUUCAAUCAAUUAUUAUAUUUUAAAAAUUACAACUCAACUUUUUUAACCAACAAAAUCACCCUUUGUUAGACCAUCUCCAAUAUCUUACUCUAUUUUUUACUCUAAAAUAAAGUAACUCUAUAACAGAGUUUGAGUUUGUUCCAAUGGUAUUCUAUUUUAGAGUAAAAAAUAGAGUGAUGAACAAUAAAAACAAAUUACUCUAUAUUUGGAGUAACCCUAUUUUUCAUUCUAUUAUAGAGUGAGAAAUAGAGUACCAUUAGAGCAUUUUUUACUCUAAACUAUAUUUGAGAGUGAAAAAUAGAGUGGAGUUGGAGAUGCUCUUGUACACGACGNNNNNNNNNNNNNNNNNNNNNNNNNNNNNNNNNNNNNNNNNNNNNNNNNNNNNCGCUAUUCGACCAAAAAAAGAAAUAUAUACAACGCUUAAAUACGAAUUUGGAUGUGAAUUUCUUUUUUUUUUCUUGGAUGUCAAAUUUCUUAAUAUAUGACAUUAACGUUGAGAUGUCAAAUCUUUUGCUAAAAACCCAAAACUUUAAAUCUAUAUAGUCCCCGGUUCCAAUUGCAAACGAAAUUUACACCAAUGGGUGUCUAUGACAAUAUUAUGCUGUUGAAAUAAGAUUUUUUGAAACCAUAAUUAUCUCGAUCUCUAUGAAAUUUAUUUUUUUACCACAUAAAAUUUUGAAAAUGAUGAAGUUAAAUGAUUAAUUUGGGUCCUAUGUAAGGAAAACAAAUUUUUGAGGCAGUAACAUAAUUCAGAUAAAGUUAUGUAAUUUUAUAUAAUUUUCUGAAAACAGACUAAUAUAUGGGUAUUUUGUCAAAUUUUAUUUUGGAAGUUUAUGUGUGAUUAUUACCAACAAGUUACAACAGUUAAUGCCACGUGUAAGUCAUGGAGAGCCUAUAAAAUUUUCAUAUCUAUCUAAACAUAUGUUUUGCCACUUGUAAGUUAAUGAAAAGCUAUAAGUCUCUCAUAUCUUUUUAAGUAAAAUUUAUAAAUUAUUAAGAAAAAAAUUGUGCCGGGUGUAAGUCAUGGAGAGCCUAUAAAUCUUUCAUAUGUAACUAAGAAAGCAUAUGACCGCGUGUAAGUCAUGAAGAGCCUAUAAACCUUUCAAAGAUGGUAUCUUGAAUAACAAUAUUGUCGCGAACGUUACAAAAAUUGCCUUUUAAUGCUAAACUUUGUUCUUCACUCUGAGUUAGUUUGAGCUUAAUAUUUCACUUUUUGUUUGUUCUUUUCUUUAAUUGACUUAUCUUUCAAGGUCAGAAUCUUUAUAUCAACAAGAAAUUGAGCAGAUAUUACAAUAAACCAAAAACUAGUAGACCUUAAAAUGCUAAUUAAUUGGCUGAUUACAUGAACUCAUACCUCGAGAUAUUAUAUGGGAAAAAAAGAGAUAUUAUAUGGGUUAUCAUUACAUAAAAUGGAGGGAAUCUUGUAUCUGACGUUCAAAAGAUUGCCUAUCGUUUUAAUGUGAAACAUAACUAUGCAAAGGCACUAAACAUUACAUUAAUUCAGAAAGAAGUACAAAAUUAAAUUCGCUAAUGUAUCAAGCCGAAUGCAUAUAGUGUCCUGUAGUUUGAAUUUUGUUCAAGUAGUCUGCCUUGGGUUCGAGAGUUUAACUGAAAUGUACAUAUAAGAGUGUUGUUGAUGUAUAGAUCGCACGAAACAAAGAGUGCUGCAGAAGAAUGUCAAAUAAAUCUUUAAGAGAAGUUUGAUAUCUUCAAUCUAGGAAUGUUCUUAUUUACCUUCACAUAUAUGGUUUUGUUGUCGGAACUAUCUAUGCGAAUGAAACAAGUUCUUAUAGGACUAUCAUAGACAAAUCUUUUUUUAAUAUACCAAUGAUCGGUUUAAUUAAAACAAAUGCCCGAUAUGUUGUUAAUAUUUGUUCUAGUUUAUUUCGAUGCUUCUAAUUCUUCACAUUUAAUUUCAAAUAUAAAAUAUUCCCACCGGUUUGGAAUUGUGCAGACAUAUUAAAAACAUUUAAUUUUAUACAUUUUCUUAACAGAAACAUCAUAAACUAUAUAACUAACCAUAAUUAAACUAAUAAAAAUCAAGUUGCAUAAUAUAAGAAGUCAUAUAGCAUACAAUCAUUAAAGUUAACAUUAAAUUUGAAAACAUCAUGUAAUUUGAAACAAAAAGUUUUCUUCAAAACAUCAUCUAUUUAAAAACAAGGGGAGGGGGUAUAGUUUUAUUUUAGUUAAUUAAUGUAACCAUGAACCAAGUUAUUCACUCUUUUCUUCAGAACGUCAAGUUAUUAAAUAUAUGUGUAUAGGCUGUUGACAAAAAAAAGGUGUAUAGGCUACGUGCAGGUUGUUGCGGCACAUGGUGGUUUCUUCUCUUGGACUAGGGACGUAAAUUUGUUAGUUCAUAUAAUUUGUCAUCACAUAAACGUGUACCCACUUCAUCAUUUUACAUGUAACGAUUUCCAGUAGAUCACUUACAUGAGAAACUUCUUAUUUUAUAACUCUGUUUACAUUUCAUAUUUCUUUCUGCCAGUUUUUCAAUUGCAUAAAACAAUCUGGCAUUAACCGUUUGUAGUUUGUCCACCAAACGUCAAUUUAAAUCUUGCAUGUUGAGAUUACACUUUGAACACAUAAAUGUGCUAGAAAAUAUUUGUUAAAAAUUGCAAAUAUUAAUGAACAAGUACUCCUCAUUACUAGAGAAAAUGGGCUCUUCUGGCACAACAAACAAGACAUUUGCAUUAUGUGUUCCUCUUUGAGAACGAUCGGUGAUUUUUACAGAACUUGGCUUCCAUCAUUCUUCUUCUUCAUGUAACAAAAACAAAUCUCUAUAUACAUUUGUAAACACAUACACACUUCACUCUUGGGAUUCUCCUGGUGGCUCGCUCUCUUCGUCAUACAUAGACUCAUCAUAUCUCCGAAGUGAAUCAAGACUGCAAACAAACAAAAACAAUCAUGAUUUCCUUAAACAAUCGCUAGUAGAAAUAAAACAAGAUGGAUUCAAAUUUAAAAAAAACCUGCAAUUCUGAGGAACUUUCCAAGAGAAACCAGACUCCUGUUUAAGAUGAAGUGGUAAAGCCAUAAAGUCUCUCCAAUCUUGAAGCAUGAUUCUAAGAUCAUGAAGCUUACUAUCCAUACCAAAGCAGCAAUUCGCAUGCAUGGUACGAACCAGAUUCAUAUCUUUGCUUGGUUCACAGAGUCCACCAAAAUACGCCGUGUUCAAGAACCUAAUCCUAAGCCCGAUCCGGAAAACAAAAGGCUCCCUCUUGAUGAAGUUAAGAACGUCCUGGUCGUGAUACCCCGAGUACCUGAUCCGUGAAGCGUACCAGUACUUGUAGAAGAGUAUAGUCCUGUUGUUAGACCGCACAAAGCUAAACCCUCCGUUAGGUCUAUUCUCUAAAUCAUUCGACCUUCCUAAGUAAUGGUCACAAGCGAUCUGGAAGUCAGCGUAUCUGUAAAACCGCGUAAAAGGGUUCCUGAACCACAUCACAUCAGCAUCCUGGAGAAGCAAAGAAAACCAAAUCAUUUUCAAGAACAUGAAACCUGAACACACUCGUUCAAGAAAAUGUUUAUACCGUGAAGACAAAGUUGUAACCCAGUUCAAGAACAGAACGCAAGAAAUCGAUUCUUCUCCACAUCAUCUUCAAGUAAGAACGAGUCAUGAAGUAAGCCUCCUUUCCCGAGAAAUCAACACCUUCUGUUUCGAGACUGAAGCAAUGCUUGUGAAGCUCUCGGCAACGGGAGUAAGCUUUAGCAUCCAGAGCAAUGAUCACCAAAUGGUUUAAAAGCAUGCCUGUUCCUUCACCGAUUCGAAAACUCUCGAAGAAGAGAUCGAUAACAGAGCCAGGAGCAGCCCAAGCUUCGUUCAAAGUCGUUAGAAUCACAGUGUUGUCUCGAGUUGCAGCUCUACGAAGAACAUCUUCAAGCUUAGGCUCUUCAAGCUCCUAACAUCAAGCUUAGGUUUAGAUAACAUCUUCAAAUCAAGAGAUCAAACUCAAAUGCUAACUUAGUUUCUAAAUUUGGGAACCGAUCAAAGCCUAAAUCAAGAAUCGUACUCUACAUUCGUCGAAUUUCAAAAUGUUCUGGUGACAAUGUGAAAGCGAAGAGGAGGAAGAAGCUAACCAGAGACUGGAAGGAAUCGAAUGAGGGGAAAAUGCGAGAGAAGAUCGAGGAGGAGGAGCGAGGGACGGCGUCGAGGGAAUCAAGGGAUCGGUAGAGGACGAAGAUGGAGAUGGAAAUGGCGAGGAUGAAUGUAACGGCUCGGCGUAGGGGACGGGAGCACGGCGGCAUGACGAAAGAAGCUACGGCGGAGGAGGAGCGGUUAGCGUCGAGGGACGAAACGUGGAGCUUCGUCAUCGUCUUGAGCCUCGAGGGAAGACGGUGCGAUAGAUUCAUCUACACCGACCAUCGUCGGCACCGACGCCAAAAACUUAAGUUAAUUUUAAGACUUUAUUUGGGUUUUUUCCUUUUUUUUUUACUAUUUUACCUAGAGAAAUUACUGGAUGGAUGGGAUAUCAAUAAAUGAUGUAUAAAUAACUUUUCUCUUCCCUUUUUAAUUUUAAAUCUUCCAGAUAUGAAAUAAAUCAGCAUAUUGUUUUGAUUAUAGUAUGAUUUAAGUUUUGGAAUUGUGUUUUAUUAUUGGGGUUAAAUUUAUUAUUAAAGGUUUCAGUUUGACAUUAACGUUUAUGUAAAUUUUAUUUGUUUUGAUUAUAUCAAUAAAUGUUGUUUAAAAUAACUUUUCUCUGCUAUUUUUCUAAUUUUCGUCAAGUAUAAACUUCCAAAAAUGAAAAAAAAAUCAGCAUCUUGUCUUGAUUAGGAUUUAAGUUUUGGCUCUGUGUUUUAUUAUUGGGUUAAAUUCAUUAUUACAGGUUUCAGUUUGAUAUUUAGUGUUUAUGUAAAUUUUAUUUUCAAGAUUUGCUCCAUUAACUUUAAAUCUCUGAUAAACAAGAAAUCCUAGGAGUUUAACAACAAAAUCAUCUGAAAUGUUUUCACUGGGACUAAUCUAAGCAGACAGAUAUUUAUUUACUGGUUUCAACUGCUGAGGAGAGAAACUGAAAGAGUAAGGUUGAGAUCAAUCUUUGGUGAAGAAGAAGCAAAGCAAUCUUUGAAGACGAAUGGUGCAGAACAAGUGGAGACUGCUUCACUCGUUUCGCUCACUGAUGACCCGUUGCUUCUCCAUUGAUGAUGGUUCAAAGACAGAGACAGCGACAAAUCUUCCUCUUCUUGUUCUUUCCCACUGUUCUCCCAUUUGUUCUUCUCCUUCUCUGUCUUCUAUUGAGGACAAGACAAACAAAUAAAUCAGCUUCUAAACCGGACAAGAUUCGGAUUGUGUUACCCCAAUUUCAAUAAACCUAAAAAGUUAUAAUAAACCUAAGCCGGAAAAAAAUCUGAGUUCUAAUGAACCUUAAGUUCCUAUGACAACUAGGUAACUAAACCGGACACGACUCGAUUUUUAAAUUUCACCCAGUUUCAGUCAAACCGGUUAAGACAGCAAAUCAAAAUCUAAUGUCCAAUCUAGAAUCGAAGGAGAAACAUUAUUGAACCGGCCUGGAUUUAAUUUUGCUUAGGCUUCAAAAUUAAAUCCAAAAGUAUAUAAUGAGAGUAUAUUUUACUUUUUUUUUUCUGAACAACUAGAGUAUAUUUUACUAAUUAGAUGAAACUACACGUUGACAUAAAAGUUAAUAAAACAUACCUUGUGGCAUUGAUGUGAUGGAAACGCCGUCGUUUCUUUCGUCUUCUCCAUGUUUAUGAUGUGAAGAAAGUCAUCAUCAUCAUCACCACCACCAGACUGUGAAGUCUGAUUCUCUCUUCUUCCUCCUCUGUGCCAAAGUAAACAAUAUUAAAAAGUACAAUUCAAAUACAGACAAAAGGGUAUAUUAUGAUAGCUUCACUGAUACAAAAUUAAAAACAUGUCAGAAAAUAUAAAUGAAUAAAAAUUUACCUAAGAGAAGAAUGUGAAGAAAGAGGAAACGAGUGAAACCCCAAAAGACAAUCAUUCCUUGAGGGUAAAGACAAGUUGUCAUGAAGAUAAUCUUCUUCAGUGUCUUGUCUUCUUCUUAUUGAAGAUAAAGAGCUUUCCUCUGUCCCCAAAAAUGAAAAAAUAAUAGACUAUAAUGAAUAUUCCCUUGAUCAAUAAAAAUAAUUUGUUUUAAUAUAAAAGAAAGCUAUAUGUAUUUAUAACAAUUGUCUUAUGAAUCAUGACACUAGACCAAUAGUACAUACUACAAACAGAUGCUGUAAAACAAUUAAAUUCCAUCCAUUAUUAUAGUUUUGAUGUUAACAGUUCAGAUUAAAAUCAGCGGUCCAGUUCUUCUAUAAAUCAUAUCAUUUCAGAAUAUUUAUGGAAAAAAAAAUGGACAAAAAGUCCAUACCUGAUUUGCCCAAAGUGAGUUUAGAACCUCUAUACAUCUGUUGUAUGUGAUGAAAAAAGAAGAGACAGGGAUUUUAAUAUUCAAGAUACUAUGAAAAAGAUAUAAGGCUAAGAGAGAACAAAACUAACGUCAGGUAAAUCUAUUACCUGGAGAUGGCUCUUGACAUGUGAAAUGGUGAGUCCCCUCACAUCCAUCAUCUUAAGAAUAAGCUUUGGAGUGGCUCCUGUUUCAUAAAACCCAACAUAAAUACAACGAGAACAAAAAGAUUAAAAAGGUAACUAUGAUGAUUCUUUAUGUUGACUAUUCAUGAAAAAGGUAAUGAGUAACUUUAAUAUUUUGUAGAGCAUGAAACAUAAUUGCAAAAGUGUGACUUGCGAGCAUGGUUCAGAAACUUGACGAAAAUUAUUCUUGAAGGAUGAUGACAGAAAAUAAUGAGAAAUUUUCAAACUUUGGACGAAAUAUCCAAAAAAAUAAUAAUAAAAAACUCCAAACUUUAGAUAUAGGAAUGAAACAAAGUAGCAAAAGUAUGAAGGCAUCGUUCAACAACUUGACAAGAUGAUAAAAAUGUUUAUACUUAUUAGAAAUUCCCUAACAAAUCCAAACUUGAAGACAUAUGGAUGAAACAAAUUAGCAAAAACUGUGAGGUUUGGUUCAAAAACUUGACAAAACAAUGAGAAAAUUCCAAUCUGUUUCGAAAAAGAUCCAAAAAUUCAAAACUUAAAAUAUAUAUAUUUAAGUGAAACGAAGUAGCAAAAAGUGUGAAGCUUUUCUUCAAAAACUUGAAUAAAACAAAGUAACAAAAGGUUGCAUUUUUGUCGAAAUAUUGAAGGAGAAAAGAAACGUACUAUGUUGGCCACCAAGCAUAUCGACGGCGUUUAGGAAACAACGGUGGAGCUCCGGCGUCCAUCUGAGUCGAGGCACUGGAGACCGUACGUAUGGCCUAACUCUGCCGCCUCCGUGACCGUUAAAGCCAACGUCGUUGCCGUUUCUUCCACCACACGUACCCAUUCCUUCACAAAUCAGUCUCAAGAACCCUAAAACGUCUUUUAGAUUUGGAGCACAGAAACCAAGAACAGAAGACAGAGAAACGUAGGAAAGGAUUUGUGGGUAUGUGUUGGAUUUAAAAGAGCAAGUCUCUUUUGUUUUCUGAAAUGGUUUUGGCUUUUUCUAAAAGAUGACUGUCUCUUUUUCCAUCUAUUCUUUUUGUCUUUUUGAAUGCACUCAUACAUAUAUAUAUAUAUAUACACCCCUCUUUACAUAUAUAUCUGCAAAAUGCCAAAAACUAAUUAUUAGACCUUUUUAGAAAAGGUUCAUUCAUUUUUAUUUGCCGGAUAUUCCAUUGUAGUUGUGUUUAAACUGGAAUUGUAAUUGAUUUAUGUUUCGAUUUUGGAUUUUGUUUGAUAUAUAGUUUAGAUUUAAUUUGAAAUAUUAAAUUCUAAGUAAAAUUUAAUAUCAUUAGAAAUUUUCUGAUUUGAGCAUCAUAUAAAAAACAUUAACACAAUUUGGAUAAGGGCAAUUGUCAAUAAUAGCACCUUUUGAAAUUUAUGUCUCAAAAAUAGCAUUAGAAGGAGAAAGUCACAAAAAUGACAUUCAUUAAAGGGUAAAAUAUCCCUAAUACCCUUGGUUUAAAAUUAAAUAAACAAACAAAAAUAAAUAAAAAUAAAUAAAAUAAAAAUGAAAAAAAUGAAAAAAAGAUUUUUUUUUAUAUAGUUUCAGAUUAUAUGUUUUCAGAUUCGAAAUUUUUACAAUUUUUUUUUCUCGAAAUUUUUUAUUUUUUUUUUCAAAUUUUAUUUUUAUAAUUUAAAAAUACUUUUUAAAACUGUUUUUAAAAUUUUUUUUUUUAUUUUAAUAUUUUUUUUUUAUAAAAUUUUAAACCCUAAUUCCAAAACCCCACCCCUUAACUCUAAACCCUAAGGUUUGGAUUAAUUAACCCAAGGGGUAUAAAUGUAUAUUUACCUCUUUAAUGAAACCUAUUUUUGUGACUUUGAACCUUGAGUGCUACUUUGGGAACAUAAACUUGGUUUGGUGCUAUCCUAGUCUUUUUCUCUUUGGAUAAUUAUAUUUACAAAUCAAAAUUUGAAUCAAAUUAUGUAAAAUAUUAUUUCAGCUUAAGAAAAUCUAAAAAAAAACGUAAGAAAAUCUACACUGAAAAGAGCUAAAACCAUAGGUUUAUGAAUUGUUCACGACAUACGUGAAGAUUUGGCGAUACUCAGAUCUCGUAAAGACAUUUUUUUUUUAUAACGAAGGUAUAAAAAGUAACCAGCUGGAAUGUUUUAGUGUUUUUAUUUGGUACUUUAUAAAUUUGUUUAUUAAGAAAAACGAGGUGAGAUUUGUUUUUUGACGUAGCUACAAGGACAUAGCCAUAUAUAAUCUACAAAAAUGGUAAUUAUACGAAAAUUGUUUUGGCUUUGGUUACAUCAGCCUUGACUCUUGACCCCAUUAUUAUUAUUAUCUUAAAAUAUAUAAAUAGUUUAAAGAGAUGCAUAUCAACGUACCAGAGAAUCAGAGAUAUCUACACAAGGCUAUAAUAUACAACUUGCAUGCAAAAAAAGAACUGACUACUUUUGAUCAUCCAAUACUAAUCUCUUGUCUACACAUGGGUCUAUAAUAUUUACCUUGUAGGGAUUUGAGAUUUACCCCAAUGAACAAGUUUCGUCUAACACUUCAUCAGACUUUUUACUCGCUCUUUUUCACCAUAUAUUGCCCCAAAUUUAUAUAGGCCAGCUGCUGCUAAGCUUUGACCAUAGCAUUAAUAAUUGUUCCUAUUUUUGUUUUUCGUUGGGGUUUCGUGUUUAACUUUCUGAUUUCAGAAACUUACAACGGUCCUUCCUAAUAUCUUUUGGACCACCGUUUUGACUUCGUUCCCUCCCCCCCUAAUUCUCUAUUAUUAUUUGUGUUCUCUCAUUUCCCAUUCAUUUUGUUUCUAUAUAGGUUAUUGCCUACGGUUUUGGCACAUCUAAAUAUUCUAUGAAAAGUUAUAUAUUUACAUUGCAUAUUGUAUCUUUUCGAAUAAUCAUAAGUAUUAACAAAAUCAACGUUAGAUUUUAAAUAGUUGAAAAUCAAAACUCCUGAAGUCCUAGAAGAGAUUUUAGAUCUAAUAAUAACUCUAUAAACUUUAAUCUAAAAGGAUAAAGAUUUUUCUUUGACAUAACUUAUGGUUAACUCAAAAUGAAUGAACCAGAAAUUAUUUUAGAACAUUUUCUUAUCCAUAACAACUCUGCCAUCUCAACAUGUAAAACUGAGAGACUUCUGAUGUAUCCACUGAAUCCAAAUGAUUCAACAUCCAUUAUUUUGAUCUUUAAAACUCUACAAUAAACCACUAACUAGGUCACUGUUGAUUCAUGAAUCAUCAAUUUGACAAGUUAGGAAGUAUUCAAGAAAUCAAUUUGACAAGUUAGGAAGUAUUCAAGAAGACAGCCUCAAUGAAAGGAUCAUCAGGUUUCUUCUUCUUCUUUCUCUUUAAGAUUUGCCUUUCUCCAGUAUUUUUUCAAGAGAAGCAAAUUUUAAAAGUGUUGACUAAGAGGUGUCUUUUCCAUUAAAAAUUUUAUCAUUCGUUAUUUUCAAAUGUAUCAAAUGGUUCAUGUGAUAAUAUCAAAUUGUGGUUCCACUGAAAACAUCUAUUACAACAAAAUUUUCUUCUAUAUUUUUCUUUGUAAUAAAAACCUGUAAAAUAGAGAUGAGUUAGAAAUGCUUUUAGGCCAUAUAUAAUUAAUCAUUUCUCCAGUUUUCUAUCUAGGGAUCCAAUUAACUUGUGAUAAUUUUUAAUUUAAUUACAAAAUUCUGGAUCUUAAUAGGUUCUCUUGUCCCGAAUAAGUUCGUUUCAAAUCAACUUCUGAUAAUACUUUUAGUGAGCAUAAAUCAUCCCUCGAAAAAAUAUUAAAGAAUACAGUAUAUGUAAUCUCAGUCCCUCCUUUUACCAACACCGUCCGACUACAUGCAUGUCUUAUAAAUUCCAUUCGGGACAGAUUUCAUACUAGUAGUAUUUCCUUUACAAAAAUCAUAAUACUUUAUUAAUUAUCCCACGGUUGGUUACUCGUUACUCACAUUACGUGUACGAUUUCUCGUAGUAUUAUAGAUAAUAGAUUCCAAGUUAUUUAUAAGACAACUCACACGUGGUUUCGCGCUAUCAAGAAGUGCAAAAAAAUUUGAAAGCCUUUUUUCAAUAAAAAAAAGAAGUGCAAAAAAAUAUGAAUAUUAAUUUAAGAGGAUAAAAUAAUAAACAAACUUAACAAAGUUAUUUAUUGAAAAAAAAAAAACUUAACAAAGUCGUCGUCUUUUUAUUUUAAACAAAACUAAGACCUUUACCCAAGGAAAAAAACAUAAAUCAGACACAAUCAAAUAGAGGUGUCAUUGACCUUUAACGUAGACUACUAUGCUCUCUCUCCCUUUUCUUCUCAUUCAAUACAUUCUCUAUAUUAUUAUAAACAUGUGGAAUUCUGCGUAUAUACCAAAUCGCUUUAUAUACCAAAUCGCUAAAGCGAUUUAAGAGAAUUUAAACAAUGAUGCCCCAUGGUUGAGAAAAGAUUAAUGUUUGAUUAGACGGUAAUUGCUAAUUAGAAUAUUAUAUUCAGUCACCAGCUUUUCAAAGAUACCGAAGUUACGUAUAUUAUCUAUAUAUUCACCAGAAGAAUGUUACAGAAAGCUAGGUUAUGAUCAUUGUUCAAAAUAAAUAAUCAAAAGAGAGACAAUACAAAUGAUCAAACUAUUGGACUAAGAUAACAAAGUCUCAAAAAGGCUACAACUUGAGAGAUUUGUAGCCUUCUUGUAUUCCUUAUAAAACACUAUUAACAUCCAAGACUACAAAAAUUUCUGGAUCAUAUUUCCUAAACUGAUAUUUAAAUUAACUGUCAUAUGGUUCACCCGUCAUGCAUAGACUGUUGAAGUAAACACUGAAAUAUUUUUCCUAAUAUAUAAACGGAAGUAGUUAAAAAGAAUGGUUUUUCCUAAGGUUGUAACUAAUAUAAAUACUGAUUAUUUGUAUGCCAAAUCGACUAUUUAUUAAAAUUAACGCGCUUUCGCUUUAGACUAUAUAAUAAAAUUUACAACACAAACAAUAAAAGAGAACAAAUUCAAGGUAUUGUGAUAUAAGUUUCAUUCAGUGAUAAAAAAAUAAGGAAAAGUGGGAUAAAAAAAAUGAAAACAAUACAUUUAAUGAGUGUGGCAGUUGACAAAUAGCUCCAAGAGAAAUUGAAUGAGUAAAUUGACUGUAGAGGUCCAUGAUUCAUGGCUUUACCAAAAUCAAAACAUUCAAUAGUUCUCUUUGUUUGUUUGUUUAUCAUACCAAGACUUUAUACAUAUAUGUAAAGAUAAUGUAACCCAACUGGAUUUGGAUACCAAAACGAUGAAAUUCUCUUUUUUUUUUGUUAUUUGGAUGUGCAAAUCUCACCAAACUAUAGAUUUGAUACCUGUUAAUAUUUAUUUUUUUGGGGGGUCAAUAUUCUCAUCACCCACUGAUUAAGUUCAGUCAUAGACUCAUAGCACAUGCGAGCACAAGGCAAAUUCCGAGACAAUAAAUAAAUAAUAUAAAAAGGGUGCAAUCCAUAAAACACCUAGAGAGAAGGGAGAAGAAUUAGCCCUUCACACUUGAGAACAGUAAACAGAAGAACAAAAGUGAAAGAUAGUAGUUUUUUUUUUUUUGUCAUCUGGUAGAUUUAUAUUAACUUGAAAGGGGAGUACACAAAGCCAGCAAAGAUGAUUAAACCUUUCUGGAGCCAUAAGCCGGUGAGGUGAUGAACACCAUCCGGAGGCACAGAUUGAUACAAAUUUGAAACUAGAAACUAGACUAGAUGAAAGCACAUAAGAGGAGGAUGGUUAAGAUACAUGAGAUUGCAACAAUGGUGAAGUUGACUGGAUACGGACGAUGAUUAGAGAGUGAGAGCAGUGCACACCUAAUUAACUGAGUUUCAAGGUAGUAUCCAAGAGCGCUUCCAACAGCGAAACCCGCUCCAACACCACACAAAGAACUACCGGAAACUCAAUCACAAUUAACACACGCUGAGAAGAACAAAGAAGUAGACUGGAGGAACAAGAACAUCACCAAAACAUAAACUGAAUCGCGAGAGGUUAGAAUCCUUAACCGUAGCUGAACACACUCUUCAAUCCCAACUUCAACUCGCCAUUGGACCUUGAGAGGGCUCUCUACGCGCCUCAUACGCACCAACUCCUUGCCGUAAAAACUUUUAGGAACUUACGACUUAUUCACACAGCCGGUAACUGGAUAAAAACCACUCGAAAUCCAAGACUAAAACGAUCACCUCGGUGGAAAUCGACCAACAAUGAAGCAUUUGUUCUGUUACACAUCUAUCUCCUUCUGAUCCUCUCAGAGCUAAAGAAUCGCACGCACAGGCUCUGCCCAUCAAAGAUCAAACAACCACCAGAGAUGGCUCCAACGAACCGAGACUGCACUCCCAAGACUAAGCAAAACUCCAAACCACAACCGCAGCUAAACCUCACGCAUCCCUCCUCAAUGGCCAUCACCAAUGACAUUGCUAGGGUUUGGGCCUCACCGAACAGAGAAAAUUGGGACACCAAACCCUAAGCCAACUAAAUCCGACCCCCUACAGACCCUCCUAAGCUCCUACAACUCACCUUCACUCCAGAUUGAAAGAGAGAAGCUUCAAAUCGAGAUCUGACGACCAGAUCUGAAUGACUCCGUCAACUUCCGUCACCAGGGCGAGAAGCAUAUCACCGAAGGAGAAGAGAGCUGGCAGGGGGCAAAGAAACAAGAACCAACGGAGCCGUAACCGACGCACGCGCCGUCACGGCCAGAGUGAGAUGAGAUCUACGAUGUCUUCACGGGCGGCGCACUUUCAGAAUAUUUUCACAACUUAAGAGAUCCAAUAUUUAAAAUUGUGAAAGAUAGUAGUUUAAAAGUGUGAUUUAGGAAUGGAUGGGCCACAAAAGUCUAAUAUAUAAAUUACAAAGACAAAGUUUAAUGCAUGGCUAUGUGAAAAGUUUAGAGUAGUGAGUGCAUAAUUAUUGGAAGUAGGACCAAACAACUCUUGACUUUUCAUCCUUCGGGAUUGGAAUUUAGGUUUAAUAUGUUUUCUUAGCAUAACCUCUUUUUGUUUCAAAAAAGCAUAACCUCUUUUAUUCUCUCAUUCCAUGUUUUUUGGCCUUCUCAUCAUAUAUCACGGAGAUACGCUACAAAGUAGUAACAUGUGCAUCCAUCUACACAUUCGUAUAAAAUAAGUUAAAUUGUAGAUUAUUAUAUGAAAGUUAAUAUUUAGGGUCAAAUAUAGGGGAUUUCGCUUAUCUUGUUGAAGACAUAGUUGACAAACGAAAAAUGUUGAAGACAAUUUUUUGGCUGAAUAAAUUUAACUCGAUGUAAAUGUGGAACCUAUAGAAAAGCAAUUGUUUAUAAUUGGCUGAAUAAAUGUAUAACUCGAUGGUUGACAAAAAAAAAAUAUAACUCGAUGAAGACGAUUGUCUACAAAAUUUAGCAAAAAAAAAAAAAAAAAAACGAUUGUCUAUAUUAAAUAUAAUUGGCUGAAUAAAUUUAACUCGAUGAAAUUGUUUAUAUUGUAUAUAAUAUGUUCCAUUUUCUCUCUCUCAAAGAUUAAAGAUAGAAAAACGAACAAAAAGAUGAGUGUUUGCAUCUUAUUUUUUUUCUUUCUGUGAAACAGUUUCACAAAGUUAAACAAGAGGAAGAAAAAAAACGAAAAGAGAGAUAAUCUUUGAACAUCUGAGAAUGUAGCAACAAAUUUUUCAUCACCAACAAGAAGAAAAUACUGAAAAGCAGAGCCCCACCUUCUUCACAGUUCCAGAGAUUCCCUGUCCAAAUAUUUCAGAGUAUGAAUUAGGACACAGAAGAAGAAUGAGCAAAAGAGUCAGGUGAAACAAAAUCAUUGACAUGCUAGAGAAUCUCAGACCAAACAUUUAGUACGGGUGUCUGUCUAUAGAGCAGAGAAACACCCGUUACUGUCAAAUCAUAGUGGCAAGGACAAUGAACAUUGUAGUACUCAAUGGCAAGUGAGAAGGUAUAAAUAAAGAGAAUAUUCAUGUAGCUGUUGUGACACUGACCGACAUAUGCAUAUACAAUCCACCGAAUCAAGGAGUGUGUAUCUGCUUUGCAGAAUCUUUAAACCAGAAGAUGUUCAGACACAGGCCUAAAUCUGUAGUGAGUGCUGUAAUUUCACAAUGCUUCUUACAGAUUCAUAUAAGUACAACAUAGUGACUAGCCACGAUAUCUAAGAGACAGUUUACAAGUUCAAACAUUGACCAAGCAUAAGAGUUUGUAAGCCUAGAAGUGGGAUAACAUAAAUGUUCAGAGGAAUGUAUCUUCUGAACAUAUGCUAUAUGCAUAUAUAAUCAACCAAAUAAAGGAGUGUAUCUUCUUGCAGAAUCUUUAAAGCAGAAGAACAGAGCUAAGUGUGUAGUGCGUGCUGUAAUCACAAAGCGUCCUAAGGAUUUAUAAAUAGCAACACCAAAGUAACUAUAGCCAUGAUAUCUGAGAAACAACUUACAAGCUACUACUGAGUAGUACUUUAAGCUAAAUUGAGUGCAAAAAGAACUCUCUAGGACUAACAAAACCUGCAGAGAGUCGAGUUAACGAUGGAACUAGGCUUAUCCAAACUUGAGACAUCACUGAUUGAGAUGGCUUACAAGAACAAACAAAUGCAAAGAAGAACAAUUCGUCAAAGAAGACUCUUUCCUCAAAACUGAAUCCAAUAUUAGUCAAAUGUUCAAAUCUAAACACCAACCAAUCUCAUUCAAUUCGGAACCAAACCUAAACCGAAAAAUGGAACCACGAAUAUCUAAUUCAAUCAAAUCACCAAGAAGACCCGAUGAACCGGAGACUAAGACACACAUUAGUGCGUUCUGUGAUUCUUCAUAAGGAUUUAGCAAGUAACACGAAGUGACUGUAGCCUAUCUGUGACACAAUUUACAAGCUCACACAAUAACCAAGCUUAAGGCUUUCAAAGCCUACAAGUAAGAGAACAUAAAUCAAACAUAAUAUAUAUAGUCUAGCAAAUUUGAGCUGCGUCCUGUUAAUCAGCGAAUCUCUUCUUCCGGCUUAGUAAAAAAGCAGAAGAACAGAGCUAAGUGUUCAUUGCCUGCUGUAAUCACAAAGAUUCCUAAGGAUUUAUAACUAACAACCCCAAAGUAACUGUAGCCAUAAUAUCUAAGACACAAUUUACAAGCUCACACACUGAUAGUGUUAAUUACUUCCUACUUAAAGACUAAUGUAUUAAGCUUUUGAGUGUAACAGGAAACAAGACUAACACAACCUGCAGAGAGUCGAGUUAACGAUGGAACUAGGCUUAUCCAAACUUGAGAUAGCUUACAAGAACAAUCAAAUGCAAAGACGAACACAUUUCUCAAGCAUGAUUGAUCCAAAAAAGGCUUAUGCUUGUGGUGUAAAAGAAGACUCUUUCCUCAAAACUGAAUCCAAUAUUAGUCAAAUGUUCAAAUCUAAACACCAAACAAUCUCAUUCAAUUCGCAACCAAACCUAAACCGAAAAAUAGAACCGCGAAUAUCUAAUUCAAUCAAAUGGAACCGGAGACUAACCGGGAAGCUGGAAGAUCGAACCGAGGAGGGGCUACGCAUUAGCGGUCUUAGGGAUAAGAGGAACACCGUUCCCUUGUAGCUUACUCUGUUUAGCCUUGGCUUCUUCCUCGCGGAUCUUCUGCAUCGCGAGCAUCCUCUCCAUCACGAGCUCGUACUCGCACUUCUCGUACACGUGGCGCUCGUCCUCGCACUUCCACGGGAGGAAGAACUCAGCCUGGCGACAUUUGUUGAGCGGCAUCAGGAGAUGAGCGCACUGAUCUCUGUAUCCGAGCGGUACUUUGGCUGCCACCAUCUCUUCCUGCGUUGCGAUCAUCUUCUUCGAUGAACCUGGAACCUCCAUUUUCCUCUCGCGAUCCCUAACCUCUCUCCUUCUUUCUCUUUGGCGACUCCGAUUUGCUUGACCCGGACAUACUCAGGUUUUUUUUGUUCCGGGUCAUAGUUUAAAUGGGCUCAAUUGGUAUACUAAGCCCAAGUUUUAUUCAAUGGUCUUUUACAUUUUUUCGACAACAUUUUAAGUUAUAUACAAAAGAUGAACGAACCACUGAUGGUGGAUUCUGAGAACUGGUCUUUACUUAGCCAAAAAAAAAAAUCAUAAACUUUUAGUUUGAUUUAUUUUAGCAUUCAAUUGUUAAUUUUUUUUUAUUUUGAUCUUGUUUUUACUAAAUUGUUUUAGAUAUACAAAAAUCAACUGUUAAAUCGAUUUUAGCAGUUAAUUUUUCACUUAUCUAAAACGAUUUAGUUUUAAAAAAAAGAUUAAAUAAACGAUUUAAAAGGUUAAAAGUGACAAUGUCUCAAGUGAAAACUUCGCAUUUUUUCUUUUUUAAAUUUCAGUAUCUGGUGGUUUUCUCAAACAACAUACUUUUCGUUUUUUUUUCUUAAUAUAUAUUUCAUAUAACAUGCAUAACUUGUAAUCUUGUGUACAUAUACUAAUUUAACACUACAAAAUUUAGAGAGUUAUCGACUUGUUGGUUAAAAGAUUGUAAUUGAUUUAACACUGCAAAAGCAAAUGUGAGAAGACUGUUUGGAACUGAAAGAAACGAGUACACAAACAGUUGUUCUUUUAAACAAACACAAUUUACACAAGAAAAGAAACAAACUUUGUAUGUAAUGGAAGGAGAGAGAGAGAAAGAGAACAACCACAUUAUAACUUGGACGCCUUCUUCUGCUUAUACCUAGCGGCAGAGAAGAAGUAAACCGCCAUGUUCACAAGGCUAAGCCCAGCCAAAAGCCAGAAGUAGUAAUCAAGAUGACCCGAGUUCAGAUUAUCCGAUAUCCAACCUUGUUCACCGUUCCUCGUCGUGAAAUAAGUCACCAGCGUGAGGAUCAACGAACUCAAGUAGUUCCCAAGAGCAUUAGUCAAAAGAGCCAAAGCACUGCACAAGCUCCUCAUUGCAUCUGGAGACUGAUCAUAGAAAAACUCAAGCUGUCCUAUGAAGUAGAACACUUCCGCCGCACCGAGGAUGAAGUACUGUGGGAUCUGCCAUAACACCGAUAUGGGGACAGGAGCUCCAGACUCAACCAACCCGAGCUCGUUGGCUAAAUGGAGCCUGAUGAUCUCGACAAUCGCUGCAGCUGCCAUACAGAGAACAGAGACGAACAGACCAACCCCCAUUCUCUGUAUCUCAGUGAAUCCUUUGUCUACUCCAGUGAACCGUCUAGCUAAAGGGACGAUGAACCUGUCGUAGAGAGGAACCCAGAUGAUGACGCUAGCUGUGUCAAACGUCCCGAGCGCUGCAGGAGGAAGCUGGAAAGAUCCUAUUUUGCAGUCCAUGGCUCGGCCUUGUUGAACAAACAUUGUUGACAUUUGUGCGUAUACAGCUGAGAAAAUGAUACCUGAAGCCCAUAUUGGGAACAUUCGUAUCAGAAUCUUGAGUUCUUCGACUUGAGUAACUGUGCAUAGUCUCCACGAGUUGGAGAAGUCUCCGGUUUUGGAUUCUUCUUCUGAGAUAACAGCAGCUUUGUCAAGAUACCUGCAUCAAUAGAGACCCCAUGUUAAACAAAGCAAAGCUAUAUAUAUACUCGUUAGGAUAAUAGAUGUUUUAGAAAAAAAUUUGAUUCACAAAAAUAGAUUUUUUGUGUUUUCUAUGAAAAUGUUGUAAAUUUUUUAAAAAAUUAAUUAAUUUAUUGGUUAAAACUUAUUGAAAAUUGAUAAUAACAAAAAAAAAAUUAUAUAUUUAUUAUAGUGAUUUAAUGUGUUUUCUUAGUAACCCCAAGACCCUUGUCUUAGCUAUCCCUGGAACAAGGGACCUCUAACACAAUGGCAUGGCUCCUUUCAGUUGAGCUAGUAAAGCAAAGCUAUUCAUUCCCAGGAAGAAGAUGAAACUUACUGGCAAUCAUCGGUAUGUUCGAUUUUUCGACUUCCAGCAAUAGCAGAGUUCUUGUCCUGCGUUUCAUACAGAAGCAUUGCGUCUUCAGGGACUGUGAGAGUCGAUUUACGGAACGAGGCCACCACCACUUGGGAGAUCCGAGUGAUAGGGCUGCCUCCAGGCUUCUGAAACCUGUAAAGAGGCGUGCCAAAGAAGAAACUUGCAAUGGCGAGUCCCAUGAAGACGGUUGGUAUACCAAAACCUAAACCCCAGCCGCGGUUCUCUUGGAUCCAGACAAGAAGACUAGAAGAGACUAGCGCUCCAAUGUUGAUGGAGAAGUAGAACCAGUUGAAGAAGGAAGCUUUCUUAACUCGUUCGCGAGAGUCCGUGUCAUCGAACUGGUCUGCACCGAAGGAUGAGACGCAUGGUUUGAUGCCUCCAGUGCCGAGGGCGAUCAGGUAAAGCCCACCAAAGAACAUUGCGUACUGUGCUGGUGUUGCUGAUGGACAGAAAGUGCCAAUGCAUUCCGCUGGCUUUAGUGCCGGAACUGACGCUGAGAGAGUUAGCGCAGACAUGCCCUAAACAAAAAACAGAGCAAAGAAAACCAAAACUCAAACUUCAAAUCAAUUGUGUGAUAAGACACAACCAUUGAAAAGGUGCUUACGAUGAAGUAAAUGCCGGAGAAACAAGCGAUGGUCCAGUAUCUGCCCCAGUAAGCAUCGGCUAAGACAGCACCAAUGAGCGGGGUGAGAUAACAAGUCCCCUGCCAUGUGGUGACGUUUCUAGCAGCGGAAACGUUUCCUUGGUGGAGUUUAGUGGUGAGGUAAGUGAUAAGAUUCCCAGCAAUACCAUAGUAAGCUAGCCUCUCGCAGCAUUCAUUACCUACACAUUAAAAACAUCAUCCUCAUAAGGUUAAGAUACAUAAGGAAUAGGAUUGAAAUGAAACGAAAUGUACCUAAAAUGAAAGGACAAGCUUUCCAGUUGCCUGUCUUCUCCUUGAGUGGUGGGUUUCCAUGAAGGUCCACUGAACCAUCUUGAGCAUACAGUUUUGGUUCCUGGUCAAACAAAAGUCAAGAUUACAUCUUUUAGCCAAAGACCAUUGCCAGUGAACAAUAAUAGCAUCAAAAUAGUUUUAACUACAACAUAAUCUGAUCUGCACUGGCAAAGUUUAUACAUUUGGAAUCAUAAUCACCCUCAAGGGUUAUAAAUAAAUACAUGGAAGGGAAUCAACAGCAAUUACCCAGAAAAAUCUCUCAACAAACAAACAUGCAUAAGAUCAUCAAACUCAAGCUCAAGUCAAGAUUUUUGGAGAAAUGAAAACCCUAAGAGAGAGAGAAAAAUCAAAAUCCAGAUUAACCUAAAUUCAAGCGAUUAGAAACAACAUCUAAGAGCGAAAUUGAUGAUCAAACCUGCGAGAUUAAACCUUCUUCGAUGAGAGGUGAUUCUUCUUCAAUGGAGCCCAUCCUUCUCGCUUCGAUUUAAGAUUCCAUCUUUACUCUUUAUUUAUUUGGAAGACGUGACGUGACGUGAUUGUUUUCUAUUUUAAUUUUCCCCGCGACUUUUUUUAAUUAGUUGUGAAAAUAUUAAAUAAAACGGAUAAUAUAAGAAACAAUUAGAAGCGAACUAAUAUAAUAAGCAAAGUACAACGACAAUCUGAUCUUUUGCGAUAACGAUUUCUCUGCUUCUUGACGACGUAAAGAUAAGACUUGUGGGUCGACUUGUCCAUUUUUUUCAACUUGUAUUACUCUAACCAAGAAACGAUAUAUGUUUAUUUGUUGCUCUGUUUUCAAGUUUUUUUUUAUUUUUUCCAACUUGUAUUUACCCUAACCAAGAAACGAUAUAUGUAUGUAUUUUAUUUGUUUCUCUGUUUUCAAGUUUUUUUUCGUUGCUAUGUCUCUCUCUCAGUCUCUCUUGAAUUAGGACCUGACUGGUUCAAACGCAGCGGUUGCGGUUGCGGUUGCGGGAGUUUGUGGAUGCGGACGGUUACGGUUUUUAGCGAUUUUAAGAGAUUUGUACGACUGGUACUGCGGUUAAAAAUUGGUGCGUUUGCGGGUGACUUAUGACUGGUUAACUACCAAAUGCGGUAACAAUCAAAUAAUAAAUUAACAAUAUUUACAUNNNNNNNNNNNNNNNNNNNNNNNNNNNNNNNNNNNNNNNNNNNNNNNNNNNNNNNNNNNNNNNNNNNNNNNNNNNNNNNNNNNNNNNNNNNNNNNNNNNNNNNNNNNNNNNNNNNNNNNNNNNNNNNNNNNNNNNNNNNNNNNNNNNNNNNNNNNNNNNNNNNNNNNNNNNNNNNNNNNNNNNNNNNNNNNNNNNNNNNNNNNNNNNNNNNNNNNNNNNNNNNNNNNNNNNNNNNNNNNNNNNNNNNNNNNNNNNNNNNNNNNNNNNNNNNNNNNNNNNNNNNNNNNNNNNNNNNNNNNNNNNNNNNNNNNNNNNNNNNNNNNNNNNNNNNNNNNNNNNNNNNNNNNNNNNNNNNNNNNNNNNNNNNNNNNNNNNNNNNNNNNNNNNNNNNNNNNNNNNNNNNNNNNNNNNNNNNNNNNNNNNNNNNNNNNNNNNNNNNNNNNNNNNNNNNNNNNNNNNNNNNNNNNNNNNNNNNNNNNNNNNNNNNNNNNNNNNNNNNNNNNNNNNNNNNNNNNNNNNNNNNNNNNNNNNNNNNNNNNNNNNNNNNNNNNNNNNNNNNNNNNNNNNNNNNNNNNNNNNNNNNNNNNNNNNNNNNNNNNNNNNNNNNNNNNNNNNNNNNNNNNNNNNNNNNNNNNNNNNNNNNNNNNNNNNNNNNNNNNNNNNNNNNNNNNNNNNNNNNNNNNNNNNNNNNNNNNNNNNNNNNNNNNNNNNNNNNNNNNNNNNNNNNNNNNNNNNNNNNNNNNNNNNNNNNNNNNNNNNNNNNNNNNNNNNNNNNNNNNNNNNNNNNNNNNNNNNNNNNNNNNNNNNNNNNNNNNNNNNNNNNNNNNNNNNNNNNNNNNNNNNNNNNNNNNNNNNNNNNNNNNNNNNNNNNNNNNNNNNNNNNNNNNNNNNNNNNNNNNNNNNNNNNNNNNNNNNNNNNNNNNNNNNNNNNNNNNNNNNNNNNNNNNNNNNNNNNNNNNNNNNNNNNNNNNNNNNNNNNNNNNNNNNNNNNNNNNNNNNNNNNNNNNNNNNNNNNNNNNNNNNNNNNNNNNNNNNNNNNNNNNNNNNNNNNNNNNNNNNNNNNNNNNNNNNNNNNNNNNNNNNNNNNNNNNNNNNNNNNNNNNNNNNNNNNNNNNNNNNNNNNNNNNNNNNNNNNNNNNNNNNNNNNNNNNNNNNNNNNNNNNNNNNNNNNNNNNNNNNNNNNNNNNNNNNNNNNNNNNNNNNNNNNNNNNNNNNNNNNNNNNNNNNNNNNNNNNNNNNNNNNNNNNNNNNNNNNNNNNNNNNNNNNNNNNNNNNNNNNNNNNNNNNNNNNNNNNNNNNNNNNNNNNNNNNNNNNNNNNNNNNNNNNNNNNNNNNNNNNNNNNNNNNNNNNNNNNNNNNNNNNNNNNNNNNNNNNNNNNNNNNNNNNNNNNNNNNNNNNNNNNCGGAUCCCACUGUGCUGGAAAGUUGUCUUUUUAAUUUGUUUCUUCUAUUGUUGAGAGUACAUAAAUUAUAUUAAAGUUGUUGAAAAUACCUUUUGUUUCUGGAUAUUUUUUUUCCAGUUUAGUUGUGUAAGUUGUGUGUAUUAUGUAAUUAUUAUUAUUAUCCUUAUUAUGUUUGUUAUAUGUUUUUAUUUUAUUUUUAAACUUGUUGCUCUUACCGGACCUUUAAAAAAAUACAUGAAGACUUGUAGAAAUAACUAUAAAAUGAGUGACAAUUCUGAGUAUUUGAGCCUUAAUGGGUUGUAAACGAAUUUAGGUAUUUCUCAUAAGAAGACAAUAUCAUUGGCCUGUUGACAUUGGGCAUGUAAGCUAUUUUUAUAAGACAAGAGGAGUGACCAGGUGGAGAUGUUGUUGCCGCCUUUGUGUAUGUCGGGAUUGUCUCUUGUAUCUCCUGGUGUGGUUAUGUUUGUUUAUCUUUUAUUUGAUGGGUAAUAUGUAAACAAAAAUCAUAUAUAUAAGGUUCAUCAAAGACGAGAAUCAUAUAUAUAAGGUUUACAGAAUGGCUACAAAUCAGGAACAUUUAUGAUCAAGCGAUUUAAGAUGGGGAGAUGAAGAGUUCACCGGUGAAAAAAUAGAUUACGAACAGACACACGGUGCAACUCUGUAACUCAGACUUGUCUGAGACAAUGAUGAAAAGAACUCUAACUCAUGUUAAACGAAGAUAUUUUACAAUAUGGAAAAACUAUAAUUGUUGCUUUUCAUAUAACGUGAUGAAUCUCAUUUAAAAAUGAAACUCAUAAUACACUUGUAGACCCAGCCCACAGAGAAAACAGAAGAAGCAAGGGUUUCCGACCUUCAUAAAUGUAUAUUAGUUUCGGCCAUCAAUGUACAAAGUAUCCUUUAGUUUAGUGGUAUAAAUGUUGGUUUUUAUAUCACAAUAAUCCGGGUUCGAGCCAUGAGCUUGACACUUUUUUCACACUUUUUAAAAGUGGAGUCCACAAAACGCUGACAUGACGGACGCGCUGAGGAGAGAGCAAAAACUCAAUCAUUAUAAUAUAGAUUUCAAACGUAAUAGCACAUAUUACUAAGUAACGAAAUAUUGUUUGUUGUAACGUAAUAAAUUUACAGGGGAGGUCUCAUUUGUUCCUAAGAAUCGCCACCGACUUUGGCGGCGAUAACUGAAGCAUAGUGAGCAAUGUUAGUCUCAGGGGAAUGUUUAAGCCUCGCUAUGACCCAGAACAACUCAGAUGACUUCACGAACUGUCUGCAGAUCUGGUGGUUCGAACACAUUUUUGCCAACGAAAAGAGUGCAACCUUGAGCGGUGACUCACUUGCUGUCUCUUUCUUGCUCGGAUUCAAGGCCACAACCGAGCAAUCCGAGACCAACUUUAGUAACGUCUGCAUCACAAAAUACGCAAAAUGAGAAAUCAGAUUCAUGCCUGACUAGGCUAUAUGAACACAAAAUCCCGACAAGACUUAAACAACAGGCUUCUGUUUUUGACCUGAGGAAUUUAAAAGUAACAAUUAAUUAACUAUAUUUGAUCCGCGCAACUGCGCGGAUUUUUGUUUUCAUUUAUUUUUAUAUAAACAUUUUGUUUCAAUUCUAAAUUGGUAUAUAUUGUAAUAUAUAUGUGUUUAUCAAUUUUUAAAACAAAAUAAGUUUACGGUAUAUUUUUUUCAUUGAAUAGAUUGUUUCAAAUUUUCACAUGUAUUUGUAUCUUCUUCUAUAUAUAUAUUUUUGGAUUAUUAUUUCAUUAUUAAAAUCGUAACUAUAUAUAUAAUGAUUAGUAAAAUAUUGUUUUAUUGUCAUAUUCAAAGAUAUUGUAACAUUUCAAAAAUUUAGAAUGUUUUUUAAAAAUUAAAAUUUUCUCUUCAUAGAUUUAUAUUAUCGAAUAAAUAAUUAAACAUUGAGUUUUUGUUUAAUGAUUAAAAUAAACUAUAUAGUUAAAAUUUGUUUUCAUUGGUUUAAGAUAGUAAAGAUUAAUCAUUGUUAGAUAAUAUGAUUUUUGUUAUUUAAAAAAAAAUCUUUAUAAUUUUAAGAGUUAACAUCGACAAAUAUUUAAAUAAUUAACAUAUGGAUGUAUAGUAUUACGACAUUAAAUUAUAUCUAUUUAAUUUAUAUUAUCUAUAAAUCCAAUGGAUCAUCUAUUGUUUAAAUUCAAUUAUUGAUAACCCAAUAAAAAUUUCUGGUAGGUCCAAAAUUUAAAUGAUAAUAUUAGAGAUUAAAUGUAACAUGACUUUCUAGAAAUAAGUCCAUUAGGUUCAUUUUUUAAAAAAUCACACAUGAAUCAAGGUUGUGACUUCUGUUUUAAUAUAUAAGAUUCUACGCAUAAUUAAUUAUAUAUAUAUCAUUAGUAUCUACAUUUGAACUAACACAAUAUAAUCAUUAUUCUUAAAUUAUUUCUAAAAUCUGAAUUUCAACUAAUAUUCAAAGUAGUUUCUAUAUUUUACUCUAGCGAUUUCAACAAUUAAUAAGAUCGAUUAGCAUAUAUAUGAAACCGUUUUGAUUUAUUUAGAAACUGAAUAUUACAUUAUACUUAUUUUCCAAACUCAGUAUAUCUACACUUUUAACCUAGAUUUAUGUUUUAUUUUGAAUAUACUAACCCAAAAUUAUGAGACCCUUCUAUAAAUACUUUUCCCAUUACUCUAUAUUCAUCCGCAAUUCACAAAAAAAAACAUGUCUAACUAGAAAAAUAAGUCUCUUUUUAAAGAUGUCAACCUUUUGAAAAUCGGUUGGCUAAUUCACGUGAAAUUGUUUCAUUCGCCAAAUCUAAACGAAGUGAUUUAAUUUGUAUUUAUAAUACAUUUAAAAAAGCGAACGGAACUAUACAUUUACCAAAUCUAAAAAUAGUGUAUAAUAAGAAGCAAAACCACCCUCAAUUCAAAUAAUAAUCCAAUGAUAAUUUAACAAUAUUCAUGUACAAAAAAAAAUAUAUAUAUAUAAUUUAAAACAAACACCCAUGCGUCCGCACAGGUCCAAAUAUAGUUAGAAUUAAUGGUAAAAACUGGUUAAGUCUAAUUUUGGUUUUGUUUUGUUUAUUGACAUAAAACCGAACUUGUUGAAGAAUGAAUCUAAUCAUGUACGUAAAAUGAUGGUCAUAAUCGGUUAAAUCAUUUAUUUAUUUAUUAAUUGUAUAAACCAAACAGGUUUAAGAGUCACUCUUAUGAAGAAUAGGUUAAAUUCGAUUUAGAAUUAUUUAUAUAAGUAUAUAUGUACCAAGGUUGCCGUAUAGGAGAAUGUUACUAUACUCGUGCAUCUAUAAUGUGAUUCAUUAAUGAUGAAAAAAUAUUUUGGUAAAACAAACCAAUAUUAUAGGCAAAGUAGUUAUUAUAAUCGAUAACAUAUGAAGUGAUUUAGUUAUGAUGUCAAAAUGUUAUUUAGAAAUAAAUGAAACAUGACAUUCUAGGAAAAGUCCAUUUUUUAAAUAUCACAUGAAAAGAAAUUGUGAGUUUUAUUUUAAUAGAAUAAAUUUGAGCUUCGGUGUGGAUAAAAAUAUCAGGGACGGCAAUGAUAAUAGCAUCUGCAUUGGAAAUCUCCUUUGCCUAUAUCUUGGCACCUACUAACCCCUUUUGGCCUCUUUUUGGUACAUUCGGCUGUACAUUGCUUAGGAUCACAUUUUCCAGUAUUGUUUGGGUAUGCUUCAACACAAGUUUUUUGUGUGGUUGGUCCUCCUUUCUGAGCAGACACCACUACUCCUGUUAUUAUAGUAAUUGAAAUAUAACAUUAGUUUUGUAUUUAAAAAAGAAAAUUAAUAUUUUUGUAAAAUAUAUGUUUUGAGAGUUUUCUUUGCAUAUUUAUCAAAAUGAUAUUUUAAACAUAUUAUCUCUUAAUCACUGAUCAUUCUUGGAGAAUUACUAAAUCAAUAUAAUGGAACUGGACAUACAAUUUAUAUAAACAUAUAAAAUAAUACAGCAUCAAAAUAAAUUUGUAGUAUCAUGUUUAUAUAAUAUAUACUAAAAAGUUGUGAAGUAAAUACAUACCUAGUAGAAAGAUUGUCAGCAUAAUGAAGCCAAUAAGCGAAGUCCGAAAAGAAAUUUUCAUCUUAGAUAAUGAACUAAUUGUGUUUAAAAAAAUUAGAACGAUAGAGAAAUAUAUUUAUAGACGAAUCACAUAUUGAAACAUAUCUAAUUUAAGCUAUGUUUCUUUUAAAAAUCCGAUAUAAAAGGAUAUAGUUUGACCAAUUUUUUAAACAAUUUUGUAAUUUAUUAUUUAUUUAAUAGAUAAAUAGUUUGACUCAUUUAUUUGUAAGUUUAUAACACAAAUACAAUGAAUAUUCAAAUAGUUAACGACCAUUUGUUCAAAUAAUAAUUCCCACAUAAUAAUUAUCGAAAAUAAAUAACAAACCAUCAGCAAACAUUAGUGGAUCAUAUCUUCCAAAAAAAAUAUGGUGCCUACAAAUAUUAACACAGUCGUUACAAAUAUUUGAGGGAUGAUAAUGACAAUUAAUAAAUUCAACACAAUAAGUGCAAUUCACACAAAAGUUUUUGAGAGGAAACGACUAAGCAUGCUGCUACUAUUUAAACAGAUUAAGCAAGGACAAAUCUCAUUGAUGUAAAAACAAAGCUUUGUUUAGUUUAAAGAUCCUACCAAAACAGAUGUGAGUCUCCUUGAAGCUCUUCACUAAGAUAAUUACCAAAGUUGGUGCAACCUCUUUUAUUGAAUUUCAUAGCUACAUGAAGGAGAUGUACCAACGACUCAUCCUAUUACCACUUGUGAAGAACCACUACAUGGAACCAUCUUGAAGAACACUAUGUCAAAGCUAUCAUUCGUAACUUCUAUGAAAAUGAUGUCAUUAAUGGUCUCUUUCAAUUAAAUGUAGAAGCUGGUGGUGUACAUGAAGAAUCAACAUAUCUUUAUGAAGUUCUCCUACUAUGUACUAGAAUGAUGGAAGAUGGCGAGUAAAUACUCCGCUAAUCUCAAUUGGCUCGAAUACACAACCUUGAUUAACGGCUGAUGUAACAACAUAAAGACAUCUUUCCAUGGAUCAAGAGUGUCAAGAAAUAGAAGAUAUCUCAAAUCUUUGAGGAAGAUGAUACCAAGCAACCUUUAUCAUCUUAAUUAUACGACAAAUACAUGUGCAAAGUGCUACUACUAUAAGCAAAUAGUGAAGUUCGUUUUUAUGAUAUGGCAACAUCACAUCUCAAAGAGUUGUUGUGCUGUUAUACGAUGAAGACAAACUUUGUCAUUUGCUAAUAAUAGAAGCAUUUUCAAGAGUUGUUGUGUUGGAAGCUUUAAUUUCAAGUUUAUAAGUCUAUGGUCCACACUUCACACCUUUUAGACGAGGUUGUUGCAGCAUUUUCCUAUAUCUAUGUGUAAAUUGUACAAUGAUGUAUAUUUUCUUUUGAAAAAAAAUAAUGAAUUCCAAAACACAUAUGGCAAAAUCUUACAGAAACCAUGCCUUCUUAAAUAACCAUUUUCAAAUGAAAAACAAAGCCACUUUCAAUUAUUACACAUUUAAAAUGACUACUUAUAAUUUAGCGGAAAAAAAAAGACUACUUAUAAUUAAAUGAGGUUGGCAGCUGAGUUGGACGAAACAACUCACCCUGUGUAAAAAGGCGUUCCACAAUAAUUCAUUUUUUCCAUAUAAAUGCGACUACAAAUCAGUUCUUUUAAACAAGAGGGAGAAGAAAAUCACUUGGGCGAACUCAGCGACAACACAAAACUCCCGUGCGUUUCAAAGGAAUCGAGCAUUUCAAUAAUAAUCCCAUGGAGCAUAACUCAACUCUAAAAUAGAGUACCAUGGAGCAUAACUCAACUCUAUUAUAGAGUUACUCUCUUUUAUUUUUCACUCUAAAAUAGAGUACCAUGGAGCAUAACUCAACUCUAUUAUAGAGUUACUCUAUUUUAGAGUGAAAAAAUAAAGUGAAUCAUUGGAGAUGGUCUAAUGUUGUUGCUGUUUAUUUGUCUCUUUACCAAACGGGCAGAGAAUAAAAUUCUAUGUAUUACCAAAAAAAGAAAAAAAUAAAAAUUGGUUCCCAACAUUAACUUUUUUUUGUCAACUUUCAAAAAUAAAUUUUUAUGCUUAAAUAAUAAACAAAACAGUUACAUUAUGUUGAAUCUAUAGUUUUUUAGAAUCUAAUAAUUAAAACACAAAAAUACAUAUUUAAAAUUUAUACCACGUUGGGAAGAAGACUUUUUCAAGACUUCUUCCAUCAUGAAAUGCAUUAAAAGAGUUCCCAAGAAGUCUUCGAGAAGUCUUCCGAGAGUAUUCUAGAAGUAGGCAUGGGCAUUCGGGAUCCCAAUCGGGUUUCGGUUUAGUCCAAUCGGGUUUGGUUUUUCGGGUUUAUCAAAAUCAGUCUCAUUCGGGUUAUAUGAAAAUUCGGUUCGGGACCGGUUCGGGUUCUAUCGGGUUCGGGUCGGGGUUAGUAAAUCUUCAAAGAACCGGUACAAUCCGAUGUACUUUUGGGUUCGGAUACCAAUCGGUUCUUAGGUUUAAAUGUACCUGAUUUAUAUCUACUUCGUAACCAAAAAAUAAGUAAAAUCGGUUCUUCGGUUUUAAAAUACUUGAUUUGUACCUAUUUUGUAACCAAAACAUAAAUAAAAUCGGUUCAAAAAAAAGAAAGGAACAUCAAAUGUGAUCAUUCAAAAUAAAAUAAAAGAUAAACAUAGUUAUUGAUCGAAAGAAAACCAAAUAAAUGAAAGCAUAAAACGAAAACCAAGUUCUCAUGAAAUAAAAAUCAUUAUUCAAUGAAAACAAAACCAAAAUCUAAAAACUUCAACCUUCAACCGCCACCUUCAACAAUCAAUCUUCAUAUAAUAGAUAAUUAUUUUAGAUGUUCAAUAUAUUUUGAAUACAUAUUCGAAAUUAAGAUCAUGUUUGGUACAAGUUAUUUUUGGGAAUUUUGAAUGUUUCGGGUUCUAUCAGAUAUCCAUUUAGGUUCGGGUUCGGUUCAGAUAAUACCCAUAACCCGAAAUAGCAUAAUACAAGAUCCAUUCGAUAUUUAUACCGGGUUCGGAUCGGUUCAGAUUCAUUUUUAUCGGAUCGGAUUUUCGGGUUCGGUUUAUUUGCCCAACCCUAUCUAGAAGUCUUCCAAAGUCUAAUUCAGAUCUGAAAAAAUAUACAUAUUCAAAUACAUUCAAAAUGCUUCAAAACAGAAAAAACUUCAAAAUAAUUUUUUCAUGCAUAAAUAAUAAACAAAAAUUCACAUUAAAUUGAAUCUAUUACUUUUUAGGAUCUAUUAUAUAAAACACACAAAAAUAUAUAUCAAAAAUGUGUGCCACUUUGGGCAGAAGACUUCAUAAAACUUCCUAAAGACUUCUUGGGAAGUCUUCUAACAUAAAAUGCAUUAGAAAAUUUCCCAAGAAGUCUUCCAAAGUCUGACUCGGAUUUGAAAAAACCUGCAAAUUCAAAAAAAAAAAUCAAAUGAUUUUAAAACAGAGAAAAAAAAACAAAAACAAUCAAAUUAGAUUUGAAUCUAUAGCUUUUUUUAUAAUCUUACAUAUAAAAUACAAAAAAUACAUAUCCAAAAUUUAUAGAUUUACCUUUGAAAGAGUGAAAAAUGAAACCAUGUAAUGAAAACUCUGCAAAAAAAAAGAUGAAUUAUUGAGAAAGACAUAAGAAAAAAAUGAGAACUAGAUUUAAAGUUUGGUGUUUUCUAGUUCAAACAUAUAAUAUAGAGUUUGGGGAGUUUUAGAGUGAGAAACAUUAUAUUUUUGCUGCAGCUAUUUGAUAUGAAGAGAGAGAAUGUGUAAAUUUUCGUUAUAUAAGGACACAAAAAAUCUAAUUAUGUUUAAUAUUUUUGGUUCAGAAGACUUCCCAGAAAAUCUUCUAAACCCAAAAUUUGAUAUUCGUCCGAGAAAGUUUUUCAAUAAGUCUUCUAAUGCAUUACAUGUUAGAAGACUUCUGUAAAAGUCUUUUAAACCAUAAAACCAAAUAAAUAACUAAAUACCAACAAACACUUUUUUAAACAUAUGAUCAACUUAUAAAAUGUUGAAUAUACACUAUACUAAAAUCUAACCCUAAAAGUACAAACAAUACUAUAACAUAUGUUAUCAAUACCUAAACCAAAGACUAUCAUGACUCAAUCUACAUUCAGCCACCUAUGUUGAAAACAAUUCAAUUUUAGUAAAUCUAAAUUUACAUCAUUUAAAAAUAUUUAUUAUAUGAUUUAGAUUUUUCCCACAUGAAAUUAUAUUUAAUAAAUUUAUAAAUUAUUUUUAAGAUCAAAUAUAUGAGAAUAUUUUCCAAGGAAGACUUUCAGAAGACUUCACAUUAGGUGGUAAACCUAAAUUUCUAAAUUAAUGAUUAGACGGGAAACCAACAUUCUACUAGAAUGGUAUACUUUGUUGUGAAGUCUUCCAGGAAAUCUUCUAGUGCAUUAUAUGUUAGAAGACUCUUCCAACCUUAUAAUCAAAUAACUAACUAAAUAACAAAAAAACACAUCAUUAAAUUUAAAUCAACUUAUAAAAAAUUUAAUGUACACAAAACUAAACACAUAUAAGUCAAAUUUAUUUAUUUAAAAAAAGAAAUUAACAUUCCAAAAUCUAACCCUAAAAAUACAAACAAUAGUAUAACAUAUAUGUUACCAAAUCCUAAACCAAAGACUAUCACGACUCAAUCAGUUGCCAAAACAAAAAUAGACUAUCAUGACUCAAUCCGCAUUCACUCAUCUAUGUUAAAAAUAAUUCACUUUUAAUAAAUAUAAAUUUAUAUCAUUUAGAAAUGUUUAUAAUUACAUGAUUUCAAUUUUCCCAAUCAAAAUAUUUGUAUAAAUACUUUACGAGAAGACUUACAAAGAAGUCUUCUCAAAUAAGUCUUCCUUCGAAGUCUUUUCACGCUAAGGGUUAUAGGGUUAAAACUCUACACAAACUUUUUGUGUUGGUCAUAAGGUGAUUGUUGUAAUUUCACUAGUAUUUUGAGUUAUUUUUCAUGUGAUUGAAUUUGAGGUACACUUUUACAUUUAAAAUCAAGUUUGAAUCAUUUUUUGGCAAAUUCCCUAGUUUCAAAAUUAGUGGCAUUUUGUGUAAAUCUCACAUGACCUAAAGGUUAGUUCUAGUAUUUACUUUUCUUCUAAUAGAAAAAUGAAUAAUUUUCCAAAAUUAUUUUAAUAUAUAAAGCUCAGUUAAAUCUUCCUCCAACAAAUAAAUAAUAAAUUAAAAUAUAGAAAAUAAAAUAUCAGAAAACAAGCCACAUAAAUAAUAUAUAUAUAUAUAUAUAUAUUAUAAAAUACUACUAAAUAAAUUUUCUAUUAAAAUAGUACAUAAUCAUAAAAAUACAUAUACUCCAAAAGUUAAAACGGAUUUCAAUUUAGAUUUUAGAGUUAUGGUUUAGAGAUUUGUAUUUAGGGGUUAAGGUUUAUAGUUUAAAGUUUAGAAUUUAGGAUUUAGGUUUUAAAAUUAUGAUAACACAUAUUUAUUUUGUUUAAAUUUAUUAUUUGUGAAAUGUAGUCGAUUUUUUUCAUUUUUGUGAUUUAUUCGUUUGUUAAAUAAUUUUGUGAUAUUAAAGAAAAUUUGCUGGAACAAAAAUCUCAUCUUAUAUAUUAAAACAGAAGUCACAAGUUUGAUUCAUGUGUGAUUUUUAAAAAAAUGGACCUAAUGGACCAAUUCUUAGAAAGUCAUGUUACAUUUAAUCUAUAAUCUUAUCAUUUAAAAUUUGGGCCUACCAGAAAUUUUUAUUGGGCUAUCAAUAAUUGGAUUUAAACAAUAGAUGAUCUAUUGGAUUUAUAGAUAGUAUAAAUUAAAUAGAUAUAAUUUAAUGUUGUAAUACUAUACUUCCAUAUGUUAAUAAUUUAAAUAUUUGUCGAUAUUAACUUUUAAAAUUAUAAAGAUUCUUUUUUAAAUAACAAAAAUCAUAUUAUUUAACAAUGAUUAAUCUUUACUACCUUAAACCAAUGAAAACAAAUUUUAAACUAUAUAGUUUAUUUUAAAAAUUAAACAAAAACUAAAUGUUUAAUUAUUUACUCGAUAAUAUAAUUCUAUGAAGCAAAAAGUUUAAUUUUUUAAAAUCUUUCUAAAUUUGUGAAAUGUUACUAUAUUUUUGAAUAUGACAAUAAAAAAAUAUUUUACUAAUCUUUACAUAUAUAGUUACGAUUUUAAUAAUGAAAUAAUAAUCCGAAAAUAUAUAUAUAGAAGAAAAUACAAAUACUUGUGAAAGUUUGAAACAAUCUACUCAGUGAAAUUUUUUUACCGUAAACUUAUUAUUUUUAAAAAUUGAUAGAUACAUAUAUAUUAUAAUAUAUAACAAUUUAGAAUUGAAAACAAAAUGUUUAUAUAAAAAUAAAUGAAAACAAAAAUCCGCGCGGUUACGCGGAUCGAGAUCUAGUUAUAUUUUUAAUUAAUGAAAACUUCGGUACAUAUUCUUCGCCCGUAAUUUAUUGUACACACAUUACGAUCUUAUUAAUGAUCAAUCAAGAUUUGAAAACAAAUCUCCUAUAUAUUAAUUGAGAAACAUUUGAAAAAUUAGAACCUUAAUUUUGUAUUAAUUAAAAAAAACCCUAAAUCUUAGGUGGCACUGUAAAUGUCUUCUAAAUUCCAUUUCAAAGAAUUCUAGAGCAUCUAAUGUAAAGUAUAGUUUAAUCUAAUGGUGUCACAUUAUUCCAUAAUUAUAUAACACUAGAGAAUUUAUAUUAACCUAAAAUAUAGGAAGUGUGUAUUCUUUUCUUAAAUAAAAGCGACGAAAUUACCUAAUAUGAUUUACAUAUAUAUAGCAAUUAAUGAUUAUGAAUAAUAAAGAUUUGAUAACAUUUUUUGCAUCCUUAUUCAUUUUUGUUUAAAUUUAUAUUAUUAAAAAAAAUUAAACAAUCACAUUAACCAUAUAAUAAAAAAAUUAGAUUUUUUUCUUAUAUGUUAUAUUUUGAAUUUUUUAAAAUGACUUUAAAAUUACAAAAAUAAGGAAACCUUAUAUGUUAUAUUUUUUUUUAAAAUGAUUUUAAAAUACAAAAAUGAGGAUAUCUUAUAUGGUAUACUUUUCUUAUAUGUUAGAAUUUUCUUAUAUGUUAUAUUUUGAUUUUUUUAAAACGACUUUAAAUUACAAAAAUGUAAGUUUUCCUUAAGUAUACGACUAAAAACAUUAAAAUGACAUGUAUCAAUUCGAUGGUUGAUUUGAAAGCUUUCAAAACCAUAUGGAAGAUAAAAGUCAAAAUAAUUUAACUGUGGAAACAAUACCGUUCAUUUUUUUCAAGAAUGUGUUCGAUAGAAAAAAUAAGGUUUUUAUGUCAUAAUUUGUUUAAUGUCCACUAGAGAACAUUAUAUUAACUUAAAAUGUAAGAAGUGUGUAUUCUUUCCUUAAAUAAAAGCUACAGAAUUACCUAAUAUGAUUUACAUAUAUAUGACAAUUAAUGAUUAUGAAUAAUAAAGAUUUGAUAACAAUUUUUUGCAUCCUUCUUCAUUUUUGUUUAAUUUUAUAUUAUUAAAAAAAUAAAAAAUCACAUUAACCAUAUAAUAAAAAAAUUAGAUUUUUUCUUAUAUGUUAUAUUUUGAAUUUUUUAAAAUGACUUUAAAUUACAAAAAUGAGGAAACAUUAUAUGUUAUAUAUUUUUUUAAAACGACUUUAAAAUACAAAAAUGAGGACACCGUAUAUGUUAUAUUUUUCUUAUAUGUUAGAUUUUUUCGUAUAUGUUAUAUUUUGAAUUUUUUAAAACGACUUUAAAUUACAAAAAUAUAAGUUUUCCUUAAGUAUACGACUAAAAACAUUAAAAUGACAUGUAUCAAUUCGAUGGUUGAUUUGAAAGCUUUCAAAACCAUAUGGAAGAUAAAAGUCAAAAUAAUUCAACUGUGGAAACAAUACUGUUCACUGUUUUCAAGAAUGUGUUUGAUAGAAAAAUAAGGGUUUUAUGUCAUAAUUUGUUUAAUGUCUAACCCGAUCAACCUAUGAUCUAUUAAUUAUAGUUUUGUUCCAUUAUUUUUAAUAAAAAUUGAUCCGAUCCAUCGGAACGAAAUUAUAUAAUAACAAUAAAAAAUAUUUUAUAUAUAUAAAUAAAAUGAUCAAAUAUUUAAAAGAAACUAUCGAAAUAUAUACAAAUAAAGUCUUAUCCUAGUCUCAUAUAUAUAACUCAAGGAAACUUAAAGUGAAUAGGCGUCAGAAAUGUAAACAAUGUAUAAAUUAAGGAUUCAAAUACCUAACGCUAGGUACAUUAUUUCCUAUAACAAACAGCCGUUACAAUUAUGUGAGAGAUGAUAAUGACAAUUAAUAAAUUGAAUACAAUAUGUGCAUUUCACACAAACGUUUUUGAGAGGAAACGGCUACGUACAUAACCAGCGUUGCUACUAUUUAAACAGAGUAAGCAAAGACAAUCUCACAAUCACAAGUGUAAAACAAAUGUGAGCCUCCUUGAAGUCCUGCACCAAGAUCUACUUAGAGUCACACCAAAGUUGGUGAAACCUCUUCUAUUGAUUUUCAUAAUUACAUGGAGGAGAAGUUCACUUCGUCAGACAGCAGAAAGGUGUACCAACAAGGCAACAACUCAGCAUACCACUACAUGAAAGUUGUCGAGGGAUGCCUAGAAAACAACAACCUUGAAGCACACACUAUCUCAAAGGUAUGAUUCAUUGCUUCUACAAAAAUGAUGUCCUUAUUGGUCUCUUUCAUUUGAAUGUAGCAGCUGAUGGUGGACACAAAGAAUCAAUGUAUCUUUAUGGAGUUAUCCUACUGGAAUGGAAGAUGCAAAAAACUACUUGGCUAAUCUCAAUUGGGUGGAAUACACAACUUUGAUUAAUGCCUGACUUUUAUCAUCUUAAUGAUAUGACAAAUACAUGUGCAAAAGUGCCACACUACAAGCAAAUGGUGAAGUUGGGUUUUAUGAUUUAACAACAUCACAUCUCAUAGUCUCAUAGAGUUAUGAGAUGUUGUGUUGUUAUAAUAUGAAGACAAACUCUGUCAUUUGUUUAUAGUGGUAGCAUUUUGAAGAAUUGUUCUGUUGGAGUCUUUACUAUUUGAAUUUCAAGUUUGAUAAGUCUAUGGUUUGCUUAAAAAGAGAAAAAUAAAUCUAUGGUUCACACUUCGUAUCUUUUAGGGGGAUGUAUUCAAUUUAACAUUUGAUGUGAUUUGAUUUUUAAUGGGGUUUUAGAUGAUUUCAAUAAGUUGCAGAGAUUUAAGUGACUUUUGUUAAACUACUCUAGAAUAUCACCUAAAACUAUGGGAUUUGAGUUUUAAUUUUUUUAACUAAGAAAUCAUACCCAAACACCUUAAAAUCACCUGAAAACUUUAAAACUCCACAACUUAAAAUAUUUUCAAUAACAGUGGAUUUCAGAGUACUUUAAAAAAUGUCAAAUUCAAUAACAGUGGAUUUUAAAUGAGUUUUUAAAAUUCAUGUUUCAAUAACAGUGGAUUUGUCAUUUUAAUACAAAUCACCUGAAACUCUCAGUUGAAUACAUCCCCCUUAGAAGAGGUUGUUUUGGUAUUUUCUUAAGUCUAUGGUUUGCUUAAAAAGAGAAAAAUAGAAAUGAAGAAGAGGUUGUUUUGGUAUUUUCUUAAGUCUAUGGUUUGCUUAAAAAGAGAAAAAUAGAUAUGAAGAAGAGGUUGUUUUGGUAUUUUCUUAAGUCUAUGGUUUGCUUAAAAAGAGAAAAAUAGAAAUGAAGAAGAGGUUGUUUUGGUAUUUUCUUAAGUCUAUGGUUUGCUUAAAAAGAGAAAAAUAAAUCUAUGGUUCACACUUCAUAUCUUUUAGAAGAGGUUGUUUUGGUAUUUUCCUUUUUUCUCUUGUGCGUGUGUGGACACUUCUACACUGAUGUGUAAUGUUGUUUUUUAGAAAUAAUGAAUUGGAUAAUUGAAUCUCAGCUGUCAACAUGACACUGCACUGCACAAAUACUUUGCCAACGCCAUUCAUGAAAGAGAGAGAUAGGGGUAUUAAAAUACUUCUCCUAUGGUCUCGGUUACAUAUCAAGAAGUCCAUAGCCAACUAUAUAUAAUUUACCAAAUAAAGUAUGGUCCAAUGUCCCGAUAGUCCUCAACCAUUUUUUAAUCAAGUAGCACAUCUCUAUUGUUGAUCUUAUCAUUUCCCCGAUUUUCUUUGGUGAAUUUUGUCCUCAAACAAGUUAUAAAUUAAAUUUUGCUUUUGAAGUCGUGAACAAUAUUUUAAUUUUUUUAUUACGGAGUGGUUAACAUGAACCCAAUAACUUCGAAAAACAUUAAUAAUAUGUAUUAAUUUUUCUUUCUUAAAAAGAAUUCAAUACGAAUAUGUACCUUAUUCUCUUGACUAGUAGUGGUUCAUGAACUUCCUGUUAAAUAUAGUAAACUAACGUCAACUAACUUCAAUGGAAACACACACACACAAGUAAGGUAUGCUUUGAAAUUUUCUACAAAUAAGUUAUUCUUUAAAUUUUGAGAAAUACCCUAGGAUAACACUAGAAGUAUGAAUGGUGACCAAUGAACGACGAAGAAUAAUACAUUCCCUAACGUUCAUAAAAAUAUCACUAUUCACAAAUGGUCUAACUAGAACCAUUAUAGGAACAUUAUGAAUGAGUAGGAAAAAAAUGCAUAUGAAUAAAAUUAGAGUAAUGAAAAAGAAAUUAUUUCUUAUCAAUUUUAGUGAGAAACAAAUUUAUUAUAUAUUCUUUUAAAAUAAAAAGAAUAAAAAAGAAUGCAAAGGAAAAACUAUUUCUUAUAAAUGAUAAAAAAAAUUAGGAAUAACAAAGAAUUCUUUGCAUUCUUUUUUCCUUCUUAUUCUUCACCAUUCUUUUUUUCUUAAAGAAAUAAAGAACAAAGUUUUUUUUUUGAACACUAAAGAACAAAGUUAUUCCUUGUUAAAUAUGGGUUUGAACAACCCAUUAUUUUUCAUUCUUACAAUUUUAUUCUUCUGGGUUCCUUUCCUAUUUGUUCUUCUUGUGUUUCAGAAUGGUCACCAGUCGGACCCUAAAAACGUUUUUGUCACAAAUAUAUAUUCUAAGGAUUAAAAUAACCAAAUAUUUUAUUAAAGAAGUAAAUAUACACUUAUAUCUCUAGGAUUAACUAAUAUAAACAUUAGAGUUUAGAGUUAAAGGAUGAUGAUUUGAGAUUGAAGUUUAAAAUUUUAUAAUAUAAAAAAUAAAUAUUAAAANNNNNNNNNNNNNNNNNNNNNNNNNNNNNNNNNNNNNNNNNNNNNNAAUAUUAAAAAUUUGUAAUAAAAAUUUGAAAAAUAGUUUCAAAAAGAAUUUUCAAAUUAUAAAAAAAAUUUUGAAAAAUUUUUUAUAAAAAAGUUCGAAUUUGAAAACAUAUAAUCUAAACCUAUAAAAAAAUAAUUUUUUUAGUUUUUUUUAUUUGUAUUUAUAUAUCUAGGGUACUAUCUUUUUUUCUAUUAAAUGAAACAUUUUGAUAUUCUUACCUUAGGAUAUAUUUUGGUAACAAAAACUUGAAAAUGGUCUAUCUAAUAGAAUUGUCCUUAAAAUUUUCUACAAAAUAAGUUAAUACUUGAAUGAUUCCGUAGAGUUAUAGCAGCGGCGACGAAGUCACAGCAACAUGUAUACACAUUACACACAUCGGCUGCAACUGAAUUGUAAAUAUUUGGAAUGGCCUAUUCCAUUAAUUCCAUAAAAAAAUUUACCAUUUGACAUGAAUGGAAUGGAAUACUCAUUCCAUCAAUUCCAAAAAUAAAUAGAAAAAAUACAAAAAGAAUCAUUCUAUAACAAAUUUGAUCAUGAAAGAAUGGAAUGAAUUCUAUUCCAUUUUUUGUUAUAUUCCAUUCCUACCAUUCCAUUUAUUUUAAAUUCCACAAAUUCCAUAUAUGUUUACCAGUUACACCCAUCAACUGAUAAUGUUACAGAAUUACUAGUUUCAAUUUCAAAAAAAUGAAAACCAUGUUGUUAUGAGAAUCAACCAUAAAUUAAUAAAAAAACAUUUCUUGUCCAAAAUAAAAGAAACAAAAACAUUUCCCGUUUUGUUUUAGUAUUUAAUUUAAUAAUAUGGGAAGGAAAAGGAAUCGGAUAAUAUAACAAAUCUAACGGCAGAGAGUAAGAGAGAGAAAGAGGUGUUUGAAUGAGAUUAAACAACGCCGCUCUUCUUCUUCUUCUGCAAUCCUCAUCUCCGCCUAGGGUUUUCUCUUCCACUCUCCGCCGCCCUUUUCUCUCUCACUUCCGCUUCUCUUCUUCCGCCGCAGUCAUGCCUGGUUCCGAACCAUCAUCGGAGAUCCAAUGGCCUGCCAAGACCGUCAGGGACACGUAUUUCGAUUUCUUCAAAGGGAAAGGUCACAAGUUCUGGCCAUCGAGCCCCGUUGUUCCCCACAACGAUCCCACUCUUCUCUUCGCCAACGCCGGUACGUAACUUCCAAUCGCCACGUUUUAUCGAAUCAGAUUAAUCUCGUGUUCUAAUUGUGGAGAUUGCUUUGUGAUCUAUUCACUCUUAGUUGAUUAAGGGUUUGUAGAUUAGAAGAUUCAUAUACUGUCUCAAAUGUCAUGUUCUUGGUUCUCUUAGCUCUGUGUAUAUUUGUUCAUUGUUAUCGAAGCGUUUGGAUCUAUUCAUUCACUCUCAAUUGGUUAAGAGUUUGUAGUUUGGAAGAUUCAUAAACUAUCUCAAAUGUCAUGUUCUUGAUUCUUAGUUAAUUUAAUAUUAUUGGAGAUAAAUUUAAUUUAAUUUCUCUGUUUUUUUUUCAAAAGGAAUGAACCAGUACAAGCCAAUAUUUUUGGGAACGGCUGACCCGAAUACGGAGCUCAGCAAGCUAACUCGGGCGUGUAACACACAGAAGUGUAUUCGUGCUGGUGGGAAGCAUAAUGAUCUUGACGAUGUGGGGAAAGAUACUUACCAUCACACCUUCUUUGAGAUGCUGGGUAACUGGUCAUUUGGAGAUUAUUUCAAGAAGGAAGCUAUUGAGUGGGCUUGGGAGCUCUUGACUAAGGUUAGUUGAACUAUUAGCAUCUUGUUUUGAAAUACGCUAUGGUUCAAACAGUACGUCAUAGUUUCGUUAAGUGGUUCCUUCUAUUGCUAUUGAUUGAUCGAGUUUAUGCAUCAGGUUUAUGGACUACCGACUGAUCGAAUUUAUGCUACCUAUUUUGGCGGUGAUGAGAAAGCUGGUCUUCAACCUGAUAAUGAGGCUCGGGAUAUAUGGCUGAAGUUUCUCCCACCUGGACGUGUGCUCCCUUUUGGUUGCAAAGUAUGUUGCUUUACUACUCUUAUAAAAAACUAAUCGUUUUAUAUGGAAUCUGCUUUGCUUGAUUCUCUCUUUCCUAAGGUUUCUUCAGAAAUGCGAGUAUUUCUUGUAUAUAUCGACACAUUGCUUUGUGAAUGAUAACUACUGUCAAGUUUAAGCUUGAAUGCAUUUUGUGGGAAAUUCGCUAGCAAGUUUUGGUGGUUGACAUGCUCUAAAAACCAGUUUCGUGAUUUCCAGUUGCUACCAUUCUUUCAUUGAACUGUUGGUGAACCUGCAGGACAACUUCUGGGAAAUGGGAGACACAGGUCCGUGUGGACCUUGUACAGAGAUUCAUUAUGAUCGUGUUGGCAACCGUGAUGCUGCAUCCUUAGUUAACAAUGACGAUCCAACAUGUUUGGAAAUAUGGAAUCUUGUGUUUAUUCAGGUACGAACGCUCUUUCCAGAUUUGUAAUUUAGUUCCAUUUUAAUACUUUUCAUCUACGUAUCGUGUUUGUAUACAGGAACUCUACAUUACGUCUCUAGUUGCAUUGUUUUUGCUUCUUUAUCUUUGUUAUUAUAUCCUCAAUUGUUUUCUCUAACGAGACUUAUUACUAUAUUUUCAAAAUAGUUCAACAGAGAGAGUGAUGGCUCACUAAAACCUCUCCCUGCUAAGCAUGUCGAUACUGGAAUGGGUUUCGAGAGGUUAACUUCUGUUCUUCAGAACAAAAUGAGCAACUACGAUACAGAUGUGUUCAUGCCUAUCUUUGAUGACAUUCAAAAGGUAAUUUGUGUAACCUUAAGGUUGUAUGACAUUCUGUUAAUUUCCAGUUAGUAUCUUACGGUUCCUCUUUUGUCCCAUUUAGUACUAUCAUCGUUGUUGUUUAUAUGUCAAAUGGGUCAUGAGUCCUGGUAAUUCUAUGAAUUCUAAUCUUAGGCUAUGUGUUCACUGGGAGGUUACAAUUAUUCUCCUUUUAAGCACACAGUCAUUUGUUUUGAAUGUCUGAUUUAGUGACUUUUGGAGUACAAUAUUCAAGGGAUCAUAGUAUUGGUAUUGGUAUCCCGGAGAUUAUUUCCUUGUUAGCUGUGGUUUUUUUGUCAUGUAUUUUUAUCAGUUAGAAAAGUUAAAAAGAGUUCUGAUUGGUCUUUUUCCCCUAGUUGCUGUGAAUGUUCAGUUAAGGUGUUCAUGCUUUCACAUUUUUAGGCCACAGGAGCGAGGCCAUAUUCUGGAAAAGUUGGUGUGGAAGAUGUCGACCGAGUUGACAUGGCUUAUAGAGUGGUUGCGGAUCAUAUUAGGACGCUAUCAUUUGCUAUCGCGGAUGGCUCUCGUCCUGGUAAGGCCACGAUUUCCUGUCUCACUUUAUACAAACGCCUUAGUAUUUGAUCAUUUAUUUUAGUUCAUACGUCUUAUUCUCCAACGAGAAGUGCUUUUGGUUUAUUUAUUCUUAAUUGACAUGAUGGAUUUGUGCUUUUUCUUCCUCAGUCAGCAUAUUAUGAUAGUCUAUUCUUUCUUGUUGGUUAACAAAUACCAUCCAAUGUACACUCUCUUGCAGGUAAUGAGGGCCGUGAGUAUGUUCUACGGCGUAUUCUUCGCAGAGCAGUUCGCUAUGGAAAGGAGAUCCUAAAAGCUGAAGAAGGUUUUUUCAACGGGUAGGAAACUACACUUGAUUGUCAUUUCAUGGGUUGUCUCAGUAUUUUUUUCGUUGGUGCUGGAACAUGUUCAUUUUAUCUUGCACCUUUGUAAUGCAGCAUAUAUUUCUAUAUGCAUAUUAGCUCCGUCUGUGUUUGACACUAAUUAGUUUGCGCUUUUAACAUGCAGACUCGUCAGUUCUGUUAUUCGAGUGAUGGGUGAUACCUUUACAGAGUUGAAGGAACAUGAGAAGAAGAUCACAGAGAUAAUAAAAGAAGAGGAAGCAAGCUUUUGCAAGACCUUGGCGAAGGUGAGGACUGGCCAUCUAUUUGCAGCUCAAUAUCGAUAAUGCCUUUUUGUUAUAUUAUUUCCAGUUUCGCCCUAAUUCAGUUUACCAUCAUUUCAGCUUUCCUUUUUCUGAAAGAUGAAUUGUUUUGAUAUGUUAAACUUUUUAUUGUCAUAUAUAUGUUAACAGGUGUCUAUAAGAAGGUUGAUUAUAUUAUUUUCAUGGCAGGGCAUUGAGAAAUUUCAGAAAGCUGGACAGGCAGUUCAGGGGAAUACAUUGAGUGGAGAGGUACUUAUCUAACUAUAUCUGUGUUGUAUGUUAGAUGUUACAGUAUUUUCAUCUGUGAUGUUUGAAUUUCCAUCUCAACAUACCGUUUUCUCUUUGCAGGAUGCUUUUGUCUUAUGGGAUACGUUUGGGUUCCCAUUAGAUCUCACACAGGUACUUAGGUCAUUCGUAGUUACAUCUAAUAGUAUAUGCGUUUCUUUAUAACUUUCAUUCUCGGGUUUCAGUUGAUGGCUGAAGAAAGAGGGUUGCUGGUUGAUGUUGAUGGCUUCAACAAAGCCAUGGAAGAGGCGAGGGAAAGAUCUAGAAGUGCCCAGAAUAAGGUGUUUCAACUUUUCUCUCUUUCCUUUGAUGUUAAAAUUAAGUGGGACUAUGGUCAACGCCAAAUUUACGUUUAUGUAUUGACUGAUCUUCUGAUGUCAAUUUUUGGUAGCAAGCUGGUGGUUCCAUAGUUAUGGAUGCUGAUGCUACAUCAAAAUUGCACAAGGCUGGUGUGUUAGCAACAGAUGACUCUUUUAAAUACACUUGGUUCAAGGUUUGUCCUAUUUAUUCCAGAAAAUUUGAAUGUUGGGCCUGAACUGUACUUAUGUUGGGGUAGAAUGAAAGAAAUCGGGGUACAGAGUAGCAUAUGGAUUUCUCUUAAAUUAAGCCUGUGCUGAGCAAAUGUCCUACCAAAUUUUGCGACAGGAUCACGAGAGUGAAGUAAAGGCUAUCUACACUGGCUCUGCUUUUCUGCAAAGUUCAGCUGCUGGCGAUAACGUUGGACUAGUUUUGACGUCGUCUAGUUUCUAUGCUGAGCAGGGUGGUCAGGUGAUCCAGUUUAUUUGAUAUGCACUUUAUUUUUCCGAGUGUUUCAUUUCUAAUCAUACGAGUGAUGGCAAGAAAAGGAGUUAUGUUCAUCUUGGAUAUAUGUACCUGAUAGUAACACCAUUAACACUGUCAUAUAAGAACUGCACUGUUUAAAUAUACGUAUCAGUUGCAAACACCAUGCAAUUGUUAUCGUCGGUUUUGCAAACGAAUAUCUAUAGUCUGUUUAUAGCUGCAUAUAUAUUUUAGAUUUCACAAAUUCUUAUAUGUAUAUAAAAUUCGUGCCCUUAACAUUUUGCUCUGGCAAUAGAUUUUCGAUACAGGACUUAUUGAAGGCUCGUUUGGUACAUUCAACGUAUGUAAUGUCCAAAUAUUUGGAGGCUUUGUUCUUCAUAUUGGUUAUCUCUCAAAAGAAACUGGAGUUGUAUCUGUGGGAGAUAAAGUGACUUGCAAGGUAUCGCUCUGCAUCAUACAGUGUUUGUCUCAGUCACUAGCGUAUCUGGUACUACCUUAACUGUUUGGAUAUCCGUUUUCUCUGUGUAGGUUGACUAUGAGAGGCGUAAGCUCAUCGCUCCUAACCAUACGUGUACACAUAUGUUGAAUUUUGCACUGAAGGUAUUGUUUCUGUAGUUUAAGUUACCUAAAGGGUAAUUUCCUUUUUCUUAAAUUGGAUCUCAAAACAUUCACUUUCCAUGAAUUCAGGAAGUGCUCGGGGAUCAUAUUGAUCAGAAGGGAUCAAUAGUUCUUCCUGAAAAACUGCGUUUUGAUUUUUCUCACGGUACAUUCUUCAAUACGUAUUUUUCAUAUUGAUAUGGAUAUGGAUAUGGAUAGUCUCUUAUAAUUGUCUAACGGUUUCCAUAAUAUCGAGUAGGCAAGCCGGUUGAUCCUGAAGAUUUAAGAAAGAUCGAAGCCAUAGUGAAUAAACAGAUCAAGGAUGAACUGGAUGUAUUUUCGAAGGAAUCAGUGCUUUCUGAAGCCAAGCGAAUCAAAGGUCUAAGAGCAGUAUUUGGUGAAGUAAGCUGUCCACCAGUUCUCUUGCAAUGCAUUUUUAGUUUGUUUUCUGUGAAUCUAAAACGUUUUCGCUUCCUCUGUUUUUAGGUCUACCCUGAUCCUGUUAGAGUGGUGUCGAUUGGGAGACGGGUCGAGGACCUCUUGGCUGAUCCCGAAAACGAUGAGUGGUCAUCACUUUCUUCUGAGUUUUGUGGAGGUUGGUUUCCAUGGGGGAUGUUUUUUGAUCUUUCGGAAUAGAGUAUUGAGUAUUGUAUUAUUUUGGAUAUCGCAGGAACCCACAUAACAAACACCCGUGAAGCGAAAGCUUUUGCUCUUCUAUCAGAAGAGGGAAUUUCUAAAGGUAUUCGUAGGGUAACUGCUGUGACUACCGAAUGUGCUUUUGAUGCAAUGAACGUGGCGUCCUCACUUGAAAAAGAAGUCGAGGAUGCAUCCAAAGCGGAGGGGAGUGCAUUGGAAAAGGUUAUCUCUCUUCUCUCGUUUCUCACAAUCUAAAAAUUUAUAAUAAAUCUUAUUCAUGUCAAACUUAAUGUGAUCAAUUUUGAAUGUUGACAGAAAGUUGCUGCUUUGAAAAGCCGGGUAGACUCGGCAAUUAUGCCAGCGGCCAAAAAGGCAGAUAUAAGGGCCAAGAUUGCUCUGCUUCAGGUAAUCUCUUUCAGCUCUACAUUGAGGAGCUUUUUUUCUGCAUCUACUUUGCAAAGAACCUUUGGCUUGUGUCUGGUAACAGAAGUAUUAAAGUGGAUAUAUUCUUUUUUUUUUAAAUUGCAGAAUGAAGUGAGGAAAGCUCAAAAGAAAAUAGCAGAGCAGAACCUGAAGAUAUCUGUGAAAGUAGCAACAGAGGCAGCAGAAUCUGCAGCAUCAGAUGGGAAGACAUUCUGCAUUAUCCAGCUUGAUGUAGGUCUUGAUGCAGCUGCCGUGCGAGAAGCUGUCUCCAAAGUUAUGGAAAAGAAGGUAAAUCUCCAUUUACUUCUACUAACUACUCUUCGAAAAGGUAAAGAAAGUUAAAUAAAAGUGUUGUUGGUGAAUCUUCUAGGGAAUGUCGAUAAUGGUGUUCAGCACAGAUGAAACGACCAACAAGGCGGUUGUGUGUGCAGGAGUUCCAGACAAAUCUGAUAAAUUCAAGCAAUUAGACGUUACUGAGUGGCUUACUACUGCAUUGGGUCCUCUGAAAGGGAGAUGCGGGAAAGGGAAAAGUGGUCUUGCAUCUGGACAGGUAUGUGUCUGGGUUUUAGGGAUCAUGUGCUAAUGGAUCUCAAUCUCAGUUCCGUCGGUGAAGUAUAUGGUGCAUAGAUUGACUCUUGAGCAUAUGUUGUUGUGGUCUCAGGGAACGGAUGCUUCUCAAGUGAACGCAGCUUUGGAUCUGGCUGCAUCAUUUGCAUCACUGAAACUCAACUGAUUGAUGUGGAGGUGAUUACAGAAUCUGUGUGGUCUGAACAAGCUUUACUCAUUUGAUACCAUUGUAUACCGUUUUACUCAUUUUAAGAUCUACUGUUUUCUCAUUUCUUGUGUCGAAUUCGUGGUACUUCUUAGUCGGUCAAACUUAGCAAUUGGUGGUACCUCUUUUGAGCCAAUCCGAUUAUGGUUCUACUGGUUUGGUUUUAUAUUUCAAUAAUUUAUGGAACAUAACAGCUGUUUACUCGGUUUUUGGGUUUGAUAUGGUUUCAGUUCAGAUUUUGUUUUUCUAAGAUAUUUUUGGUUUUUUGACCAAAAAAAAAGAUAUUUUUGGUUUCUAUUGUUUUAAUUUGAAUUUUGAGAUAAGAGUCGUAUUUGCAAGGAUGGAAAGUUGUAUUGAAUAAUGGAAAACAUAUGUAUAAGAUGAUUUAGAUAGUUUUUGUAUUGAACUAAAUUACUCUAAAUAGAUAAGGUAGGUUUUGGGACUAAAAUUAGACCAUGACAAUAUAUUAUGUUUUAUUUAAAAUUUUGUAAAGCAAUAUAUAACUGGUAUACUUUUGUCUCUCUCAAUGUUUCUUGUCUUCGUUCACAGUCUUCUUUCUCUUUAUUUUUUUUAAAUAUAAGUUUCAAAUGUUUCUAAAUCUUAGUUUAGAAAAGAAAAAUGAGCGAUUUUAAUACAAAAUUGCAAUUGAAACAAAAUGUCGUUUAAUGUUUAAUGUCAUAAACAUCUUAUAGUCGGUUAUUUCACAAGUUACUUGUUUAUCUUUACCAAAUAAGUGCCAUAUUUGUAAAACAUAAUUUUAGAGUAAUGUAAAUCCUAAAUAAUAAAUAACGGCAGUCAUUCGAUAAAAGAAAUAAUAUUCAAUUAAUAUAUAUAUAUAUAUAUAUAUAUAUAUUAGAUUAUCAUAUUGCUUUAAAUUUGAAUGAUAUAACACAUAAGUUUCAUUAAUCAGAUUCUUCAUGUCCAGUAUAAGUAAUGUUUUUUUAACAACGAUUAAGUAAUGUAUAUUUGUCAGGGCAAAUCUCUAAAAUAGCACCUUUCUAAGUUUAUAUCACAAAAAUAGCACUCAAAAACUAAAAUGACCAAAAUAGCACAUUUUUAAGUUUAUCCUUUGAAAAUUUUAAUUUUUUUAUUUUUCAAAAUUUGAAAUCUUAUCCCCAAAACGUCAUUUCUCAACUCUAAACCCUAAACCGUAAACUCUAAACCCUAAACCGUAAACUGUAAACCCUAAACCCUAAACUCUAAACCCUAAACUCUAAACCCUAAACCCUAAACUCUAAACCCUAAACCCUAAACCCUAAACCCUAAACUCUAAACCCUAAACCCUAAACCCUAAAUUCUAAACCCCAUCUUUUAACUCUAAACCCUAAGUUUGUGACUUUUGAUAAAACAUUGAGUGCUAUUUUUGUAACUUUUGAGUGCUAGUUUAGGAACAUAAACUUGAUUUAUUGCUAUUUUUGUCUUUUUCUCUAUUUGUUAUUCGAAAACCAANNNNNNNNNNNNNNNNNNNNNNNNNNNNNNNNNNNNNNNNNNNNNNNNNNNNNNNNNNNNNNNNNNNNNNNNNNNNNNNNNNNNNNNNNNNNNNNNNNNNAAAUGAAAAAAAAAGUAGGCACUAUAUAUAAGAGGGGGGGGGGGUUGAAUCUUUUUGUUGGUAAACGAAUUUUUCUUUGACUAAUGAAAAUAAAUAGUUUAAGGCCUCAGAAAAAAUAGAAACGAAACGUGAACCAACUAAACAUUUGCACAAAGGAGCAGUCGUAAUUAAAGGCUCACCAAUCAACUAUAUAAUCAAAUUAAUAAAACCUUACAGUUUACUUUAGUUUUUUAUUUAUUCUUAGAAACAACAGUUUGUAUUAUUUUGAGAAACAACCUUACAAUUUAUCUUCCAGCUUCAAAAAAAUAUUGUUAAUUUGCUUUAAUACAGUAGUUUAGUGCACAAACUUCUAUACAAAUACGUUAAGCACAAUCCACUAUUCCCUUUGUUUCCGAAAGAAAGAUUUUCUAGAGUAUUCACGCAUAUUAAGAAAACAAUUAAGUUUUUACAAUUAAACUUAUUAUUUAUUUUACUAUACAUUUUUCAAUAAAUAUCAACCAAUAGUAUUCAACCAAUUCAAAAUUUUCAAUUAAUGUUUCUUAAAAGUAUACAACUUUUCAACAUUUACUACUAAAAGUACUUUAAAAUUUUAGAAAAUCUAUCAUUUUGGAACAAAAAAUAAAUCUAGAAAAUCCUACUUUCAGGAACAGAGGGAGUAAAAGAUAUUGAUACCCUGCCAAAAUAAUCCAAUUAAUGCAAGGCUUCAAUCCCAUAAUCCGUUAAUGUAAGGCUUUAAAGCCACAAGAAUACAUGUACAUCUCAAACAUUCAACCAAAAAAGAUUGAUAAAGACGAUUUCCACAUUCAUUGUUUAUACCCCACUUAGCCGCGGAUACAUUCAUAGAACCGAAGAUCCGAACCAAUAAGAUUUAGUGCAGAUUUAAAUCGUAUCAAUUAUACUAGUGGAUCUUAUAUUCCAAAUACACUAAGGUGUAUCUCACAUCCUAGUGUGUGGGUGAAUCUUUGUCAUUCGUGGUGGUGCAGAAGACUUAUCUGUGCAGGUUCGGAAGCGUCACCAAAUUGGUUGUAGUGGCGAGUUCAAGCCGCUCUUUUGGUGGUUGCGGGAUUGCCAACUUGCGUUCAUGAUCGGAUAUUUGUGUGCUCAGUUUCUGUUUGUCUGUGGCCGGUUGGCGAGGCGGUAUAGCUUGCAGUGGCUCAUCCUUAGGUAUUGUUUCUUGUAACUCUUCCCUCAAUUUCUCGUCCUGUGCUUCAUCGCCAAUGGAGAUUAUAGGCCUUGACAAGCUCUCCGAGACCAGCUAUUUCAGGUGUUGAACAUGGAAGACCGACAUCCGAGGAAACAAGGUUAAACCCACCGUUUCCAGAAUCUGCGACAUUGAUUGAGAAUAAAAACUGAAUCAUUUGGAGAUUUUAGAAUAGUCCAGCGGAAUGUGUCUGUUUAGGUGGUUGAUGCGAAGUCAGUGCUAUAAUAUUUGAACUAGAUAAGCUUUGGUUGAAAUCAGAUUGUAAUCGAAAUUGUACUCCCGUUUUUGGGUUUUAUAUAAUAUUUCUAUAUUAGUAAAAAAUUGGUAUUAUAGAAAUAUAUCUUAGUGUUUAUCUCUAGUUAUUUAAGCUAUUACGUGGAAAAUAACAUUUUAAAACAAUGUUAAAAUAGUUGAAACAAAAAAUGCAUUUUUUACCAUGUAUAUUUUUUGUGCUGAAAUUUGAAUUUAAAAGAAUAAUCUACUUCUUGGUAAAAAAAUAAGAAUAAUCUACUUGAGAAAAAAUAUGAACUGUCGUGUAGUAAACCAUGCCUCCAUCGUAUGAUGUCCGCUAUUUACCCGGGACUGAUGAAUAACGAUUUUUUUUUGUCAACUAGAGGACCAUGCCACUUAUGAGUGUACAUGUAUUUUCUUGCAUUUUAAUUUGAAAUCCCUUUUUCAAAAAAAAAAAACUAGAGGACCAUGCCUCCAAGCCUCUCAUCGGUGUAGCAAACCAUGCCUCCAAGCCUCUCAUCGCUGCUACUGCACCAGACAUUUCUGAUGCUGAACGAUAAGGACCCGUUUAUCUAUCAAUUUGAACUUGGAAAAUAGCAUCCCUUUCUGAAAAAAAAAUUAUAUAUCACAUGCCAACAAAAGGGAAUGUAGGUCUUGUUCAAAGAAUGAAUGAUAACACAACAAGCAGUCUUUCUCUCUCCUUUCGCUCUGUCUUCUCUCUAGAUCUGUCACAGAGGAAGGAUUGAAAGGAGACUUCUACCGGAGUUUCCAACUCAUUUCCGGUUAGUAAGCGCGAUUCUAGGAAGCGGUGUGUCUCUUUAUACCGCUAUCGCCAGCUUCUGUUUCCGGGAAACGGUGGCUCUGAUAGCACCGAUUCCGCCAGCUUUCGUCUCCGGGAAAGCGGUGGCUCUGAUAGCACCGUUCUUUCGCCGGCUCUUCUCCGGUUUGUUCCGGUGAUAAGUUCUCGAUCUACGCUUUUGCUCUUCCCCUGUCCAAUCGACUCUCGAUCUGAAAAUCUGUAUGAUUUUUCGGAUCGAUCGAAGAUGAUUGUUGUUGUUUUUUAAAGCAUGGAUCGAUGGUGUUUGUGUUCUAUAGGUCUUCAUCGGUUUUGGGCUCCAUGGUUGAGUCGAGUCGCGCUUUUGCUCUGAUCCCGGCAGAAGCUGUUGUAUUCUUCCGGUGGUGGUCCGAUUAUUGCGGCGGCGGAGUAUGCAUGCCGAUGAAGAGCUUUGUGACGUGGUCAAGACGUGGCGGCCUGGUGACGCGUGUCCCUCGCAGGGAGGAUUUCGACACGUGUACUCUUCACGCAACUCGCGGGGAGAAAGAGGCGCCUUUGUGGGUUAGAUCGUUUGGGCUUAGGGCCCAAUAAGUUUUACGGUUUCGGUAGCCCUACUGUGUUUGGGCCUCAUAGUUGUACUCCUGUUUACGUUUUUGGGCUUGGUCUUCUGGCUUUGUCUUUAAUAAACUUUAGAUGGAAAAAAAAAAAAAAGGUCUUGUUCAAAGAUCACGAAUGUAACGUAUAUAUAUGUAUCAUUUUUUUGUCGGCAUAUUAUUAUACGUUUUGUGUUAAAGACUGGGGUCAAGCCAGAAGUGUUUUAGUGUCAAAAUAAUGCAAAAGAUAUAGUAAAAUUGUUUAAAUGACUUUUGAAAAAGGCAGUAGUACAUCUGUACAUGUGUACAGCUCCUGUAUAACACAAAGGACACGCGUUGUAGGCUUAACGCUACAUUUGCUACUAGGUACACUGCGAAACAAUAUCAGUAAAUAUAUUUAUUUUUUGUUUAAAAGGGAUCAGUAAUACUAAAUAUAUUUAUCAAGAGUGAAUUACUUUGUGAUUAUUUCAUAAGUAGUAUUAUUUAAACUAUUAGUACCAAGACCUAUCGCCAUAAACGUUUUCAGAGUAACUGUAUGAUUUUUCUUUCUUUUCUUUUGGUAAAAAAUGUAUGAUUCUUUUUGAUCGACCUACAACUAUUUCAGAUUUACCGUUCACCUAGUAUUAACUCUUAAUAACCUUUAACGUAAUUAAAUACCUCGGUAGAGGCUUCUUGAUAAAGAAAACGAUAAAACUGAUAUAACAUUACAUGAACUGAAAACACUUGCGUUACAAAAAAAAAACAAAACACACAAACAGAGACUUAUUCGAAAACAUAUUACACACACAUGUACGGUACGACAUGGUGUUGUACGGAAUAUUAGAUAGAAAGGAACAACACCAGACGAUGGAUAUGGUAGAUUUGAGUUAUGAGAAUCGAUCGAUAGAUCAGCAAUGUCUGGUGCAGUAGCAACGACGACGGAAACCACGGCAUUUACCUCCGCCAAA
rnacentral:lncRNA from 1 species